AAGAAGGAAGCUCUUCAAUUAUGCUUGAUGAAGCUCUGAACCUGUUGAGCCAAAGGUGGGACAGAAUUAAUGGAGCACAGGCACUCAAACUUUUACCCAAGGAAACAAAGUUACAGGUAAUCGUUCUUUCAUUAGACAUCUUAAAAUAAAGAUUGAAUAGAAAACACUAGAACUCACCCCAUGCUUAUGCGUGCACUCCUAAAUUAUCUAAUCUUGUCUCAAAUUACUUCUGGAUGUUACUGUCUCUGAUUUAAAUCGAACCAUUUAAGCCUUCUUUAAUAUCUAGACUAUAGACUAUAGAUGUAGAUUGUUAAUAUUUUUUUCUAAACUUCAUACAGAUUUUGAAUAAUUUGAAUUAAUUAAAUAGUAAGAAUGUAAUUGAUUAAAACUAAAAGAAGAUCUAAGAGACCAAAUUCUCUCCUUAAACUUAUAUAUGCAUAUAUAUAUCUUUUACAGAUAGUUAUGCUUCUAAGUCUCUUUCUAGUUUCAUCAUUAGCGUCUUCUUUAAUCCUAAAAUGCAGAACUUGCUACAAUUUAUUGGACCACUUUUAAGGAAAUCCAGUGAGGCGUACAGGAAUUCUUCAGUGAUAAAGAGUUUGCGACAAAGUGAAAACUUACAGGUAUGCACUGAACAAAAAUCAAAAUAAGUUUAUGAGUGAUUCCAUUGCAAAUCAAAUUUUUUUUCCAGAUUGGAUAUCUUGAUGUCAUCAUUUUUAUGUCCUUGCAUUAUUUGAUUGACUUACUACCCUUCAAAUCAUAUGGUAAUCCAUUGGAUUUGAUCGCAACCUUAUUGUAACAUGGUAUAUGCUUUUAUUUUGAAGUUGGGAAGAUAUUAGCCUCAACUUCCAAUUGACAUUCAAAUGGUGAUCUAUUACCAUUUUGAUACUUGGUCGACACCUUCCGUUUUAGAGAGAGAAAAAAGAAAAAAGAAAAAUCACCUUCACUAGCGAAUUUCAUACUACCUGAAACAUGAGCCCAAUGAUCAUCCCCAUACGUCUCGACUGCACAUUUACACUACAUCCACAACUAAGUGACACGAAGUUAUUGUCAGCAUCAGCCAACCUAAAUCAAGAUUCUUCCUCACAACCCAUAACUCGUCUGCUGAAUUCCCUUCAUCCUUACGCUAUUUGAGCUUCAUUAUAACAAUGUCUCAUGUGAAACCACGAUAUCAUCUCACAUACUAAGAUUAUUUUGAUGUGGAACAGGUGAGAGACGAACUCUAUAGCCAAAGGAAACCUGCUAUAAAAAUAACCAGUGAUAGCAUGUGCUCUCUCUGUAAGAAGAAAAUAGGGACGAGCGUUUUCGCGGUCUAUCCGAAUGGGAAAACACUUGUGCACUUUGUAUGCUUUAGAGACUCACAGAACAUGAAGGCUGUGUCUAAGGAUUCACCCAUAAGAAGGCGUACAUAAUAAUCAAGGUGAUGGUUUCUCCAUUUUUAGGUUUCAAACACAAAAAUGAAAGGCUUUAACAGGGAAAAAGAAAACUAACAAACUCAGGUGUGUCAAGGGAAGUCUGUCUUUUUCAUGACAAGGAUGAGGAAUACAUGGAAACUGGCCUGGAGGGGUUGCUUUUUUUUCUUUUUUUUUGUCAUUCAUUGGAUUGGCUUUUUGGGUGUAUUUAUUUAAUAUAAUUUUUUGUUUUGCAAUUGGGUGAAAUAUGUGAGGUUUGUAUCUAUAUGAGGGUUAUGAUUACUACCUUUUAUAUGUAUAUCUACUUUGCUUGUGAAAUAUUGCAAGUUCAGCAUGAAUGAAAAAGCAAAAGGAUCCUCAUUGAUAAUGUGAUAAAAUCAAGUAAUUCUUUCUUUGCUGUUUUUUCCUUCUUUGGAAAAGGCAAAAUGGAAACAAAAGUUAUUAAUAAAAGAAUAGCAUUUAUAAAAUUCUGAAUAAAAUCAAAAGGAAAGAUUAUGUAGCUCUUCAUGCUUUGGGUUUCAUUUUAGUUUUGUACUUUUUCAUUUUUUGAAUUUUUAUGUAUACUUUCAAUCAACUUUGAGCUUAAUUUCUUGAUAAAUCUUAAAUUUUGUUUCGUUUUUUCUUUUUAUAUUUUUAUUACAGUAUGUAGGGUGGUGAAAUCGAAUUUAUGGAUUUGAAGUUUAGAGUACUAUGCAAGUUGAAUUAUACUGGUUUAACUUAAAAUCUAAAUUUAAUCAUUUGAGAAUCUCUAUAGAGACCAUUUUAUAAAAAUGGUAAUUAUUGUCAAAUGUGUUAUCUUUUUUACAAUUUUUGUUAAUCUUUUUUCAUAAAUCUUAAAAAGUUUAUCAUUUUUAAUUUUUAUUUUAUUUUUUUAAGAAAAAAAUUAAGUAGAGGCUAAUACUAGUUUGUUGAUAAGCAGACAUGGGAAAAAUUAAGAUGAGAAAGUAACCUGCUUCAAAGCAGAGUAUUUCAUUAUUCUAAAAGAAUUUAAAUACAUAAUAUCUUUUACUUUUCAGCUGAAAUAGAAAUAAAUAAUUGUUCCCAUGAAACCUUAUCCUCUACCUCGACCGGGAUUGAUUGUUGAUACACGAUCCAAGCCAUUAAUUUUUUUCUAUUCCUUAUUAUCUUAUUACCAAAUCAACGCGGCUAGUUAAUAGGAUGUUUAAUGUUGAAGUUGAUGUUUAUUUGGUAUCUGAAGUUUUGAUAAUGACACUUUAGUUUUUUAGAUUUGCAAAAUCGUUCUAAAUGAUAGGAGGAGGUAGAGAGAAGUUGAAGAAAAUAUUACUCAAUAUAGAAGUUAAUAAAUAUUUUGAAUUCAUUUAAUUUUACCAAACUGAUUAUUGUCAUCUUACUUUUUAACGAUCAAUUUAACACAGAUACCAUUUAGAAUGAUUUGACAAAUCUCAAAGACUAAAAUGUCACAUUUGAAAUGAGACCAAAUCAAUAUCAAUCUUCAAACCCCAAAGACUAAAAGUAGUGUAAUUUAAUUUGCUCCAUUCAUCUUUAAAUUUUGUUCUAAAUGAUUGUCAAAAUAAACUUAACUCAAUCUUAUCUAACAUGUAGUUCUUUUAAAUUCUUUUAAAUGAGAAAAUUGAGAAUUUCUUUUUGGUCUCAUUAACAUCAUAAAGUAGCUCAACAGGUGAAGGACGAAUAUUCCUUUAAUAAAAAGGUUAAAAGUUUAAAUUAUCUCAUUCUUACUGUUGAACUUAAAAAAAGCAAAAUUAGACAAUGAAACACGUAGCAAAUAAACCAUGCAUUUAGCGAAAGAACAAAAAAAAAAUUCAUCAACUGAGUUUGAAACCUUUGCAAUUUCUUUACAUCUUGCUAGUGAACAAUGGUGGAGAGUCACCAAGUUGGUGUAUUUUCUUCAUUUCCCAAAUAAAAGAAUAUAAUUGCUGCUACUUCCAAUAGGGAAAAAUAUGCCAAUAAUUCUUUACCCCAUUUUCACCUAAAUCUUAAUUAAAAAUGGAUCCUUUCAAUUUAAAGUGAGUGGUGAGAAAAUACAUUCUAUCUCCACACUUCAAUUAAAGUAAUUAUGGAUGCUCAAAAAUACCUACCAUAAAAAUAAGUAUUCAUGAAACCGUAAACUUAUUUUUUAGGUUCAUAAUAAUUUAUCGUUUUCAAUAAUGAAUAAUUUAAUUAACCAGGCAAAAGCUUUACCUAAAUCUUCAAAUUUUAACACAAAAAGAUGAAAGUUUAUUGUCAUUUUUCUUUGAAAUCUUGCCAAUUCUAUACCCUGCACUAAUUGUGUUUUAUAAUUUACGAGAUAUACUUAUUUUUUAAUCUUCAAGUGCAAAUUAAAACCUUUGAAAUGAUGAUAAUUUUAAGUUAAAAUUGUAAUGUUUAUUUUAUUAUAACAAAGUAUUUUUCAAUUAUCCAAACCUAAAAUGUGAAAUUGAAACUUUAAUGUAUAAAUUGAAUGCACAAGUCGAGAGGAGAAAGUUGAUUUUUAUUUUAUUUUCUUUUUAAUUAUGUCUUUCUUGACUUUAGGAGUGUUUAAUUAUUAUAAAUUAAUAAUUUUUUCUUAAUUUGAUUGUCAACCUAACCUAUAGCUAAUGUUUACAGUAUUAACUUCAAAAUCAUUUAUCACCAUGCAUUACUUAAAAAGAUAAAUAAUAAAUUGACAUUUUACUCCCCAAAUUCUUCCCAUUUUCCAAAAGGUUGAAUCUCUCAUAUUUUCUGUAUCUCACUCUCUUUUGACUUUUUUCAAAACUUUAAUUUUUAAUCUCGAAAUUUGAAACUCAUUAAAUACAAAUAUUAAUGUGCGUUAAUAAUAAAUGCAAGAAUCAAUUUACAUAGGAUUGGUUUUUUUUUUUUAUUUCAAAAGAAAAAAAAAAAACUUGGAAGACAUUUCAUUCACUUUUUUUCCUCUAUUUUUCUCAACCUAUUCAAUUAGGAAAUAAAUUUGAAUUGUUUAAUAAUGAUUUACACCUAUUUUUACAUAGUUUGAUAUAAAACUAAGUUAAAUAUUAGGGAAGUUGUUCUUUAAGAAAAACAUUACAAAAUUGUUCUUUAAAAAAAACAUUAGGGAAGUUGCAAGAACAAGUCUCAUGUCAUUCUUUCUAGUUUCUGAAUAGGUUGAGAAAAAUAGAGGAAAACAAGUAGAUGAAAUGUCUUCCAAUACUUUUUUUUUUCCUUUUAAAAAAAAAAAACCAAUACCAUGUAAAUCAAUUCUUGCAUUUAUUACUAACUUACAUCAAUAUUUGUAUUUAAAUGAGUUUCAAAUUUCGAGGAUUAAAAAUUAAAGUUAUAAGAAAAGUCAAAAGAGAGUGAUGGACAAAAUAUAUAUACCUUCACAUAUACAUAUAUAUAUAAAUAUGAGAGAUUAACAUUUUGGAAAGUGGGAAAAAUUUGGGAGGAAAAUGUCAAUUUAUUAUUCAUCUUUUUAAGUAAGUGUGGUGAUAAACGAUUUUGAAGUUAAUACUCCAAAUAGUGAAUAAGAUUGUUUAAAGUGAGAAUCAAAUUAAAAAUAAAUUAUUAAUUUAUAUAAAUAUAUCUAAAGUGAUACAUAUACAAAAACAGUACGCAACUAUAUAUUAUGAAAUUUUACCCGACGUUAUUAAACCAAAAGAGUCAAUUAGAAGAAAAACCACUCUAAAACAUUACUCUCACUAGUGACAACCACAUAUACUUUUUUACUAGCAAUCAAACAGUGAAAUUCGAGAGACAAUUAUAUAUAUAUAUAUAUAUAUAUAUAUACUUAACAGCCAAACAAUUUGACAACACGAGCAAAGUUGUGGUGCGAUGAACCACCUUCUCCCAACGCUUUCGCAGCACUCCUUUGAAGUUCCUUAGCCUUUGCCCUAAUGGCUUUCCCUUCAUCAUCUUCCUCCACCAUUAUCUUCCUUACCAUAGCUGCGAUCUCCUCUCUUUCAAUCAAUGCAUUCGUUGGUAGCUCCUUUGAUCGGACACCCACUCCGAUCUCCUCAGUUAGCAUUGUGGCAUUCAUUCGUUGCUCUGCAUACAAUGGCCACACCACCAUUGGUACUCCAUUUGUAAUGCUUUCCAACGCCGAGUUCCAUCCGCUGUGAGAGAAAAAACCUCCCACCGCUGGACUCCCUAGCACCGCUGUCUGGUCCGCCCACAUUGAUACUACGAACCCCACCUCGCUCGUGCGUUCCAAAAAUCCCUCUGGCAAAAACUUCGCCAACGAUUGCUCCUCACUCUCGUCUCCCGUCGUAAAAAAUGCACCGUCCGAUCUUACCUAUAAGAUUACAAAAUGUUAAAUUUAUAUAUUAAUUUGAAAGUAUAUAGAUUAAAUUUUAUUUAAAUAAACUCUAAUGAUCAAAAAUAGUUUUUUUUUUAAUGAUGUAUGUGGGUAAUUAAUUCAAACCCAUCACGUGGAAAUGAGAAUAAAAAAUAGGCAUCAGUUCAUAUGCCCACUCUUUUACCACAUGGAAAGAUAAAACAAAACAAGAAUUAGGCACACACCAAUUCGUAUGCCUACUUUCUUACCGCAUGGAAAGAUAAAACAAAACGAGAAUUUUGAUCCAACCUUUUCACUUCUUUCAAACUAACUAUUAAAUCUUUUCUUGAAACAAAACAAUGGUUCGAUACGUGAUAAAUUUUACUUGAACAACUACAUAAGUUGCACAAAAUAGAUGUAACACUAAGUACUUUUCUUCGAGUUUGUCCAUAUCUGUGCAGUUGACAGAUAAUAUUCAACCACAAAUUGAUAUUCCAUAAAUUUUGCUUUUAUAAAGAGUAGUAUUUUUUUAAGAAUAAUAAUAUUUACACAUUAUUCUUCUCUGUAAAAAAAUAUAUUUUAUUCAAAUAUUUUUCUUUAAUUAAUUUGUAAAAAUAAUUAAUUAAAAAAAAUUGUUUUAAACAACAAAGCUUAGCCAAAUACAAUUUAUAUGGAACAAAUUAUUAUGUGUCUUUCAAAAUGAUAUUUUAUAAAGAACUAUUUUUUUAAAAAAAUAAAACCCCGUGAUAAAACAUGAUUAGUUUCUUAAUUACAUUUUACCUUUGGGGCGCGUACCACCCAAACAAAUCUCUGCCGACUCAUCUCCAAGCCGUGAGCCACUUCUGUCAUUUGCUCAAACGACAGCGUUCCACCGCUCCCAAACGACACGUAGAUCACCGACUCACUGGGUUGCUUACUCAACCAAUUAAACAACUCACUCGAACCGCCUUUCUUCGAACCGGGCUGCCUCACGAUUGGUCCAAUAGAGUAAACCGGCGGUGAGAUUUUACCCAACAGAUUCCGGUCGUUUAAAGAUGCGAGCGUGCGAUCUUGCAACUCAUCCCACGUGUUAACCAAAACGCCGUCACUCGAUGCUAUCCCCAUCCCCAAUUUCAAGAUUUCGAAAUAUUGCUGUUCGGUCCGGUCCAGAAGUGGGUCGAUAACAUCGCAUGGCCGAACCGAUUCGCAUCCUGGGAUUUGAAGCGGUUCUUUCUGGUCCACGUACUGGCCAACGAUCUCCCUGUCCCACACCUGAGCGUAAACCAUGACGGCUAAGAACCAUGCAUUGGAGGCAACGAACGCGUAUUUCUUCAUGUCGAACUCGUCCGCGACGGCGAAGGAUUCGAUGGAGAAGAUGUCAGCAAUGAGGACGGAGGGAGGGGAGGUCAUGGCGGAGACCGCGGAGCGGAGUAUCGGGACAUGGCGGCGCAUGGUGAUGGCGAGGCGGCCGACAACGGAGGAUUCAGUGACAUCAGACAUGUCGGCGGGAGGAAGUUCGACAACGGUGAAGAGACCAGCUGCUUGGGCGGCGGCGAUGACUUUGUUUUCGGCGGAGGAGGAGCGGGAGGGGACGAUGAAAACAGUGACGGUGAGACGGUGGCGCGUGGAGAGGCGCGUGGCGAACUCGAGUGCGGGGAAAAGAUGGCCCAUUCCGGGGCUGGAAAUAAGAGCAACAUGAGCUGCGGAUUCCAUGGACAGAGGAAGAACUGAGAAAUGAGUAAUAAUUAGAAACAAGAGGUUAUGGGUGUGACUUUGUUGUAUAUGAAUGUGGUAUAUAUAUUGCCUUGGAUGUGGUAGGUUGAGAUGAUUGAGGGUAAAUCGAAUAAAAAAAUUGCUUUCAUGCAAUUCCAAAAAAAAAUGUUACGAAAUUAAACACGUUACCAAAUCGCCUCUUAAGCAAUGACAAAAAGACUAAUAGUGAUUAAAGAUUGACACGAAUUUACGUGUCGAACAAAAUAAUAACAGUAUUAUUACAUAGAAUAUUUUUUCAUAAUACAGUAUAAACCUCACUAGAUUAGAGAGUUUUAAACUCCAAUUUUCUUUAGACUAAUGGAUUGUGUUCAAAGCACCCUCAACGAAUUCAAGACAAUCCAAUAAAACAAAUAAAUGAAAAGGAAAAUUUAAAGCAAAUAAAAAUCAAUUAAAACUACAUAGUUUAUUAACAAUGUAUUAUUAACUAUGUCUACAAGUGUGAGUAUAACAAAAUCUUUUUUUUUGUAAGUUAAAAGCAACAAGAUAUAGAUUUAAAAGGCAUUUCAAUAUUUGCUUCUAUGCAUCACAUCAAAUUAUUUAAUCAUAAGUUACACCUUGAUUUCGUAUAUAGGAAAUGGUUGAAAAGAAAAUUAGUUAAAGUAUUUUACUCGGCAAAACUAUAAAUAAUAUAUAAAUCAUUGCUAAACUUUAUUAUUUGUUAUAAAAAGUACUUUUAUUCCUUUAAGCGUAUCUACAUUUUUUUUAUACCAAUUUGAGAUAUAAAAGGUGUGUGGGAAUGAACUGUGGAAUAAUGUGAGUGUUUAAUUUGCAUUUCCAUUUCCAUUUUUUUAAAUUCUAAGUUCAAUAUUCUAAUUAAUUUUUAUAUAUAUUCCAAUAUUAGUUUAGAUUCAUUUAUGGAAAGCCUCCAUAAUGUUAAAACUUUUGAAAGGAAUUGGUUUCUUUUAAACCAAAGACAAAGUUCACACGUGAGUUUUGUGUUUUUGGUAGGUUUUUGCCAUUUAACUUUUUGUUACCACUUAUUUCAGUAAGGAACAAAUUUAUGUCGUAAGAAUAACUUCCUCUACGUUGAAAGAAAAUCGAUAAAGUAUUUAAAAACAAAAUAAAGAAAAUGUGUGAAAAGAUGAAAGAAAAACAUGCAUAAAAGUAUCAUCCAUCUUAACCACAAAUCUUUACUUACAAAAGAAGCGAAAGGAGAUAAAGUUAAACAAGCAAAAAAGGCAAUUUAGUAGUCGUCAGUCAAAUAGUGGACUCGAUUGUGUAGAUAUAUUAUUAGUGAUUGAGUAAAAUAACAUGACAAUAUAUAAUAAGAUUUUUAACUAGAGAGAAACGUCAGUAUAUGUUAGCCUCAAUAAAACAUGAGGUAAAAAACACAUUAAGGUCAUAUGGAGUGUGUAGUAAGGAGAGAGUCAGUUUCAUCGCACCUACAAAAUCAAAAUAGUGUGGUAGAUAGAGUAGUUUGUUGAACAAGAGACAAUAACGUGAAUCUCAUUUUCAAUAUUAGUAGGAUAUUAUCUCAUUUGAACAUAUAUAGCACUGAUACCUUCAUAUAUAGUUAAUUAAUUUGUUGAGAAGGUGUGAUGUAGAGAAACGACAAAUAAUAAUGUGAAGUUAGAAAAAGAAACGAGUUAUGCAUGUGAUGAAUAAAAUUAUAGAAGGUACAUAUAAUUAAAAUUUAAUUAUAAAAUUUUGAAUUGGGAGUGAAAUGGGAACACAAUGUGAUAAAAGAGAGACAUAGUUGAAGAAGAGUUGGUCUGGGGUUGUGGUGGUGAACCGGUGAACCGGUGGUAGGUAGGAGAAGCCGAAGUUAUGUGCCCUAAUUUUUGUUGUUUAUUCUAAUUAUUAUUGACUUUUAUUCCAAUGGUUUUUUACUAUAUGCUCCCUCUCUAUUUUAAAUUAUUCAAAGUACAUACACAUAUAUAUAAUAAUGAUAAUAAUAAUAAUAAUAAUUUCCUCUUAACAAAAAGAAAAAAACAAAUAAAAAAAGAAUUUUAAACCUUUAGUAAGUUUUUUAUUCACGUUCCGAAAUCAAAAUAUAGUCCAAUGAACUAAAAUACUAAGAGAUUAACAAAGUUUUAGAUUCUAUUUAGAUCUAUUGUUUACCGAAUUUGAAAUUUUUGUUAUAUUGGGUAAAUUAUUUUUAACUAUUGUUAGGAUUUAAUCUACUUAUCUUCAACUCGUGGUGUUAAAAAAACCACUAAAUUGUAUAUCUAUAAACACGUAGAUGUAGGUACAUAGACACAUGUAUAUAUUCCUAUUUUGUUUCAGUAUUUUUGAUUUAAAAUAUCAUUGAAUUUUUUAAAGGGUAAAAAAUGUUGUUACAUGUUUAAAAAUACUACUACACAGUUAGUUUUAAAUAGAAACAAUUAAUAAGUAUUUACGACAUGCAUCAACUUCACAUUAGUGUUUAAGGUUAAAAUUAUAAUAUAUAGUUAAUGUUUCUAACUAUUCUAACUAAUAAUUAAUUACAAUAUUUCAAAUUUCAAAUUUUUGUAUUUGUUACAAUGUUUACUAUUUAUUGUAGUAUUAAUUAUUUUCUAUGCAUGCAUAUUAUGUCUUUUCCUAAUUAUUACUGUUUCUCUAUUGUUUUAUAUAUCUACACUAAAAUAGUAUACAGUCAAACACAAACUAUUAUAAUUUAAACCAACAUAAUUUGCAUCCAAAAUAUAGAUUAUUAUAACUUACAAACUAUAACAACCAAUUCAACGCCGCAAAUGUCAUCUCUAGCUUUUUGUUUCAAAAGUUAUCUCUAACUUUUCAAAAGCAGUAAACACAUUAGGUUAAAAAAUACAAAAUACACAAAAACUUCAAGUUAAAACUAAUUUUUCUAUGUAUAAUAUAUCCAUCCAAUUACCACACUAGUGUGAUGAGAGAUCUACAUUGGCUAGAUAUAAUUAGGCUUUUUGGACUGUAAGAAAGUCAUUAAGACCUUCAGUAGAUUGAAUGAAGGUUUAUUAUACCUAACGUUUUGAUUCACACGUAACAAAUCUCUUUUUAUAUCAAAGACACAAUCAAUGAUGAAUGAGAGGUAGUUGUUGUGAUUUUAGUUAAUGGUUGUGGUUGUUUAAUUGGUUUAGAAGAAGGUUUUGGUGGGGUCUUUCACGUGCUAGGAGAAUUGAAAUGAGUUGAGUUAAUAAGUUUUGGAAUUAGUAUUUUGGAAUUAUAGUAAAUUAGUGUUUGAAAUGUAGCGUUAUAAAAUCACGUUUUUCGAUAAUGGUAAAAAAUACAUAUUAAAACUAAGAUUGAACUUAUUGUAUGUUAAAAUAUACAUACAAAAAUUAAAAGAUAAAGUAACUCAAUAAAUGUUUAAAGUAAUUAAAGACUGUUUGCAGAGUGUUACCACUAUAAUUUAAAAUUAAAAAAAAUUAUGACUUAAAUAUUAGACAUCAUUUUAGUUUUGUAUCUUUUUAAAUAUCAAAUUUGGAUCUCAUACUUUUCAACUUUCUUUAAAACAACUGUUUUAGUUUCUAUGUUUUGAUAGGAUGGGAAGUUUAACUAUAUCAUUAACAUCUUAAAAUGUGUACCACUCAAUUACAAAAAUUUUAGACUUUAUAAAGAGGUGAGAUGAUUAAUAUAUAUAUAAAAAAUGAGAAUAGGACAAUUAAGAUAUUGUUUUUAAAAUUGGGGAUACCCUUUUGGAAAAUUGGCCCCACUUUGUGAGUGAAAGAAAAGAAGAUUUAAAAUUUUGGGAAUAUAACACUUUGAAAAUGCGGUCAGGCGGUCAGCAGGGAAGACAACAGCUGGGCAAUUAUAAUGUUUAGAAUAAAAGCUGCCCGAUUAUAUUAUAUUUGAAGAGAAAUUUGCACCACUCCACCGUAUCCUCUCAUUAAAUAUUACAUUUUAGAUUAAAGUAUUUAUUUUUGUUAAUCUUAUUUUAAUAUUUUAGUGCAUUCACUUGAUUUUAUGCUCAAUUACAGAGACACCCGUAGUAAAGAGAUUCUUUUACUCACGUAUUAUCUUAUCAAAAUCCAUUUUAAUCCGGAACUUAAUAUCAAGCGUUAUCCAUCAUUUUCGAUUUAAAACUUUAAUAUUUUUCAAUUUAAUAGAGUGUAUCAAGCGUUAUCAAUCAUUUUCGAUUUAAAAGUUUGAUACUUUUCUAUUUGAUAGAAUGGUUUCAUUAGAUAUUUAUAGUUAUUGAGGUGCUUGUGCUUGGAUUGAAAUAUUUUUAGGUGACCACAUGAACGGUGAAAUUUAAAGAUUUAUUUUGAUAAUAAAAAAAUAUUUUUGAAUUAGAAAAAUAGCAAAAGAAUUUCUAGAAUCAUUAAUUACUAUUGUAAAAAAAAAAAAUGAAAAUCACCUGUGAAAACAGAAAACUUAUUAGUCUAAAAAUAAUAUAUAUAUAUUGAAGUUUAUAAUAAUUUCGAGUUAUGGAAUGAAUAUAAUAAAAGAUUAUUUAUUUGAAUCCAAUAAUUGAUUGAUUUUUUCGGUCAUUAUUUUUUUAUUUAAGAAAGAUUUGUCACGUCAUUAUUAAUUUUAUUUUGUCAAUAUAUGAUAUUCAAUUUUGUAUCUAUGGUCAAUUUUUCAUUCCUUUGAAGUAUUGAAGGUUCACAUUUCUAUGGUCGAGGCAUGAUUAGACUUCAACAAUACUUUGAUUUUUGAAUUGAAUUUAGGAAUUGUAGAUGUUUGUCACCACAAUAAUAUUAAAUUAAUUAAAUUGUAUGGUUAGAAUUUAAUAAUACUUUGAUCUUGAGUCGAGAGAUUGCAGAGGUUGGUAAUGUUGGUCACUUGGCUUUGAUAUAUUAACAUAGACAGGUUGAAGCAUGGUUUUACACUUGGCUUAUGUACUUAUCUUAGAUUCAAUAAAUCAAAUAACUCAUACAUAAACUUUAGUCCCAUAUUAAUUGUCUUGAGUUUUUUAAAAUAACAUUUAAAUAUAUUUAUUAUAAUUUUUCUAACGUUUUGUUAUCUAAUUUUCAAGGACCAUGUUAAAAUAGAUAAAUUUUCAAAAAUAGAAUGCAAAAUAUUUAUAUUUAUAGAAAAAUCUUGUGAUUUUAUUUUAUAGAUUACGAUAAAUAGUUUGUCAAUUUUUUUUUUACUUUUGAAAGUUUUCAUUUAAAAGAUCCCUGUUCACACGAGUUGAAAGUUUUUAUUUAAAAAAUCACUGUUCACACGAGAUUUUGAAAGGAAUGUAUUUCGUGGAAUUGAACUUUGAUAUAUUGAUGAAUAUUGAAUAUUGUGAAUACAAUCUCUAGUAUUUACUUAUUUGAUGUUUUCCCUUGAAUACAAAUUAAAAACUUAAAACUUCUUGGUUUUCGGUAUUCAAAAUGUUUUAGUUGCAAGUCGAUUUGAACUUCAAUCUUCUAGAAUUUAAGAAUUUAAGAAAAGUUUAAUCUUCAAACUCUUCAAUCUUUCAGAAGCCGUUGAUCUUGAGAUUGAUACAAAUUUGCACGUUUUGAGAGCUUGUAGAAGUUUGAAUAUUCAAAUUUUCAGAGCUUCAGUACUUCAGAGUUUCAAUUAUUAUUUCAACCAAAAACCCCUCAAAGUUCUCUAUUAAUAGAUAAAUUUUAUGGCCUUUAGGUGGACUUUGACUCAUUUUCUUAGUGGGCUUGGACUUGGGCCCAUUUGCUUGUUGGGCUUGGACUUAAGCUCAUUUUCUUAGCAGGCUCGGUCUCCAUUGUUUGACCCGAUUUUUCAUCAGGGGCUUGCAUUGGGUUGGCUAUGAGAAAAUUGAUUACCCACAAUCCAAUCAAAUUAUAGUCAUCACGUUUUGUUGUGAUGACGUGAUAAAAUUUAAUUGGCUAAAAUUUCUUGCUCACCAAACACACCAAAAUUUAUAGCUAAUUCCAUGAUUUAAAAAAAAAUGGUAAUUUUAUUUUUUCAAAAUUUCGUUCAUAAUUGUUGUUUCAAAGAAAAAAAAGCUAAUUAGUUAUAAAACAAACUCAUCACUUAUUAAAAUCCUAAAAAAAUUGUUUUUAAAAGCUUUUUUCUUAAAUAAUUGUUUUUUUUUUAUAAAUAAUUUAGUUGAUAAUUCAAUCUAGAACCUUUUUAAAAAUAGUAAAAUAAAUUAAAAUAUUUAUAAACUUUAGAUUAUAUCAAUGAUAGUUAUCACUACAACAUAUAUCAGUAACUAUCUAUGAUAUAAUUUGUAACUAUUUUAUAAAAUUUUUAUUUUUGAAAAUUCUCCAUCAAUUUAUGUAUUUACAAAAUAUGUAAAUCAACGGACGAAAUAACACUUAUUUUAAAAUUUUAAAAUGAAAUUUUAAUAUGUAUUUUUUAUUCUCAAUUAUUGUAAAUUGUGCCUUUCUUUCCCAUGAUUUCAUAUUUUCUAUAGAGACUGUUUUUUUUUUAUUAAAAAAUGAAAAAAAAAAAUAGAACUAUUUGUGUGGUUUAAUAUUUUUUGUUCUAAUUUUGAAAAAACUCUAAAUUGUAAUGAACAAAACAUAGAAAGCAAUAGCUUGGAAUAAAGUUGAUGGCUCAGUUUUUAAAAGACUGAAAACCAAAAGUGUUAUCAAAUGGAGUUUAAAUCUUACCCUUCAAGUUUAGAAAACCAUUCAAUUUGAUCUUUAAUUUUUUUUAUUAGUUAAUGACAACAUCAACUAUAAGAUUUCUUAAACCCAAAGGGAAAAGUAUAUAUUUGGUCCCUAUAUUUUUUUGUUAUUUAACUUUCAUUUAGUUUAAAGGUUUUUCAAAAUAAUACACAUUUACUAACGGCAAUUUUAGAGUUAAAAAAAAAAAGAAGUAAAAUUGUGUAUAUCGGAUAAAAUAGUUUGAACUACAAAAUUAUUAUUAUUGUAAAAAACGAAAACUGGAAAUUGACAUAUAAUUCAAUCAUUAAUCUUUAAACCUCCGAACAUAAUAAAUUGGCAUACAAUAUAAGAAUUAAUAACUUCGGUCAUCUUAUAAAAAAAUAAAAAAUUUAGAUCGAAAUAACUAAUGUUCAAAUAAAUAAACUUGCUUAAAUUAGAUAAAACAAUGGAACUACGUCCAAACAACGUAAAAUUUGACAAACAUAUUGCAAUAUCUUAAAAGUUUAGAAUCUUCAAAAAUGGAAAUGAAACGCAUGAUAAAAGAAUUAACAAAUGUUGUAUAUUUAUAGAUCGAGUUGGGGACUAUACAAACAUUUUGCUUUUCCAAAUUCACAUUUUUAUUUACAAUUCUAACUUAAUUAGUAAUUACCAAAAAAAUUAAAUAAAAAUUAUCAACAGUAUAACAAAAGACUAAGAUAUUUACAUAGUGUAACAAAAUAAAAAACCUCACGAUGUCAUACAACUUUUUAAUGUUUCAGGUUUGUCAUUUCUUUUCAUAUUUGCAAUUUUUCUUUUACUUUCUAUCAUUAUUUUCUCUUAUUCUGUCAUUUCGUUUUCAAACUCUUAUAUGAUUCAAGAUCGUAUAUCAAAUGUAAUUUUUUUAAAAUGAUUGGAAUAUUGAUACACAAUCGUCGUUUAGAUUUCAAACCUAAAUGUGUACCAAUAAUAACUAAAUUUAAAUGAUCAUGUACCAAAUAAUAACUAAUUUUAAAUGAUCGCAUAAGAAAUGAAUAAUUCAUCGUAGUCGGAUUCAAUUUUAUAGUAUAAUGUCCAAAAUUGAAUGAAAUUUAAGAUUAAGAAAAUAAUCUAAUUUUAAUCCUAAGCCGUUAGCUUUAUUUAAACCAAAAAACUGCAAGAGUAUACUAUAUUACAUUUAAAUUACAAAAGGACAUAUACAUGAUUAAUGAAAAAAUGGGAGUGGAAUCUUGUCUAAAAUGUUUUUGUACGAUUAUGAUCAUAAGAAUUAUGAUAUUAUACUAUUAUUAUGUAAUUUAAUAUAUGAAACUUUAGUUUAGUAAUGCAUUAGUUAAAUAAAUACACACAAAUAAAAAAUAAAGCAUGAAUUAAAACAUUGGGUAAAUUUUGUUUCUCCAAAAAAAACUCAUAUUUAUUUGUUUUCUAAAAAAAUAUUAUUUUAAAACUAUCUUUUAAGUGUUUAUCAAAUUCUCUGACUUUUGAAAAAGACUUUUUUUAACUAAACAGUUAAUGACAUAUUCCAAACACAUUUUUUUUUCUAAAAUGUUUUAGUUUCAAAUUUCAUCCAACCCAACUAAGUAAUAUUGACCAAUUUUGGUAGUCUAAGAUGCACGUAUCAAAUAUAUGAACAACGUUGAAUAAAAUCUCAAAGCAUUUUGCAUAUUCAUCGAUUAACUAAACAUAUUUUUAUCGUUUUAUUUAUUCACGUGGACAAGAGAAUUUUAUUUUUCUCUAUUUCUUUUACUUUUUACGUUUAUCCAACUCUAUUUUUCUACUUUUUCUCUCUUUGCAUUUAUAUUUUACACGUAUUUUAAUUAUUUUAAUCAUGUAUUUGUUUAGAAAUAAGGUAAGAUGAGAUAAAACCGAAAGGAGAUGUAAGCAUAGUAAUGGAAGAUGAAACCCCUACUUUGUUACUGAUAAUGGGAGCACGAGAGAAAAACACUUGCAAGAGAGUAACAAUACACACUGGAUUUCAUCUUUACACUUGACAGAAUUGGUGGAGAAAUCUUAGGGAAAAAGUUAAUUACAUGAAAUGUGGGCCUUCAUGAAGCCCUUCUAAGUUCUUAAUUGAUACCUGGGCUUUCAUGAAGCCCUUCUAAGUUAGACCUUGAGCAAGCUUCAUAGUAUCUAUCUAUCUACCUACAUUUGUCUCAACUUGGCUCUUUGAAGAGUCUAGAACAAUUUUCUUUUUUGAAUCUUCUCUCAUUCGUCAAUCACUUCUAACAAGUAAGGAUCAUCUUUUCUAUUUUUUUGUAAUCUGUAAUCGCUCUCUAGGUUGCCUUUGUGGGUGUUAUUAUAAACUCAACGUUGAGUUCAAAAUAAAAUUUAUAAUAUACGCGAUGGUAAAAAGUUUAAAAUUUUAAUGAAUACAAAUCACAAUAUAAAAAAACUUAAAAGUUAGAUACAAGUAUUAUUUUGAUCCAUACAUUAUUGUAAGACUUAGAUUAGAAAGGAAUUAGAUUUUAGUUUAUAUACUUUGAAAGAAUUUUAGUGAAGGUAAUUUCAAUAAACAUUAAAUUUAUAUCUCCUCGAUUUUAGUUGAUUCAUAAUAAAUACUUUUUUAUUGUUAACUUUCAACAUUAAAGUACACAAUGAAAAAAGGUAUAUAAAAAAAUAUUAUUAAAUUAAAAUAUCACUUUUGUUUAUAGUUCAAUUUUAGUUUAUAUAUUUUUAAUGAUUCAAUUUUAAUUAUCGUAUUUUCAAUCAAUUUUAAAUUCACUCCAUUAAAUUUAAAUUUUAUGGAAACUUAUUUAAUAAAAACAAUAAUUUUAACGUAAGAAAAUACAAUUUACAAUAUAAAAAUGUGAUAGAUAAGGAUUUUUUUAAAAAAUAAUGUGUUUUGUAAAAGUAUUUACAAAAAUAGGGUAGUUGGGAAAGUAUUUUAAAAAAUAGGUGACUGAAGUCGUGUACGGGGUACACGACUUCAACAAAUCGAAAUGGUGUCGUGGACCGGGCUUACGAUAUCCGAGUGGAGUCGUGGACCCGGGCCACGUUUUCUGACUGGAGUCGUGUACGGGUACACGACUCCCGUACAGCUGACACAUUUUGUCGCGUAUUGUGGAAGUCGUGUACCCCGUACACGACUUCCGUACAAUGAGUCAACGGUCAACAGUCCAAUCAACCAUAGGGUUCAUCCAUUUUUCCUUUCAAACUUUCUCUUCCUCUCUUCACUUUUCCUCUUCUAUUUCGUCAUAAAUGUAUGCUUUUCUAAAAAUCGUGGACACAAUUUUGUUGUUAAAAUUAUUUUAUUAAUUAUUUUAUUUUAUUAUUAUGUUGAUAAAAUAAUUUAUUUUUUGUUGUAAGCUUCUCCUAUUAUUUAAGUGUUUUUAAAUUUUGCUAGAACUUAUUCAAGUUGUAUAAAUAAAAAAUUGAACUUUUUUAAAUUAAUUAUAAAUUAGAAGUUGCUAAUACAUGAUUUAGAUGUAGGAGUAUUCUUAAUAAUAUCAAUAUAUAAUAUAUAUUUUUAAAGUAGAGAACCAAGUAUUAAAAAAAACGUUCAAAAUAUUUUUUUCUCAAUCUAUCUUAAGCCACAAGAUUUAUUUAAUAAAUUAACAAAAAUUCUUAUAAGAUAUCACUAAUGAUGUGUUUUACCUUUGGUUUAUUUUUUUAAUUUGUUCAUAAUAAAUAUAAAUUAUCAAAAAUUUGACCAUUUAAACAAAAACUAAAAUUCUCACAUAUUUAAAGUUAAACAUUUAAACAAAAACAUAAAUUUUCAACUACCCUAAUUUUGAAAAUAUUUUUUAAAACACAUUAUUUUUAAAAAAAAUCGGUCUUUCACAAAUGUUUUUACUCUAAAAAUAGUUAAUCUUUUAAAAUAUAAUAAUUUUAAAAACAAUUAUUUAGGAAGUCGUGUACCCCGUACACGACUUCCGUCCAUGUGGGUCAAACUCGUGCAUACGUGGAGCGAAGUGGUCAAAUGUGCUGACAUGUACAUUUAGGAAGUCGUGUACCCCGUACACGACUUCGUUCAAUUUCAUUUGGAAGUCGGGGUAUACGACUUCCUCCAAUUUCAAAAAAACACUUAUUUUUUAAAAUAGUUUUGGAAACAGUCUUAUUCUUAUAAUUUCUUUUCCAACAAUCCUAUUUUUCAAAAUAUUUUUACAAAACACAUUAUUUUUAAAAAAAAUCCGAUAGAUAACAAUGAAAAAUUGUUAAAAAUAUAGAAAAUAAAAUUGAACUUUAGAAAUCUUAUUAUUAUUAUUUAAUAAAUUAUAAUAAAAAAUAAUGAUGAGGCGUUAAACUAAAAUGUGGAAAGGGACUAAAAUGAUUUAUUAAAAAAAAAUGUAUACUUAGUUACCCAUAGAAAGUGGAAAAAGGAAAUAAUAGUAAUUUAGACAGUGUGUGACUUAAUAAAAAAAACAAAGAAAAGAAAGUUAAAAGAAAAUUUGAAAUUAAUUUGGAUUUCAAGCAAAAGACGUCCCGCCUCUGUGUGGUAGAAGGAAAGAAGCAUUGGCGUUGAUCUUACGCUCAAAAUCCCCAAUUUCAAAAACCCUAAUUCUCUCUCUUCCUCUCUCUCUCUCUCACUUAUCAUCUCCAUCCUUUUUCCCUCUACAUUCGCAAUUUCUAAUCCGGAUCCUUCGGUUUCAAUCCGCCGCACCAUUCUCUUCUCCUUCUUCUUCGCAUUCUCGUUCGUUUUCCUACUCAGUUUUUGAACACAAUGAGGAAAGGUACUAAAAGAAAAGCAGCUAGAAAGGAAGAGGAUAAACCUGCGGAACCUAAGCCCGACAAAGCCCCAUCUCGUGCCAAGCGGACUAAGCUCCCCAAACCCGAAUCCGAACCCGAGUAUUUUGAGGAUAAGCGUAACAUGGUAUUCUAUAUUCUGCUGUUCUUACUGCAAGAUUUUGUGUUGCAGUCUCUUUUGAGUCUUUAGCUAGUUUUGGUUGUCAUUUUGUUGGGGUUUCUUUAAUUUCUUAAAUGGGUCUUGAGUUCCCAAUGUUAUGAAUUAUUCGAUUCUCCAUUUUUUUUCAUUUUUCUUUUUAGUGGGAAAUUGAGCAGGGGAUAAUGUUGGUUGUGUCUAAGUACUGUAAUGGAUCUUUGUAGGUGGCAAAUUGUUUGUUGGGAUAGUUUCAUUUGCUCUUCUGGGUUUCUUGAAUGAUACAGUGUUAGAAAGUACGAGCUUCAAUAAACUUUUGUAUUUUGCUUUGUUAAUGAUUUACUUGAACUUGGAAAUGAAGUUUGUUUGUUUUUUUAAAAAUGUUUUUAGCAAGCUUUUGGACCCAGAUGGUUGUUUUCAGUAGUUUUGACGUUACCUGCAUUGGUGUUCUUUUUGGAAAAUUCGACUGUUUGUGGUUUGCGAAUUAAUAUUUUCUCUUGAUUUACGAAUAGCAAUUACUGAAUGCAGGAAGAUUUGUGGAAAGCAGCAUUUCCUGUUGGGACAGAGGUCUGGUGUAAACAACGGUGCUUGUAUCUUCUUGUCAGAAGUCUCAUUGUUCGGUUGCUUAUACGUUUAUGUGUUUUUUUUUAUUUCAGUGGGAUCAAUUGGACUCGGUUUAUCAAUUCAACUGGAAUUUCUCAAAUCUGGAAGUGAGUUUGAUAAUCUCUCACAGUCCAAUAGUGUUUUUUUUCCCUUUUUCGGUGAAUUUACUAUAAUAGGUGAUAUAACAUUUGCAAUUAUUGUCAGGAUGCAUUUGAAGAGGGAGGAAAGUUGUAUGGCGAGAAGGUUUAUCUAUUUGGUUGUACAGAGCGUAAGUAGCUUAGCUUGACUAAGAAUCUUAUUUUAUAUGUUACAAAUAUAUACAAGAUAACUUUAUCAAGGUCUACUAUGUUGUUCCAACCCCAUUCAAAAGUUCUCUCAUUACCUUUUUUUUUUUUGUAGUCUAUUUAUGUUGAUUACUGUUUUGUGCAGCUCAAUUGGUUCCUUUCAAGGGAGAAAAUAAAGUUAUAUGCAUACCUGUUGUGGUGGCUGUAAGUCAUUAUAUUUCUAUUAAUAUUUUUAUGGUGUCGGUUGUUUAUUAUUUUUAUACAUAAUCCAUACGCGAAUGCUUCUUGAAAUGUAUAGUUAGUGGGGUUUUGAUCUAGAUGGCAAGAAGGCCUUGGAACUUUUGCCUUUCCAUAUGUCCUUUUAUCUUUUCAUAUAUUUAGAUGGCAGGAUUAAUACUGAGAUUUCCUAGAAAAUACUUAUCGUUUCCUUUAUGCAAUGUCUCUUGCCUUUUGCCCUCUGUCAUGUCAAGUUAUAGUUUCUGAUAGUAGCCAUGUUAAUUCACCAACAACCGUAGAACAAAUAAAAUACCAAACUGAAAGAAAUUAUCAAUUAAUUUUUACUUUUCUCAGUUGUUACAUCCGCCGUACUGCCAUGGAAUUUAAAUCGUACAGCUAUUUGUUUUAUGGUUCUACAGGUUGCAUCUCCUUUCCCACCUUCUGAUAAAAUUGGCAUCAAUUCUGUUCAAAGAGAGGCUGAAGAGAUAAUUCCCAUGAAGCAGAUGAAAAUGGACUGGGUUCCUUAUAUUCCCCUGGAGAAGAGGUCUUAAUUUGUGAUUUUUCAUAGCAUCUUUUAGAUUCUAAAUAAGUUUUAUUAUUGAUCAUGCUAUCUAAUUCUUCUUCAGAGAUAGAAGAGUUGAUAAAUUGAAAUCUCAAAUAUUCAUCCUCAGCUGCACUCAGAGAAGGUACUAAUAUGACUACGAGCAUGACUCUCCACUUCUUUUUCGAUGUAGUUAUUAUUUUUGAAAUACUACUUCAACAAAAGUUUGUUUAUUACUAACCUUCAAUUGUUUUUCUUUACAAAUGACCUGAUGCUUGUGUAAAUAUUUUUGCAGAGCUGCUUUGAAGCAUUUAAAAAUAGAUCGUCUCAAGAAAUAUGAGUAUUGCUUACCCUGUAAGUUCUUCAACCAUUUGGUUGCUAAUUUCAUGAUUGAUAUUUUUGUUGCAUGAGAGGGGAAGAGCUGAAAGUUUUUGCGAAGAGAAAAUGAAAUAUCUCCUUGAUUAGAAAAAAUUAUCUCUAACUGUAAUUUUCUACCCAGGCAUUCUACUGAUUUUUAAUGCCAUCUAGAUAAUCUGACUAAUGGUUAUCAUUUAAGUCUAUAUAAGUUUGUCAUAUACAUACCUCAUGCUUUUUUUUCUUCCUUUUCUGGCAGACUUUUACCAACCCUUUAAGGAUGAUGAAUUUGAACAAAGCACUGAGGUUCCAAUUAUUUUCCCAGUAGACCCAAAGCCAGUAAGCUUUUAAUCCAUGCUGUUUUUUAAAAAAGGCUCAUGAAUGCAUAGUAUGUAGGGAAUAGAUUAGUUGAGCAUGAGCAUCUUUUUCACAAUCUGAAAUAUAUAUGCUCAUAUUUUCAGAUUUUGAUGCCCAUUUGGAUUAGGAUGAUCAUGCAAGAGUACUGCAAAAUCUAUAUGUAAGUUUAACAUUUUUGUUAUCUGCAGGUUUUCUGUGAAUUUGAUUGGGAAUUUGAUGAACUCGAGGUACAAGUUAUUAAUUCAAAUGACUGUCUUAAUUAUUACCUUUUAAUAGCAUAGGUUGCCGAUCGUUUCUGAAAGUUCUCUUUCACUGGAAAUUUCCCUAGAGUUUUAUCUUUAUGCUUUUUUUUUCAUGUGUCUUCAGGAGUUCACGGAUAAGUUGAUUGAGGAAGAAGAAUUAUCUGAAAGUCAAAAGGAUGCCUUCAAGGUAAUAGUUUGUCUAGUGUUGUAGCCACGUUACUGUUAUUUAUCUUUAUAAAAGCUUACCUGAUGACAGUUCUCGAUUUUUAGGAUUUUGUAAGGGAGAAAGUUAGAGAGGCCAAGAAAGCUAAUAGAGAGGUAAACGUCGUAGUCAUAUUGUUGUUAUACCUGUUUUGUAAUAAAGUUACAAUUGCAUACAUAUCUUAUUCAGUUUUCCUUCAGGCUAGGGAAGCACGGAAAAAGGCCAUUGAGGAAAUGAGCAAUGAAACUAAGGAAGCAUUCGAGAAGAUGAAAUUUUACAAGUUCUACCCUGUACAAACACCUGAUUCACCCGAUAUAUCCAAUGUUAAGGUAAGAUUAACUCUGCUUUAAGCCUCUCGGCUAAUGACAAGUGAGAAGUUCGAUCUUGAACUGCAUCUUUUUAUAAACCUCAUUUCAAUUUAUGAACAAUGCUACAAACUACCAACUAUUACAAAAUAUUAGAGAGCUUCUCAUCCUUUCCAAACCUGAACUUAAGGAAUAUGAUUUUUGAAGCUCACUCCUUAUCAGCUGACAUUCUCUAAGUACUCUUUCUAGCUCAUGCAUGGCAUAUAUUGUAUGCCUAUAGCUAUGAAUUAUUUACCUCUUUAACCAGUAAUCCAGUUGCUUUCCCUUCAUACUCAUUUAAGCUAAUACACAUUUACAACCGAGCAUGGUUGACCUAUUGGUCAAUAAAUAUCAAUGAAAAUUGUAAAUGACUAAAAAAAGGAAAGAGUUAAAGCCAUAAAUUCCAAUAUUUUAAUGAUACAUUCUCAACAAUCUCAAUAAGUAAUUUCCUCUCACAUGGUUUUGCCCUCAUUUUGCAAUGUACGCUAACAUUUAGGGCUUUCCAGGCUCCAUUUAUAAAUAGGUACUACGGAAAGGCUCAUGAAGUUCUGUGAUAUCUCAUACCAUGGCUAGCACAAGAUAGAAAUUGUUACGAAGCUCCACUUCGUUCCACAUCUUGCUCAACAUUCGAAGGUAUUGCUUCUGUUAUGCCAAAACUGAGACGCCAAUGCCUAUUGACUUCUUUUAUUGAUCUAGCAAGAAAAAAUGACGGGAUCUUGAGCAAUACCCUCCAAACUCUUUAGGUAGGCUGCUGUACUAUUUAGGAUCACGCUUUGUGUCUUCAAUCGUUUUUUCGUUCUUUUCUUAAAUUCUUAAUGCCGUUACCAGAAAAAAAGGACUUAGAAUCUCACUCACCUCUUAGUUGGAAUAUCUUGGUGUAAUUUUGUUAAUUAUUCCAUCAUUUCAGUUUUGUAUAACCAUAGUCUGAGUUCUACAACCUCCAAGAACAGACGUGUUCACUGCAUUGGUUUUUGAAGGAUAUAUAUAUAAAUAUAUAUAUACAUUGUUUACAACCUCCAAGAAUAAAUUCUUCUAUUAGUUUGUGUUUGUUUUCUUUGUUUCCUUCCUUACAACCAAAAAGCUAUCGUUACUUAAUAUCUUAUGCCCUUUUAUUCGCUUGUAUACUUAGAUCGUAGGAUUGAUUGUAGUGUUCUAUUUAUCAAAUUAGUUUUAGUGUUCCCUUACAAAUAUUAAUUUGGUGGUCUAUGUUACUCCUUAAACGUCCAAAAGCAUAUAUUAUUAACAUUUUUCUCUUAGCUUCAACGUCAAGCAUUGAUAUGGCGUUUUUUGGUAGCCUCAGUUUACCCACUUCAAGUUUUUGAAACUCUUAUACAAGAGUUACUAAUGAUGAAGAGCAUCCUCAUUUAUAUAGUACACUUGUAUAAAUAGAGGACAAUUGCAGUAGCAUCACUUUUUUAGAAUACAUCAUUAAGUGUAGAAAUAUUUUUGUAGAAUUGUAAAUAAACUGUGAUUAUUUAUAGACUUGUAUUAGCGGAAGUGAUAUGGUCAUAUUGAUGAUAGAUUCUAUGAAAUAGAUUUAAAUUUUGCUAUUUAUAAUUUCUUUUUGCUUUGUGCUAUAUUUAUAAAUGUUUCUAUGCUGUGUUCCUUUUGCAAACAUUUCAAUUUUCUCAAUAUCUAAAUACAUGCUAGAAGAUAUCACCCCUUUUCGAUCAUAAUAUUCAACCAAUUGAUUAUAAGUGAAGGACAACACAACAUGAUAAUUUUCUGAUUGUAUAAAAAGCAAGGACUUGCUAUAAGUAGAUGAAAGCUGCGGCAAUCUUUUUGAAUGAUUCUAGUUUAGUUCAAUAGUCUAUGGGGAAUUGAAGUGUUCAACUUUGAGAGAUAAGUAGUAUCAUUCACGAGUUACAUUCAUGUUUGACAUCAAUAUUAUACAAUACUUCAUUAAAAUUUACCCUUACCUAUGUUUGACAUUCAAUUGCAUGAAAAUAAUUUUAUUUUAUUUUCAUUAUUUUAGAGUGAUAUUACAAGUCAAAUAAUGAUUGAUGUUUUGAUUGGUUAAGCAAACAAUUAUAAAUGUAUGAGAUUAAACAUAAUAAAAUAUUUUCUAACCAGAAAAAGAAAAAAAAAAGAAGAGAAUUAGAAUGUGGUCAAACUACCAUAUAUUCCCAUAAUUGAUAACAAGAAAACUUAAGCAAAAACCAAGUAAGUACCUUGAGACCAAGAAAUUAAAUGUGAUUUAGAAUAAAGUCAAAUAGCAUAAUAUAUUGUGACAAAUGCCACUCUUACUUUAAAGUAUUCAUUCUAGAUUCAAAUCCCACGUCCCAUCACUUUUAUAACCAAAAGAAAAAAAAAGAAAAGAAAAACAUAAAAUAAAAAGAAAUCACUCUCUUCCUCUCUAAAUACCAUACACUAACUCAUAAAAAUGUAUUAAACUACGGUAAAAUCCUCCUUAAUUUAAUCUAAAAGUAAGAUCGAAAUUUAACCCAAAAAUAAAAAAGAAAGAAAGAAAAAACCAAUCUUUUUUCCCCCUCUUUAGCCUUUGAAGUUCAUGUUUAGAAUAUAUAUCUAUAUGAGUUAAAAUAGUGACUAUAAUUUGAAGUUUAGAGUUUAAAACUUUAUUUAUGAAUUUUUUUACUACUAUUUAUGAAGUUUUAUAAACUUAAUUCUAAUUUUGUAUAUUAAAAUUUGUAAUCACCAACCGGAGCUCUGUUGAAGAUGAGCCGCCAUGGCUCGAGCUCGAUUUCCUUCUCCAUUUUCAUGAACUCCAUUUAUAUUGAAACCCCUCAAAUUUUCCCCAAAUCCAACGCCAUCGAUUAUGUUGAAACUCUUCUGAUUUCCCUGAUUUUGAAUUUGAUUCCCCAAUGAAUAAAACCCAGAAUUGAAAUUCUGAAAAUCCAUCACCGAAUUCGCCGAUUUCCCUCCAAUAAUGUGUUCAGCGGCGGAUUUUGGCGGAGACAAAGAAGGAUCCUCUUGUCUAGCUAAAGAAUGUUUUUCUUCCUCUGUUUCUCUGUAUUUGUUGAGAUAAAUCUUCAAAGGGCCAACGUAAUUCUCGAACCCUAAAGUAGUCAUAGCCCACAGCAAAUCGUCUCCGUUGAUCGUCUUCCGUUUUUCCCUUUGACACUUGUCGGAGGCUUCCCCGGUGAUGAAGCUGAUGAACUCCGACACACAUUCUUGGACUGUUUCUUUAGCUUCUUUCGAGAUUUUCGCGUUAGCCGGAAGAGAUUUCUUCAUGAUUCGGCUCACGUUUGCGAUCGGAAGGAACCUGUCUUGUUCUUUUGUUGAGCUGUCGGAGAUGUUGCCGGAGGUGGGACUGCCAACGGGGCUGACGACAGCGGUGGUGGCCAUGAAGUUACGUUUCUGGCCGCUCAUGGCGAAUGGCGGAUGGGUUUGGCCGGGGAGGGUGAUGGAGGAGCGGAAUUCCGGUGGGGGGAUUGGUGGUGGUGGUGGAAAGUGGGUUUGUGUUGGGGAAUUUAAAGGAGAAGAGAUGAGAAAUUAAAUUAAAGAGGAAAGGCGGUUUGAUUUUGACAGAAAAAUGGGAAAAAGAGAAAUAUAAAUAAAUAUAAAUAAAUAGAGUAAGAUAAAAUGAAAUAAAUUAUUGGUGAUUAGAAUAAUGGCAAAGAAUGGUCUUCCAAGAGGUGGAAUCUUAAGCAUACAUUUUUUUGAGUUUGAGGCAAAUUUUAAUGUGAUUUGUACCCUUUUAUUCUUUACUUCAACAGAUAUAAGACUUCCAAUUCAUUGCACUUUUUAACCUUAACCAUUAACAUUUUUACUCAAUUUAUGAUUAUGUAUAAUAAACACUUUAAAUGAAUUACAAACACACUAUUAUUUUCUACAUGGAACCAAUAAUACUAUCUCUCUAUAUUGAUAAUACUUACAAAUGUUUUUGUAUUGUACUAUAUUUGCAACUAUUAUAGUCUUGAAGAGGUAUUUAGUUAAAUACAUAUUUCUUUAAUAAACUAAGGUAUUGUUUAGUGGAGUAUUAUUUAUUUAAUUAUUUUGGGUUUUAUAAAAAAAGGAAAAAAGAUGUAAAGUUAGAAUGAGGAGUUUCUAUUAUUAGUGAAGUAGUAGUAGUAGUUAGGACAUCUUUAUUCCUUUCAAGUGAUAGUAUGUUGCAGAAUUCCAUUCUUUAUAUUUGUGAUGUCUAUCUAUAAAAAGGGUACCAAAUUAAUGGACUCAUUUUAAAAUAUAUAUAACUUCCUUUUUCAAAUAAAAAAAAAAAAGAAAGAAGAAAACUUAGGUUAUAUCAACCAUAUGAUUUUGAAAAUUAAUAGCAAUGAUUAAUUUAUAUAUUUUUUUUUAUAAAAAAUGAAUUUAAUUGGUAAAUUUGAAAUGUUUUUUUUCCUCUCCAAUGAAGAAGAAUUAAUUUGAAUAACGAGAAGAACCGAUCCAAUUUUUUUAGUAACAUAAAUUUUAAAAUUUAAAUAAUUGUGGAAUGAGAUUUUUCACGAUUUUAAAAUUAAUAAAAAUGAACAUGAAUGCAUGCUUUAAUUAUUAAAAUCUACAUUUUUCUAACGUUAUGGUUUGGGUCAAGAACUUGGUUGAAAUGGCUUUUCAAACAUAAACUAUUUUUAAGUAAUUACAAAAUUAUUUCAAACAAAUUCUAAAUUUUUAAUUUUUGAAGCGUUAUAAGUUGUGAGUAUGUAAGAUUUAAAGAUAAAUACAUAAUGUCACAUUCGGUGGCAUAUAUACUUUCAAUUUCUGAUCUUAGAAGCUGUUUUUAGUGUAUAAAAUUAGGCGAAAAGAGAUUUAUAUGAUAAAGAUUUAUUUUCAAAUAAUUAAUAGUGAAUUAAUUAACUAAUUAAGAGAAGUCAUUUAAAUGACAAAUGAAAUAAGAUAAUGUAAAAGGUGGAAUAAUAAAAAGGUUUUUCUUUUGACUAAACUUUCAUCUAUGCAUGUCCAUUUCUCCUUUAUCUCUUCCAAAUUCCAACCCCAUUUCUUUUCACUUUUCAAUAACGUUUAGAAGAUGUAACGCUAUUAUACCCAUUCAUUUCGAAAAAAUAGUUUGAUGUAUUUCGAACUAUACCUAUUUUUUACUUUUUUAUACCGUAGUACUUCAAUCAAAUGUCAAUCAUAAAAUAGUAAAUAGUAAAUGCUUACGUAUCUUAAUUUUUCCUUCAAAAAUUGGAAGCAACGGAUUAAAAUAAAUGCAAACUAGACUUAUCUUGACUUAAUCUAAUUACCACAAUCUCUCUAUGGUAAGUUCUAUCGAAUCAUAGGUAUGUCACAUCAAUAUUUAAGUAAUAGUAUUCAUUCACGAGACUAAAGAAUGUUUAAUUAUAUAUAAUUGAAGUUUAUUAGGAUUUUGGACAUAUUUGGAAUGAUUCAAACAUUUGAAUAACCACAUCAACAUAAUUACUCAAUUAGUGUAGACAUAUAGUAUCAAAUCAAGAUGUUAAAAGUAUGAAUCUCCCAACUCUAUGAUUAUUUAAAUACUUUCUUUUUUCUUUUUUCUCUAGAUCAAUGUGUGGACCUUAAUUAAUAUUUAAUAUCAUCAACGGUUUGACACGACCUUCUUCUCUAGAGGUUGAAGUUCAAUCUCGUAGAUGCGUUGUACUAAAAAAUGAAAGAGUAGAAAGGAUGUGAGUGAGUGUAUCCAUAUGUGUGUGUGUGUGAGAUUUGGUUUAAUUAAAAGAGAAAUGUCAAAGGGAUUAUUCACUUUAUGAGUUUAGGUGACAAAUUUGAUGGAUCUAAAUGGUUCAUCCAAAUUGGUGGGGGCCGAAAAUUCUUAUAUUCAACAUAUAAAAAAUGGUUCUCUUAGCUUUGAUUUAUUGGAGAUUAUUUAUACACGAAAGGUUUGAAAUGACCAUUCCUCUUUUUAUCAUUAUAUCUAACUUUCUUUCACGUUAUUAUUUUAGGUAUUUUGUUAUGCAGAUUUCUGUUAUUUUUUGGACUGUUUUCUUAGAGAAGGAAUCAACCCCAUUUAAGGUAGGUUUAAUGGGAUAAAAUUCAAAGGAUAUAUAUAUAUAUAUAUAUACACACAUACAUAUAUAUAUAUAUAUAUCAAUGAAAAAAGAGAAAUUCUUAAUUGUAUUAUUUAUUCAUUUUGAAGUUUUAACUUAGCAUUUUAAAAAGAAUUAGAGGUAAAAAAUGAAGAAUGAAAUCUCAAACUUAAUUAUAUAUUUAUUUUAUAUAUAUAAAUAUAUAAUAUAAAUUCAUACAAACAAUCAAAUCUCAAACCUAAUUAUAUAUUUAUUUUGUAUAUAAUAUAUAAUAUAAAUUUCCAUAACAUAUAUUAAUAUAUUUAUAGGGUCUUUCUUCCACUAGAUUAAAAUUCAAACAUAUUUUAAAAAAUAGAGAAAUUGACAAACUAUUUAUACUAUGUAGAACAAAAAAAAAUCAAAUAAUCAAAUAAAUAUUUUGUUAAAUAUGGAAAACUUUACUAAAAUUUAUAUAAUUGAAAGUGCUACUAAAAUUAUAUUAUUUUAAUCUUUUCCUCUUGAAAAAACAAAUAAAAUAAUCUUUAAAUUUUCAUUUAACAUGUAAUUGAAUGGGAUAUUCGUAUCUAUUUAAUCUUUAUUAUUACUUUUAUUUUUAUAAAGAAAACACUUUACAAUUUACAUUAGGUUUUGUUUUGUUAAGCUAAGUUUGUCUCGAUCUUUAGAUUUGGCCAAAAUAAUAUCUUAAAGACAAUUUUUUUAUAAUUGAGUUUGAUGUUAACCGAUAAGACAUUGUAUUUGUUUCUUAGAGAUGUAUGCUCUUGUUAGGGUAAUUGAUCUCAUAGGAGAUCUUAAUAGGUCACAAAGUUUAACUGGAACUAUCAUUUUAGUGUUGGAAAUAAGAUAAGACAUGAAGUGUUUGGAAAGUAGCAUGAUGUAUUCUUAUAUUAUUUAAGAAGAAUGUAAUCAUUAAUUUAUAGUAUACGAUGGUGUAUACUUUAAAUACAAUAAAAAAGAACAAAAUGUAUUAUUUAUUUAUUAAAGAAAGGGGAUGUAAAAGGAACCUUAUGGUUUGAGAAAUGUUGAGAGAAUUGAAAUAAUGAGUGUACUUAAAAAUACUUACAUGCUAAUUCUGUCCUUUUGGAGACAUUGGUAUAUUUUAGAAAAGCUUUUGGUUUACUAAUUAUAUUAUAUACCAAAUGUUUCCUACACAAAAAAUAUAUAUAUACACAAUAAAAAUUAUAUUAUACCAAAUGUUUCCUCAUAAAAUUAUAUAUAAUACAAAAUGGAAAUGGAAUAGUAUAAUCAACUUUGUACGGACCAAAAAAGGAGGAUACAAAUUAAAGAUCACCAAACACUCACCCAAUUACUUCUACUUCACUUUUCUCUCUUUUCUCUUUUCCCUUUUUUCUUUUUCUAAAUUUUAUUUUAUAUUACUGUGACAAAUUAAUAAAUAAUAUAUCUAAAAUUUAUUUAAUUACAUAUAAAAAAAAACAUACAAUAGCUACUAAUAAAGUUGGAUGAUUAAAAUAAAAGCUACCUAAUUUUUUGUGAUUAUUAUACUUUAGUUCUCAAGAUUCUUUUUGGACCUUUGUGCUUUAGUCCUAAUUUCGCCUCUUAAAUGUCCUAUUUUUCAUUAUAGUUUCUAUAUUAUUUAAAAACAUUCCAAUUCUUAGUUAAAAUUUACGUCUUAGUUUAAAUGCGGAUAAAAAAAAAAAAAAAACUCAAUUUAAAACCUAACACUUUUAUAAGUAUUUGAAUUUUUAUUUUUGAUUUUGAAAAAAUUAAACAUUUUUUUUUUACAUUUUCUUACGUUUGAUAUCACAUGAAUCUAAAUAGUUACCAAUACAAUAAAAUUUUGAAAGUAUAAAUCUAAAAAUUGAAAUGUAGGUUGAAUUUAAACUUUAAAAAGUUAUAAGGUAUAAUUUAAAUCUAAAACGUACUACUAAAUUUUAAACAUAUAAAAAACUUUGAUAGGUGAUAAAUAGAGAUUAUAAUAAUCACGUUGACAAGUAAUUCAAGCUCAUUAUUAUAUAUAUAUAUAUAUUUAAUUAUUGUAAAUAUAGGACAUUUAAAUAAGUAAAUCAAUAGAAUUUCUUAAAAAUAAUUAGUAACAUAUAUACUUUUAAGAAAUAAAAGCCAUGUCAACUUUAAAAAGUUUUGCCUUAUGAAUGAAGCAUACAAAUUAUAAGUUUGAUAAACAUCAUUUGAAACUUUUGUACUUGUUUAUUCUCUUCUCUAGAUUCUUAUAUACUUAGUUGCUUUAAAGCUCAACUUCACAUUUUUAAUCUUGAGUAGUUUUAUUUAGUUACAAUACAAACAAAAAUUUAAAACUUCAACACGUUAUCGAAGAUGGAGGAUUUUCCUAUUUUCUCUCUCGUAAUAGUAGAUUUUAGGGGUAUACAUGGGUUUAACAACCCAUUUGAAUCUUUCGAGGUAGCCAAACUAACUAGUUCGAAGGCCUUGAUACGUCUCCAAACUGGAACCAUUAAAUAUCUAUGGUAUUUAUUACAGGUUUUGAAGGAAGAUAUCAAAUUAAUUAGUUUUAAAAACAAAAACAUAGAAGAGUUACAAAUUCAUCCAUUUAUGUAAUUCAAGUUAUUGAUUUUAAAUACUUCUAUUCAACAUAAGAUCUUUACCGUCUCAACAAAAGUAGAAAAAUACUCAAAUCAAAAACAAAACUAAAUCAUCCGAUUCAUUUGAACAUUUUAUUAAAAAAAAAUAUCUUUAGUGAAUUUUGGUAUUGAAUAGGGUUGUGACAGAUGGCAAUAUUUAAGCAUAUCUAUUGUACUAAUUUAAUCAUUUAAGUAAUUAAUACCCAAAUUAAACAACCUUUGAAUUUGUCUCUUCCUCCCUGUCUCCUUGAUUUAUUAUAAUUAUACUUUAAUGUACAGAUUGAUGUACUGAUUUCCUCCUUUUUUUUUUCUUUCUUUCUUGUAAACUCAUAUAAUUCUAAAUUAAAAUUACAAAAGUCAGGGUUGACAAAGGAUGGAAAAAUUUAAAAGUCAAUAAUGUGAUUAAUUAGUAUUAUAACUAAUAAUUAUAUCAUCUAAGUUUGACACACACAUUGUUUAAUGAUAAAGUAUUACCUAAAUAAAGUAUAUAAUAAAAAAUUUAAUACUAGCAAGCAUAAUUACUCAACAAAUUAAAAUAAAAGAAAUACACACAAUUACAAAAAUGAAGUUGUAUCAAUUCAAACCGUGUAAAGAUUAAAUUGUCAAGUUUAACGACUAAAUUAAAUUGUUAUUUCUCUUCGUGCGUGUAUAUAGAUAGUAUCCCAAUUGAACAUCGAAAAUUUGGAAUCACAUCAUUCAAACAACUCUUUGAAAUUUAAAAUUGAAAUCACAAUUUGUAAUAGUUAUGACCACUCUAUAUUUAAGAUUAUAUAUAUAUAUAUAUUUAGAGAGAAUUCAUACUAAAAUCUAGGCGUAUUUAAUUUCAACAAUGAAUUUCAAAACUAUUAUUAUAUAUCUAUGGCAAGUUUUAAAGUAAGAAUAGAAAAUUUAAAAAAUCGUACAUUUGGCAAAGAACUGAAAUUUAUGUUCCACUAUGCAAUUUCCAUUGCUGAAAAUAUUAAUUGAAAGAAAAAAGGAAACUGAUUAUAUAUAUAUAUAUAUAAAAGAAAUUAAUUUAUUGGUAAAAAUGCAACAAAUUUUAUACAUUUAUUAUAAUUUCUUAUGCCCAUUGGAAUAAAGAGGAGAAAAUUGCAGGCCUUUCUCUAUUUCCAUUUUGUUUUGUUUUUUAAUUUAAUGUUUUUCAUGCAAGUUGAAAUUAGAUAUACAAAUAUCCAAAAUAGUCUCUCAUUAUAUAAUUUAUAAAAUUGUGAAAGCUAUUUUUACAAGAAAAUAUGAGAAUAUAUAAAAUAAUAUUCGUCGGAUAAUUAGUCAUCAAAUCAAUGGCCGUACAAUAAUGUAUAUACACACGUAUAUAUUUUAAAUACAUAAAUAAAUUGCCGGCUUAUUUGGGUAGUGAUGGUAACUCAUAUUUAUUUUAAAUAAUGCCAAUUUUAAAAAUAUUUAUAAAUAUACUAAAAUAUUGCAUACAUGGGUUACAUAUUUAAAUACUGAUAAUCAAAUUUUACUAUAUUUAUUUAUUUGAGUUGUUUUAAGAAGAAUUUUUAAAAAUAAUAGAUUUUAUAAAAUAUUUAGAAUCCAUACAAAAUUUUAUCUGAUAGUCAUUGACAUGCUAUAGUGAUAGAAGACUUUUAGUAAUAGAAUCCAAAAUUUUGCUAUAGUUCGUAAAUAUUUUAAUUUAUUUUACUAUUUUUAAAAAUGUUCUUUUUAUGAAUUGGGUGAAGAAGUUUAGAAAUAAGUAUUUUGUGAUUAAUAUUUAAUUAAAUAGUUUAGAGUAACUUAAAAAUAGCAAAAUAUUGAAUCUAUUUGCCAACUAGAGAAAAAUUGAUUCAACUCUUCCUCUAUUUAAGUUUUUUCGAUUUAUCUGUUAUUAAAAAUUCCUAAAUUAUUCAAAUUUAAGAUUUUUUUUAUGAAUUUUUAUUUUUAAAAACUGAAUCUAUUUCAUAUCAAUUUCUCAUAGUUUUUUUUUUUCUUUGUAGGGAUGAUUCUUUCUUGAUCACUUUAAUGUUUAGCAACGCAUCCCUGCAAAUCAAUAAAACCUAAUCAUUUGCUUACCUUAUAGUUUAACUACAAAAUUUUAAUGGUAAUUGCAUGGUGCAAUUCUAAAAGAUUUCUACAAUAUGGUUUUGCAGAAGAUAAUUUGUACAGAAUAGUACUAAAAAUGAUAAAAAAUUAUAACAACCUGUAAAUAUUUUGUCAAUUUUGUUAUUUCUUAAUAUUUUUAUUUAAAUUAGAAAACAAUAUUUUAAAAAAAGAAAUACACUAAACCUCCUAACCAAUUCAUAAAUAAAUUACUCAUAAUAAAAAGAGUUGGAAUUUGAUGCUCACAACGGUAAUUUGAUCAAGAUGAUAUGAGUUUCCACUGAUCACAAGUGAAAACAUUAAGAAAAUAUUUUUUUUGUAAUUUUAAAUAAUUAAGUUUAGAAAAAUUUUAAAAAGAAAAGUUCACGUGAAUAGAAGAAAAUGAUAAGUUUUUACCUAGAUACUUUAAAGCUUGAAGUAAAAUUUUAGUUAUUUAUUUUGAGGUUAGAUUAAAAUUUCGUGGGCUGUAAAUAUAUAGUUGGUUAAUUCUUCUAUUUUUAAAAAUCUCCACUUAAAAAAUAGUAGUAAUUUAAUUUAAUUUUAAUAAAUUUAUUUAUUUUUUAAAAAAACUAUAACAAACAUGUCUACGUCUUUUUUAUAAAAAUAAAAGUCUACUUAAUCAAUCCCACUAUAUCAUCAUUAGGUCAUGUCCCUUUUUGAUUAAGAGGUGCUAACCUAAAUAAAAGUCGAUAAUAUUAAUUAAAAAUUAAUCUAUAUAAAGGUAUAGAUGAGAAUAUAUAUAUAUUUUUCCAAAUGUACCCAUUCACUAAAAGAAUUUUCAUUUAUUCAUUUUUAUUGCAAUUUUGUUUUUAAAUAUAAAUGUUCUUUCAUUUGUUGAAAGACUCCAACUCUCUAAUCAAAUAAUAUGUUUCAAAUGUUGACAUUUUUUAAAUAAGUAGACUUCCAAAUAUAGAAGUUUUGAAGAUACACAAAAAUGUUGGUAGAAAAAAAAAAUAAAAAAAGUCUUAUAUAUAUAUAUAUAGUAGAAAAAAAGGUUACAAAUUUUUUUCAAUUUUUGGGCUUUAAAUUUGCAUUGUUAAUUAGAAUUAAUAAGAUAUUUAAUUUUUAAUUAAUUUCUAAGAUGUAAAUGAAAAACCAUUUGCAUUCCAACUUUUCAUAUCCUCCGUCUAUAAUUAAUUCAAAAUGUAGUUGAUAAAUGAAAAAUCAUUUGCAUUCCAACUUUUCAUAUCGUGCAUACUUUAAAUCUACUAAACUUAAAUAUAAUUAAUUCAAAAAGCAGUGGAGGAGGGCGAGUCUUUUAUAAUUAUUUAUAUUAAAAAAACAAAAUUAAAAAUGAAUUUACCAUAAAACUAAAAAGUGAUUUGGACAUAGAACUAAGCUCAAUAAUAUAAUGAAGAGAAAAAAGUUUCUCCACAUUUUGACUCUUAUAUAUACUAUAGAUAGAUGUAGAAGUCUUAUAUUUUCGGUUUUAACAUAAUUAUUCUAUACUUGAUGUCGUUUCUUUACGAGAAUAAAAAACGGGCAUGUGUUAAUUAUCUAAUUAAAAUAAAAGACUAAUUUAAUAAUUCAAAAAUUAAGUUUGGAAAAGUUAAUAAAUAAAGUGAUUUAUUUCCAUUCACAAUUUCAGCUUUGUUUUAUAAUCAAUACUAUUUGAUCUUUUAGCUUUUUAUUUUUAAAAAUUAAACUUAUAAAGGGAACUUUCAAAUUCAAAUUUUUGUUGAAAGAGUCUUUUUACUUUGAGAAAUUUUCAUUUUAAAAUUUAGUGUUUUUAUUUGAGAAUUAUUUAUUUCAUGUAUGUAAUUUAUGAACUUCUUAUAUCGUUAACACAUGUUUUAGGUUGUCUCAAGUAUGCUCAUUUUAAUCUUUUAACUCACUUUUAGUUUGAAGAACAAAUGUCAAUUCAAUAAUUUCACAUUUCUUCACUCGACAGAACUUUUGGACCCGAAUUCAAGACAUAAUAUUUUGCCUAAUAAUGCUAGAGAACUAGAAAAGCAAUGUCAAAAAAUCCCAAAAACGAAAGAAUAAUUUAUCUAUAUGCUGAUAGACUUUAUAUACUUUCAACUCAUAUAACAUCGAGUUACUAACCAAGACUUGAUUAUUAUACUUGUUACCAUGAUCUGCAUAAUACCGAAGAAUAAAAACACCAUCAAACUUUGCAAAAUUAUAUAAAUAAAUUGUUUUACCACUUCGUCUUAUGUUUCAAUACACUUUCCUCCAAAUUCUCAAAUAUUUUCUCACUCCUUUUUUCAAAGUAACCACACCUAUUUAUGUUACUUUUUACUUUAACGUGUAAAUAAUUUGUUAUAUGAAGUGUAAAUGGUUUAUCAAUUUUUGAAAAGGUUUGUAAAAUGAAUGUAAAAUCUCCAUUCUCCAGCAAAGAAAAAGAGAUCUCAUGCAUAUAUAUAUAUAUAUGCUAGACUAUAAGUAUAGAUAUAUAGGUAUCCACUAAAUUUUGAAGAGGAAAAGAGAGAAGAAAACAUGAUAAUAAUGAAAAGGAGUGAUUAGAUGAGAGGUUAGGCGUGAAGAUAUGAAGAAAGUGGAGCCAAAGCACUAGAAAUUGUCCCAUUAUUACAAGCUAUGGGUCCCAAUUAAGGAGGUCGUCAUGAUUGGAAUUUCAUCAUCACUAUCUUUCAAAAUUUCUAUUUCUUUUUUCUUUUCAUAAACAAACCAAAUACAAUUUUAAUUUCUCUACUUUGAAUUGAAAAAUAUUAAAAAAGAUAAAGUUAGAUAGAUACAGAGAUUAAUCCAUAUUUCAAACUUAAUUACUAAUUUAAAUUUACUUAAUAUUUUUAUAGUUUUUGUAAAAAUAUAAAUUAAAACAAACAUUUUAAAUCGAUAUUUCUACUAGUGCUAUUAGGAGGAAUUUAUUAUUUAUUCUUUUCUCCAUUAGCUAUCGAUAUUAUUUAUUUAUGCAUAUCUAAUAUUAAAAUUCAACUAAAAAUACAAACAACUAAAAUUGAAUAGUGUUCAAAUAUAGAGCCCUUGUUUUCAAAAUGAAACAAGUAGAAACUAUUGUAGCAAUUAAUAUCAAUGUUGAUGAUAUUAAUAAAAAGAAUUAUAAAAACAAAAAGAAUUUAAAAAAAAUUAAAAUUAACUACUAACUAGUAAAUAAUUAUUGGACACUUUCUUUUAUAGAAAUACAUUCUAACUUUUUUUAUACAAGUUUGAACAAUUUAAUUCAUCCUAGGAUUAAUCUCUGUGGUAUACUUAUUAGGAUGAUUAUAAAUGUGAGAAUGUUAAUAAAAUUGUUGAUAUUGGGAGGAAAAUUGAAUAGCAUGAUAAUAAGAAAUUAGAAGGAGAUUGGUCAAAUAUUUUAGCGCAUGCUUAUUGUUUUUAUUUUGCUUUAUUUCACUCUUUGGGUCCUACCAACCCCUAAAAGUCCUUCUUUCACUUUAUUGAUUGUUUUUUUUUCCUUAACAAAAAAGAGAAAGAAAAAAAGUUCAAAUUACUUUAUGAUUUUGUAAAAAUCCAUGAAUAAAGAUGCUAUUAUGCCCUUUGAUAAUGAUUGUUUUUUCUUUUAUAAUACUAUUUUUGGACCACGAAAUGGUAAAAUAUUGAGAAUGGAGACACAUAGCCCAAAUGAAGUUACAUAAUUUGACUUCACAUGUUGAAGAAAAAGUGUUAAAUUGCUAUUAUAUUUUGAGAAUUGUUUGUUUGUUUUUUUUAUUAAGUAAUAAAUUUUUAUUGAAAUUUUAGAAGUUCUUAAUAGAAUCCUAGGUGGCAAAGUGGGCUCCACUUGGCGUUCUCUCACCGUUGACUAAGAAACAAAAAGUUUUGGUUAUGUUUUGCUUUGGCCUACUCGGAUUGGCCACGUGGGUCCCACCAACCAAAAUCAAAACCCACACCUGCUGAAAGCAAUUCCCUUUUCCACUUCUCACUCUUUCACUUUGAACUUCUCAAAAAAGCAAUUCACAGAGAACCGAAAACCAUAUGAAAAGAAUGGAAAAACAAACAAUACCAACCCAUUUCCUUUCUGGGUUCUUCUAAGUUCACUCCCAUCUCAAUCACAAAACCUCAAAACUCCACCUUCUUUCUUCUUCUUCUUCUUCUUCUUCUUCUUCAAUGACGGUCUGAUGCUUCAUCUCUGUUUCUCUUUCAUCUUCUCUUAACGGGUUCUUUCCAUUGCCGGGGACUGGGUCAGAUUUGUACUCUUUUUGUAAUGUGGGUGUGGCGGCUCGGCGUCGUGAAGUUUCGUGAAAUCGCCUCACGUUUUGGAGGGAGGAGAUAUGAUGAAACGGCUAAAUGGGGCUUUGGUUUUGCUUUGGUUCAUCUUUGUUGGACAAUUUUGUUGUACCAAUGUCUCUGCAACUGUAGAAGGUGAUUCCCAUUUCCUUUUCCUACUGAUGUUGCUUGUUGUACUUGUGUAGAUGAAAAGGGUGUGUCAAAGAUCAUCAAUGUUUUGGAACUGAGACCAUGGGUUGGCCUAACGGUAAAUAAAUCAUAUGAGUUUGAUAAUGGGGAUUUAUUAUCUAUGGCGUUUCGUUGACGUAUAAAUAUUGCAGGGUGAAGUGGGUUGUCCUAUGAGAUUAGUUGAGAUGCCCAUAAAUUGUCCCAAUGCUUCAGACUGUAAACAAAAACGUUUUGGAACAGAAUUCUUUUGGGCCAAUUUACUUCUCUGCCUAAGGCUGUUAUCUCUUAAUAUUUUUCAUUUAAGUGGUGGUUUUGAGAGCUUAAUGGGUUGCCAUAGUGUAAAAUAGGUUGAGACGAGAAGCAUACUUUAAGGUAACAUUUUGAUAUUUUUAGAAAUGCAGUGAUUGAGCCUUGUGUUCUAACUUCCCAAAUACAACUGUCAUUUUUCAUUUUGUAUGCUUGAAUUUUAUUGUUAAAUUCGGUGAUAUUCUGUCUCAUUAUUGUAUUAUAGAAUUCUAAAAAGUUGUGGAUGUGAUCUCUUUUCUCUUAUUCAGCUUCUGUUGAAUUUGACAAUGUGUUCUUUCUAUUCUAAACAGCUACUGUUCUGCAUAUAUUUCGAUUGAAUUUGGAAGAUCCAAACAAUGUUCUGCAGAGUUGGGACCCUACACUGGUCAAUCCCUGCACUUGGUUUCACGUCACUUGCAAUAAUGAAAAUAACAUUAUAAGAGUGUAAGGGACAUCAUUUGUUCGUUCAUUUGUUCUCGGGCUAUGUAAACUUUGGUCAAUGUCAUACAAAAUUUUACAACUUUCGGCACUCUUUGCAGUGACCUUGGAAAUGCUGGAUUGUCUGGCAAAUUAGUACCACAGCUUGGUCAACUUAAAAGUCUUCAAUACUUGUAAGUCAUUGUUUGCUGUAAACUUGUUUGGACUUCAAUUCCUAUAGCAUAAGCAGUUGUAAUGGUGACUUUUACCUGCAUGUAUUGUUCUUCUCUAAGUUAAAUGAUUUUAAUUGAUUACAGGGAGCUUUAUGGUAACAACAUAAGUGGAGAGAUUCCAGAUGAUCUCGGGAACCUAGAAAAUUUGGUGAGCCUAGACCUUUACUUGAACGGUUUAACUGGCCCGAUUCCAGACACGUUUGGCAAGCUCACACAAUUGCGUUUCUGUAUGAAUAUUAUACAUCCUUUCUUUUCUCUUCUUUGUGAUAUGUUACUUGACAUCUUUUGUGCUUUUACUUUCAUUGAAUGAGAACAUGCUUCCCUAGAGGCUUGACUCAUUCAUUGUGUGUUUAUGCAUUAUCUUUGAACCAUACACAUUCUUCCCUUUAUGUAACUUAUGGGUGUUUUCUCUUGGUAUAUCUUUGAAUGGAUAGUCGGCUGAAUGACAACAAACUAUCUGGCUUGAUACCGAUUUCCUUGAUAAAUAUUUCCACCCUACAAGUCUUGUAAGCAUUUACACUAUCUUUUCUUGCUCUAAGGUUCAAUUUUGUUGGAAGUGAAAGUGAGAAUAUGAGUUGAAAUAGAGUGGCUAUAACGUAGUUUAAACAUCAUUCGCAGGGAUCUAUCGAACAACCUUCUAUCUGGAAAAGUUCCAAAUAAUGGCUCAUUUUCACUAUUUACUCCCAUAAGGUAUUUUGCUUAUAAAUUACACAUGAAGUUUCUUCUGGAUCGAUGUUAGCUGAUCAGAUACUAACUGCUAUCGUACUGUUUGUAGUUUUGCAAAUAACUUGGAUCUAUGUGGUCUGGUAACUGGGAAACCUUGCCCUGGGAUCCUCCCUUUUCUCCACCGCCGCCAUUUGUUCCACAAUCAACAGUUUCUUCCCAUGGUAUUAUCUGGUUAGAAAGAUUAUUGAAAUAGGCAAUUGUUCUAGUACUCUACCACAACAAAUUGUUUAAUGGAAUACUUCAUCUCACAAUUUGGUGCAUAUCAUUGACAUAAGUAACUUCACUUGGGUUUAAAUAUACAUUGUGUUUGUUGAACCUAACAAGUGAGGUUAAUUCACAUUUAAGAAAUGAGUUUCUAUGAACUUCUCCAUUGUAGCAUUAACUUAUCUUUGACUUUGAGAAAGCUUAAAAUAUGUUUGGUUUCUCUCCAGAAUUAAACAAUCCCAAUGGAGCAAUUGUUGGAGGAGUUGCUGCAGGUGCUGCUUUACUUUUUGCUACACCGGCUAUCAUAUUUGUCUAUUGGCAUCGGAGGAAAUCACGAGAAAUAUUCUUCGAUGUCCCUGGUUUGUCUCUGUUGCAAAAGAUUCACUUUUACCUUUUUUUAGCUUGCAAGUCACCAUGGCUUUGUUUAUGCAGCGGAAGAGGACUCAGAGAUCAACUUGGGGCAGCUGAAGCGGUUUUCUCUGAGAGACUUACAAGUUGCAACAGAUAACUUCUGCAACAAAAAUAUUCUUGGUCGAGGUGGAUUCGGUAAAGUCUAUAGGGGACGUUUGGCUGAUGGCUCGUUAGUAGCAGUAAAAAGGCUCAAAGAAGAGCGUACGCCAGGUGGGGAGUUACAAUUCCAAACAGAAGUAGAGAUGAUUAGCAUGGCAGUGCACCGAAAUCUUCUGCGACUACAUGGAUUUUGUACAACAUCGAGUGAACGCCUCCUUGUUUAUCCUUAUAUGGCCAACGGAAGUGUUGCAUCAUGUUUAAGAGGUACAAUUUCUUGUUUUUCCUUGAAAAUGUUAGAAGUUUCAAGCUCAAGUUUUUUCUAUAACUUUUCUAGUGUAUCUUCAAUCUUGUUACAUUAUGUAUUUUAUUUAGUUUUGAUAUGAAAUCAAAACUAUCUUAUCCACAUCUUUGUUAAUUGGCAAAGCCACUUUUAUUACAAACUCAUAAUGUAGCUAGCAUAUUUUUCAUAGAACGUCCACAGUCUGAAGCUCCUCUCGACUGGCCAACUAGAAAGAAAGUUGCAUUAGGCUCUGCGAGAGGUCUUUCUUAUUUACAUGAUGGAUGUGAUCCAAAAAUCAUCCAUCGUGAUGUGAAGGCUGCAAAUAUUCUACUAGAUGAGGAAUUCGAGGCUGUUGUGGGUGAUUUUUGGUCUUGCAAAGUUAAUGGAUUACAAGGAUACUCAUGUUACAACAGCAGUAAGAGGUACAAUUGGGCAUAUAGCUCCAGAGUAUCUCUCAACUGGGAAAUCAUCUGAAAAGACUGAUGUCUUUGGUUAUGGCAUUAUGCUUUUGGAGCUAAUAACCGGACAAAGGGCUUUCGAUCUUGCUCGACUGGCAAACGAUGAAGAUGUCAUGCUGCUUGAUUGGGUAUAAACUCAGGAUUUUUCUUUUUGCAAAGUCUACUAACUUAGCAGCUCUCAACAGUUUUUUCUCUAACCACUCUCGUUUUGAUUACAAACUUUUCAGGUGAAAGGGCUUCUGAAAGAGAAAAAGUUGGAGAUGUUGGUUGAUCCUGAUUUGAAGGAGAACUAUGAUGAGAUUGAAGUUGAGCAAAUAAUCCAAGUAGCACUUCUCUGCACACAGAGCUCGCCUAUGGAACGACCCAAAAUGUCUGAUGUGGUGAGAAUGCUGGAAGGAGAUGGGUUGGCUGAGCGAUGGGAGGAAUGGCAGCGAGUGGAGGUAGUUUACCAUGAAACAGAAUUGACAUCUUCUCAAACUUCAGAAUGGAUGGUUGAUUCGACUGAAAACGUUCGUGCUUUUGAAUUAUCUGGUCCUAGAUAACUAAACAGUUUGAUAGAAACAAAAUGUCAUCAUUCCUUCUUUUUUUCUUCUUUUAUUUAGAGUGCUCACUUUUUGCUUCACAAAACCUGUGUAUAUGAACACCUUGUUAGAGCAAUAUAUUACGUAUACAUAGCUUCAUUUUCAUAAUUCUUCUUUCUUCUUCACUUCAUUUCAGUUAUUCACCAAGUCUUGAAAGUUUUUAAGCAUUAAAAUAAAAUGAUCAUUUGUAUCAAACUAUAGACACAAACUUAAAACCAAAAAACUUAGUAGACAUUUUCAAAUUUUAGAAGCUUACGUUAAAAGUAAUGAGUUUUGAAAUUUCACCCUAAUAAAAGAUAAAUUCUAACUUAUCAAAUUUAUAAUUUAAUUUUCUUUUCAAUGUAGGAUAAGUUACAAAACUAUGAUUACAAGAUAAUGACUAAAUUUUAAGAAGAAAAAAAAUGAAGUUUGGCUAUGUAAUAACCAUUUUUCUUUUCAAACUAACCUUAUUUUCUCUCUAACUUGUCAUAAUGAUUUAUAAUUUUUUUAAUUUUAAAAUCCUAAAAGGUUUUUAAAAUUUGUAUCUUCAUCUCUAAGUUUUAAAAAUGUAAAUUUUGGUGUGCAGAUUUUUUAACAAAAACUUAUUUUGAUCUUUUCGUUAGAACUACGUUAUCUUAACAAAAUGUUAGAGUGACACUUCUAUAUUUGGAUGAGUUGAGCGAUCAAGUAACUUCUCUAAACGUAAUCAAACACUAACAAUCAAAUAAACUCAAAUUAAAAAAUUAAAAUUGUUUUUUUCUCAAAAUUUAAAUCUCUCACAUCCUCUCUUGUCUCUCUCACAUUGUUUUUCAAAUUGAAAUCUUGAAGCAAAUUAGAAGAACAUUAAGUAGAAUAAAAAUAAAUAAAACCGACAUAUUAACGUGCUAAAAUCUCUAACAAGGUAAAAUAAAUUAGAAAAUAAAACAAAUAUAACACAUUAAUAAAAUAAACUCUAUAAAAUUACAUAUCAAUAUUCCUACCAUGAAUCAUGAAACCAAAAAAAGAAAAGGAGAAGAAAGAAUUGUGAAGAAGAGAACAAAAAGGCAUAUCAAUGAAUCACAAGAUACAUCACGACUAAACAAUUUGUAUGAGAAUAAAUUUGUAUGUAUGAGUUGAGAAAUGAACUAAAAUGUCAUCCUCGUCAUGAUUUUGUUAUAGAAUUUUUUUUUUAAAGAAAUUUACAUGGACCAAAAUAGAAUUUAAAUGUUUUUCGUCAACUAUUGUUUAGAAAACUAAUUUUUAGCUCUCGAAAUUUAAAGAAAUUUAGAGAAGCUUAACUUUUGUUUUUUGUGAAAUAGUAUAUUAUUAUGAUUUUUUCAAACAAGCUUAAUUUUUUUUUAAAAGAAAAAAAAAAGACGAAAUGGGGCUAAAUUUGUAAUUUAAACUUUUAGAAAAGUUGAAUCGGAGAAGAUGAGGGAUGGAAGCGACGGAGAGAAGAAAAACGGGAGAAGCUUUUGAGAAACGCCGCCUCCUUAAACCCUAAAAUUUCUAUGCUUUUCAGCUCUUAAAUUAAAUGUACGCUAUGUAUCCAUCAUUCUCUGUUUGUGUUCCCUCUCCCCUUAAUCCUCCUUUCUUCCUCCGACUAAUUCAUCCAUUCUUGUUUUCUUUCUUCUCUUCUUCUUCUUCUUCUUCUUCUUCUUCUUCCCACUCCCAACCACCCUCUCAUUCCUAUGGAAUCGUCCUCCAAUACCUCAUCGAUACCUUCCAACUCUCCCCCGCCAGAGCCGUCUCCAUUAUGGCAACCCGUAGAGGCAUUCAAUCAACUGAAAAGCCUCGUUCCGUUUACAAAUAUCUUUCGGACCUCGGAUUAUCCGACACCCAAAUUAAAUCAGCCGUUCGAAUCACACCCCAAAUCGCGUUUUCCAGCAUUGAGAAAACACUGAAGCCAAAGAUCGAGUUCUUACAGAAUCUUGGCUUUGUUGGCUCAGAUUUGAGUAAGUUCAUUUCCAGGCAAUCUAAAUUUUUUUCUUCUAGUUUGGAAAAGACAUUGAUGCCCAAUGUUGAGAUUCUUAAGAAUGUUUUGCCCAAGGGUACGUGUAAUGACGAUCUCCCGAAAGUUUUGCGGCGAUGUUCUGAUGUACUUACGAGAUCCCCGUAUAAAGUGUUGUCUGUAAAUAUCAAUUACUUACGAAGUUGUGGGAUUGUUGACUAUCAACUCUCUACGUUAUUGAAGCGACAACCUGCACUUUUUAUUAUGCAUGAAUCUCGACUUAAAGAUUUUGUUUCAAUGGCUGUAAAGGCUGGGUUUUCUCCCAACGGUACAAUGUUUAUUCAUGGACUUCAUUCUAUCAGUAGUAUAAGUAAUGCAACUUAUAAGAAGAAAGUGAAGCUGAUUUGUAGUUUUGGAAUAACUGAGAAAGAAUGUAUGAGAAUGUUUAAUUCGGCUCCUGUUUUGAUGAGGACUUCCGUUGGUAAACUUGAGGUUGGUCUAGAAUUCUUCAUGAAUGAGGCAAAAGUUAGCAAAUCAGAUAUUGUUCGUAAUCCUUUUUGUUUGAUGCACGCAAUGCAUGGAAGGGUGCUCCCUCGUUAUAGAGUUCUAGAGGUUCUGAAGUCGAAGAGGCUAACGAAGAAGCUCCCGAAGUUGAUCGAUUCAUUGUGGAUGCCUGAUGAGGAUUUCUUAGAUAAAUUCGUUCGUAGGUUUCCUGACAAUAUGAAUGAUUUGUUUGAGGCCUUUAGAGGUAAUUCGAGGAGAUAGCAACAUGAAGAUGGGGCAAGAACUAGAGCUAAUUUGAUCUAACAUUUGGUCAAUACCUUGAGAACAAGUGGUCGGGGUUGGAAGGUGCUUUGAUCAUAGUGAGCUCUUGAUUCCCCCUUUUCAUGUUAGGAUGGUCUCUCUCUAUCCCACAUUGUAUGUGCUACUAUGGUGAAUGUACUUGGAUUAAAGCUUCACAUUACAAAACACAACUAUUUUGCAUGACAAUUCUUCCUAAAAAUAAUGUAAAAAAUAACAGUAAAGAUCCUAAAUAGUUUAAGUUAAGGAAAUUGUAUGGAUCAGAAUGACACUCUUAAAAGUAAAAGAAUAAAACUAAACUAAGAUUCCUUUGAUCUAAAAACCUAAAUUGAUUUGAAUGUGUUUAGUUAUUCUUUACUUUUGACAUGUGCCAUGUGGAUUGUACCAUUGAUUGAUGGAUUCUACCUAAUUUGAUUGGAUUGAAAGGUGAUCGACCCAAUCUUUAAAAAUUGCACGAGAUCCACAAUUACUUACUAUCACUGUUAGGAUCAAAUGGUAAUAAUAAAUACAACAAAUUUAUAAUUCUAAGGAGGGAUAAAUAACAAUUCAACUGUGAUUGUAAUUCACUGUGAUUGAUUUAUCAAUGCAAUUUUAUUACGACUAUGUCAAUUGUGAUUUCGAAGUGAUAGAAUACGUAAAUAUAAAAAGAGAAGAAACUUUUGUUGUAUUAACUUUUACCAUAUAAUUUAAAAAUAUAUCUUUCUAUUUCAAACAUCAAUAAUAAUUUUGUUCUAUAUAUUUUGCAUAAAGUUGAGAAAGAAGGCUAAAUAGAUGGUGAUCAAUAUUUAACUUUUACAAACAUAUAGAAAUAGAAAAGUAAAUGAGACUUUGUGAGAAUAUAAAUGACAAUUAGGAUCGACGAACUUAAUUUUUUUCACGUCUCAAUCUUUAUUGUACUAAAGAAAAGCAAUAGAAAAGUAAAUGACACUCUGUGAGAAUAUAAAUGACAAUUAGAAUGGACGAACGUAAUUUAAUUCAUGUCUCAAUUUUUAUUGUACUGAAUAAAUAUAAAAAAGAGAAUUUUGAUUUACCUAUUCUGGUUGAUAAAAGAUAAAUAUCUUACUAAUAGGUCAGUAUUAAAAACGUAAAGAAUCUAUUGCACCAAACAUUUAUUUUUAAAUAAGGAAAAGAUAAAUAAAAUAAACUCAAAAUUGAAAGGCUAUACUUAUAAUUAACUUUAAUAUUAAUGUUUGUGGAAUUUUAAUUUUCUGUUUAAAGUGGUUGAGAUAGGAAUCUUACAACCUUACACUGUUAUCGCUAGAAAGAAAAACAAUUUUUAUAGUCGAUGGCAGAUCCGAAAAUUUUACAUAGGAGACACCAGACACUAUAUAAUAAACACAUUAAAAAUGUUAAAAAAUAUCUUGACGUUUCACUUAUGCUCUAAUAACACUCACUACAUUUAUAGCAAUAAAUAAAGACCGACAAUUUUCACAUGAUUUUUUUUAAUGUAAAUAUGUAAAUUUAAAAUUUGCAUAAAAAAAGAAAAAAGAAAGAAUAAUACAUUUUUAAUAUUAUUGAAAGAGUGGAAGUUUGGAUCACCGAUUUUAUUACAUUCUUUUAAUUUUUUUUGUUAGAUAACAAAUGAGAUCUAAGAAAUAAGUUAGGGUUAUAUAUGAGUUUUUUUUUUUUUCUUUUUAAAAAUUAUCUUCUUUUGGUGAAAUCAAAUUAUCUUCUUUUUAGGAAAUCAAUAUCUUCCUUUUGUAAAUCAAAUUAUCUUCGUUUGGAAAAUUGUUAAAAUUUAAUAAGAAAUUUGAUAUCUUCAUUUUAGGAAAUCAUUAAAAUUUAGAAAGAGAUUUGAUAUUUAGGAAAAUCAAAUUAUCUUCUUUUUAGUAAAUCAAAUUAUCUUACUUUUGGCAAUCAAAUUAUCUUCUUUUGGAAAUCAAAUUAUCUUCGUUCGAAAAUGGUUAAAAUUUAAUAAGAAAUUUGAUAUCUUCCUCUCACGAAAUCAUUAAAAUUUAGAAAGAAAUUUGAUAUUUAGGAAAAUAAAAUGAUUGAUAUUUGAGAAAAGAAUUUGAUCGAUGUUUUGAAUAAAAAUCUAUUUUGUAAUAAUUUAUGAAUAAAUUUGAUAUGUGAGGAAAAAAAUUAUUGAUAUUUGAAAGAAAAACUAUUUCGUAGGCAAAACGAAGCUAAAUUUAAUAUAUAUUAUAAUCUAACACUUCAAAAUUAAUAUUAAAAUACAAAAACCGAUAACGUGAGAGGACACGUACCUCCAAUCCCUUAAUAAAUUCGACCUUGUUCAUAGCUAUCAACAACUAUGAGACCAAAAUUAUUUUUUUUGUGAAGGAAUAAAAUUCUAAAUUUCCCUCCUUUCUCUGAUAUAUUAAUUUGUGAUUGUUUAUAUAUAUAUAUAUUUCAAGAAAAAUUGUUUUCAAAUUAAGAAGAUGGGGUAAUUUAUAAAGUGGUUACUAACAAUCUUUUAAUACUAAAAAAAGAAUUACAUGAGAACUUCGAGAUUAGACAAAUCAAAACCAACAUGUUAUAGUUAUUGUGAAAUGAAAUCUCCCAUAAUUAGAAAAGAAAAGAUAAAAUGAAAUCAAGCAUAGAUCAAAUACUUUAAAUCAAAUACUAUAAAGGACAAUUAUUAUAUACGUUAAUACUUUAAUUCUGAUUGCUAUAUUUACGAUUGUCCAUUAUUGGUUUGGUAUUUAAAUUUUAUAUAUGAUUUUACUGCCAUUUAUGAAUGUUUUAAUAUGUUUUUCUAUUUUUAAAAAAUAUCCAUUUUUAGCCCUCCAAUCAAACAUCAAUUAACUAUAUAACAUUUAAUUAUAAACUCGAAUAAAAUAUCAAUUUAUCGUCUAAGAUUUAAUUGAAAUCUACAAUAAAACAUUAAUUUACCAUCUAAACCUUUAAUUAAAAUUUAAAACAAUCGAUUAUUGAGAAUAACUAUCUUAUUUUGGAAUGGAGUCAUCUGAACAUAAACAUGUUUGAAAUUUGAUGGACAUGAAUCAAAAUAUAGUUUUGUUUAGAAAGUUGCAACAACUAGAACGAAUGUAAACGAAUGUGGAAUGAAAAUAGGGUGUUUUAAAGCAUUUAGAAAGUAAAAGAUAGGGUUAGACAGAAAGUUAGGAGUAGAAGAUAAAAUUUACAUAUUUUAAGUAAACUAUUAGGAAAGAGGGAACCCACAAAUUCAAAAAUGAUUCUCUUCUUUAUUGGAACAAUCACAUGCAUUAGAAAACAUCAUAAUCAGCAUCUACUCAUCAACAUGAAGUAAGCUCAGCAGAUUCUUGGAAUUUCUCAUAUACUCACUCUCUUCAUUGACUUUUCCCAAAGUUGGCAACUUGAUUCAGCUUUAGCUGACAAAGCCAGCAUCAUCCCACGAAAUCCAGAAGCACUUUUUCGUUUUGGAGCUUCGAGUGCUCCACCAUGGCGUUUCAAACCCAAUUUUUGAAGAAGGCCUCCGUGAGGCGAACUCGAAGGCGCUUCAUGGCUUUUCCAGGCCAACCUUUUGCGCUUCUUUCUCUUCCAUUCCUUCUUCUUACGCUGCCAUGGGUGCCGACGAAUCCAAACCUGUUCUUCCGCCCUUUGAUUAUGAACCGAGGCCUUACAAAGGGCCUCUCACCGAUGAAAUUUUUCAGAAGCGGAAGAAGUUUUUAGGGCCUUCGCUUUUCCACUACUACCAGAAGCCAGUAAUCUCUCAGAUUUCGACUUCAUAUCCUUGUUUGUUUCAGUUUUCUGCAUUCUUGAUUUUGCUGUGGUUUUUUCUGAUAAAGAUUGAUUGUGGAAUUCUGUCGGUUCAUUUCUUUGAACAGAUUAUGAUUUUGCAUGAUUUUUCCGCUUUUUUUAUUCGUUGCUACUGCAGAUUUGUUGAUCUUAGUCACUGUUUUAUGGGAUACGCUUGGUUGUUUGGUUUCUGUUUGAACACACAUCAUUAAACUGAUCUUGGUUUGUGCAUGUCGAAUUAUUAGGUGCGAAAAAUUGUUUAUGCAUACUUACGUUCUUCUUCUGUUUGGGGGUCGUGUUUUCAUAUUUCUACGUUUGUCUAUAUUUUCUCAACUUCGUACUUCUAUAUAUAGAUAAAAAAAAAGCGUCCACGUUUUUUUAUGCGCCUUGCGAUUAACCAGAAGAUUAUUGCGUUUUAUUGUGCCUUUAAAAACCGCUGGGUAGGGCUUAGUAAAUGUGGAUCCAUUCUUUGAGACCUUGAAUUAAGUCAAGCUUCACUUCAUUCAUUACUUUAUACAGCUUUUCACCCUUGAAAGUUGAAACUAUUCUUGCACUAGUAACUUCUAUGGUUAUUGCUUUCCUAUGCUGGUACUUUGAUUUAAGUUGUUACAUGUCCACUGUCAAAAACAUUUGAUCAAGGGUUGCUAUUUUCGGGGCGGGCAGACUCCUAUAUCUUAGACUAGAAAAGUUUAAUAAAAGGGAUGAGUUUUAAAGUUUUCUCUCGUAUCUUCCCCCUCAUAAGUUUUUCGAAUUGAAAGAUUAUACGUGUAACUGGUUUAGAUCAAACUUUUGGCGGACUUUAUAAGAAAUCUACCCACCCUGGCCAGUUUGUUUUGUUUUGUAUUUGAUGGAUUCCCUUAAUUUCAUAUGUCCACACAUUCUUCAGAAACUGAUCUGUUUGAUUUACGCUCUUAAUUUACAGCUCAACAUUGUAGAAGGAAAAAUGCAGUAUUUGUUUGAUGAGAAUGGUAGGCGCUACCUUGAUGCUUUUGCUGGAAUAGUUACUGUAUCCUGUGGGCAUUGCCAUCCUGAUGUUUUGGCUGCAGUCAAUGAGCAAAAUAAACUUUUACAGCAUGCUACAACCAUAUACCUACACCAUGGGAUAGCUGAUUUUGCUGAAGCAUUGGCAGAAAAAAUGCCUGGAAAUUUGAAGGUGUUUUUUCCUUUUGAAUUAUUACAUAUUAUUAAUAUAUUUUAGAAGUUGAUGGAUGAUAAUGAAGCAAAGCAUGCAGUACAUGUUAGGCUCCGUGGAAAUUGUUGAACAUGUAUAGUUGUAUUUCAAUUCCUAGAACUGGUGGAUCUUGUUUCUCAACUUUUGUGGUUUGGUUGCUAUUUCAUCACUCCUUGAUUCUCCUUACCUUUUUAAAGAUUAUCCUACUUCUGUAUUGCUUUAAACUUCUGCUUUUUUCACUUUGUUAUUCAGGUUGUUUAUUUUGUAAACUCUGGGACAGAAGCAAAUGAAUUAGCCAUGCUUAUGGCCCGCCUGUACAGUGGUAAUCUCGGUAUGAUUGCACUGAGAAAUGCAUACCAUGGAGGAAGUUCCAACACAAUUGGACUGACGGCUUUGAACACAUGGAAGUACCCAAUACCUCAGGUUUUUCUGCCCAGAGCUUAAUCUCCAGUUUGAUGUUUUGUUUGGUUGCCUGUAUGUUAGAGAUAGAACUUACAUUGCCUUCUUGUUUUCUACUAGUCUGAUCUAGGCUUGCAGCAUCUUUUAAUUUAAAUGAAACAUUUUAGCAAUACUAUUAACACAUUUCAAGUAGCUACUUGAAGUAGAAAUAUCCACUUGAUGCAACUGCUAUUUUGUAAAAGCAAGAUGGAACUUUCACAUGCAAUUUACUCAGUGUAAACACAUACUCUGUUCUAGGAAGCUGCACAAUUUGAUCCAAGCAUUUUGAUUCACAUGCAAAAUUCUUGUGCUUGCAGGGCGAAAUUCAUCACGUUGUGAAUCCUGAUCCAUAUCGUGGUGUCUUUGGGUCAGAUGCUAGUGGUUAUGUCAAGGAUGUCCAAGAGCAUAUUGAUUAUGGUACUUCAGGAAAAGUUGCUGGAUUUAUAGCUGAAACAAUUCAGGUGCGUUUUUGUGACGUCUGAAAUCGAACAUGAUAGGCACAUUCUAUGUAAAAUUGAAAUUAUGUAUGGUUUUUCGGUUAUCUCAGGGUGUUGGAGGAGCUGUUGAAUUAGCACCUGGAUACUUGAAACAUGUUUAUGAUAUUGUUCGCAAUGCUGGUGGUGUUUGCAUUGCUGAUGAGGUCCAAACUGGCUUUGGUCGAACGGGAAGCCAUUAUUGGGGCUUUGAAACACAGGGUGUGAUUCCCGAUAUAGUAACGAUGGCAAAGGUAAUAUUUCUCAACCUUCAGCAAAAUGUGUUUACUCUUAUGCUAGUUGAAAACCACUGCAGCUCAUUGUCCUCGUUGUUCAUAACUUGAAAAUUUUCCCCCAACAGUUUUAAGUAUUCCACUUUUCAGGGUAUUGGAAAUGGUUUACCAUUGGGAGCAGUGGUGACAACGCCUGAAAUAGCGAGCACAAUGGCUCAAAAAAUUCAGUUCAAUACUUUUGGAGGGAACCCAGUUUGUUCCGCUGGGGGACUUGCAGUUCUAAGAGUUAUUGACAGAGAGAGGCGUCAAGCACAUUGUGCUGAUGUUGGUUCGCACUUACUGGAGAGAUUGAGAGCUCUCCAGGAAAAAUAUGAAAGUAAUUUCUCGUGGACUUUCUCUCUUUUAAGACUUCUACCUUCUUAAGUAAUCCACUUCGUUCUAAUAAUUCCAACGAUGACAUUUUUCAAAGCUUUGGAACACCAUUAGAAAUAAUUACGUUCAUUCCAACUGCUGCUAUUGUGAACCACACCCUGUCAUUUGAUUAAUGUAUUUUUUCCAGUCAUAGGAGAUGUACGAGGAAGGGGAUUAAUGGUAGGUGUAGAGCUCGUAACUGAUCGGAAGGAAAAAACCCCAGCAAAGACUGAAACCGCAGUAUUGUUCGAGAAACUAAGAGGUACUACAAUUCACUAUUUCCAAAGAAAAUAAUGUUAAACUGAAAGUAACAAAGGGCUGUUGUACUAAUGACUCGUUUCAUCUUGAUUGAAGAACUGGGCAUUCUCGUCGGAAAAGGGGGUCUGCAUGGCAAUGUAUUUCGAAUAAAACCUCCCAUGUGUUUCACCAAAGAUGAUGCAGGUAUCUUUUUUGUAAAUUUCUCAUUGAAACAAAUAAAAGCUACAUUUCGUGCACUGUGUGUUUUGAAAAUGAAAAUUUUUGGAGUUUCUGGAAGGAAAGAUAUGUUAUCAUUAUUAAUACUCCUUUUUUACCUCUCAUCUGCAGAUUUUCUUGUUGAUGCUUUGGACUAUUCCAUUUCAAAGCUGUAAAACUUAAAAGCUUUAAUGAGGUAAAGAAGUCAGACACAGUGUUUUUUCUUUUGUAUGUAACUUAAAAUAAAAUGUAGUUCUUGUGUGUAUGAGCGUCUCAAUUGUUCUAUUGUUCAUCAAUGUUAGAAAUCUUAUUGUACAAUGACUUUGAAACUUUUAAGAAUAAAAUGUAGUUUGUUUGUACAUCCAGCUACUACUUUUUCCUUUCUAAUUUAUACUUUUGUUAUUAUUAUUUUUCAAUCACAGUUUUGGUUUUGAGUUAAAUGUGAAGUUGAUGUCUCAAUAGCUUGUCACAUGACUGCUGAUUUUUUAGAUUUGUAGAUGUACCAAAUACCCCAUUGUAGGGCUAUUAGGAUGUUUUGUCCUUGCCAAUGAUUUAAUGCUUGAACAUGUUCUAUUCGUACACAUUUUAAAGUGCGAUUUAAUAUCAGUGUCUCAACCUAAUUCGUUGCUAUUCCAAACUAACAUUUGAGAAGAUUGAUUGGCGUCGAUAAACAGAGAGUUGAACUAUAUUAUUUGUGGAUAGUUCCUGCAUUGCACAAGGAGAGUGAUAUGAAUUGAUCAAACUAUUAUUUAUGUUUUAUUUAGUAAUUGAUGUAAUCUUCAUAUUUUCAUAUUAUCUUUUUAUGACAUAUUAAGUAGGGGUAGUUUUCUCUUUUUCACUAUGAUCUAAGAUGUGGCAUUAGCGUUUUUAUUGAUAGGUCAUUUAAAGCCUUGCUAUUAGGUUGUUUACUCAAAUUAGGACGAAUUAAUUUUGACCUUUGACCUUUGUUCUUGAAUUUUGCAAUUAUGUGUAGAGUUGUUUGUCAAAAGCAUUUAAGUAAGGUUGGUCAUUCUUUGUUUCAAAUCUUGGAUUAAGUAACUCUUUUUUUUUUGUCUCAAGAGCUUGAAAUCAAACUAAAUUGUGGGUUUUAAUGCUUGAGAGUUGGGGGUUUCACAUAUUCAAAGGGUAUUCAAUUCCAAUUUACAUGUGUUUCCAGAGAAGGCUUAAAAAUUAUUUGAAUUUGAGCUAUGACAUAAAUGAUUGGGCACAUGUCUUGUUAAGAUAAUUCUUGCUUACUCGUUUUUAGCUUUGUUGAAAAGAAAUCAACUAGUUCAUGUGUAUGAGUUUUUAAAGGAAAUGGAUAUUGUGCGUAUCUCAAUAACUCUACGGGGCCGUUUGACCCAUAGACUAAAAGAGUGGUAGCUCAACCCAUGUUUGCUCUAAAGAUUAUCACAAUCUUAGGAUUAUGACUAUUCUACCUUUUUUUUUCUUAUUCUCCUAUUCCUCAUUUCCUCAUUUCCUCCUGUCACUAUUCCUCAUUUCCUCCUUUCACUAUCUCAUUUACUCCUUUCACUAUUCCUCACCUCUCAUCUCUCAUAUAUGUCACUAUUUCUCAUUCCUUUGUUUCACUAUUUCUUACUUCUCCAAACAUAAAUUAUAAUAAUUCAAACUAUAAUAAUCUGCAUCUCAAACACAUAUUAUAAUAACUCAUAAAUUAUUAUAACCAAUAGACUAUAAUAACUAUAGAUUAUAGUAACUCACUCUACGUCCCAAAUGCUCCAUGUAUGUGACUUACUUCGAGCUUUGAAAUGUUAAUAUUUUUUUGGGUAAUAUCUCUUCUAUCGUUGUUUCAAUUAAGAAAUAUUUGUAUAAUUGUUUCACGUGGAGGAUUUUCUGACAAAAUCAUCGCUUAGAUUUGACUACUAUCACUCUUGUUGAGAGAUGUUGAUAUUUUUUCUUUUAUGCAACUUGACUUAUGUGUGUGAACCUUUUUCUCAAUUUAAGUGACACAACCACGAAAACAUUAAAUUGCUCUAAAUUGUAUGAUUUCAUUUAUUAGAAAAGUUAUUCAGGUUAAGGAAUCCUUCUUUACACCAAUUGCAAUAUCUCAUUAAUUAUUAGACUCAUAUUAGUGUGGUUCAGAUCAAACAAAUUUUUCUUGAACUUGCUGUUCUUUCAUUAGUUAAUUUGCUUUGUUUGGUGGUUUCGCUAACUCUUUGAAAACAAAGAAAAAAUCAAAUUGUCUCAUUAUUCAUCAGCAAAGACCAAGUAUUCACUCCAUAACUUGAUUAGAUUUGAAUUCAAGUAGCUUAAAGUGUCGUUUGCAGGUUCUGGAAUGGAUCAUUCUAGUGUCAUGAAUGUAUUUUUUGAUAGCCAGUCAAUUACAUAUUUUGCUUGAAAUCUAGUUUUUCAUGAAUGCACAAAAUGUGAUGUCCACAACAACAUAAUUGUUGGAUUUCGUAUUUCUAAGAAUUAAAGAUCAAUUUGUAGACAUCUUUACGAAGGCAUUAGAGAAACAACAUUUUUUUGUAUCUUCAUUGUCACAAGUUGGAGAAUUGUGAUCCUCAUUUACGAACACCUCGAGGAGCAUAAGAAUGCAUUUUAAUUUUAGUUCAAAAUUAGGGUUGUAUUAAGGUAACAAAACUUUGUUGAUAGGUUCCAAUUUGAAUCAACUAAAGUAAACUAACUACUCCAUUCACUGUCAUUUAUAAAUGUCAUUCUUGUAAUCAGUUGAGUAGGAAAAAAAAAUUGCAUAUCACAAAAAUGUUCAACCUGAAGAUUGAUUAUAUUAACACUAAAUAGAUUAUAUUUAAGACAACUUGGCAAUACAAUAGAUUACAAAAAUCAAUUAUACUUACAAUUUUUUCUCUCGAUAAGAUUCUCAAUAUUUACAAAUGGGCGUGGUAGGACUUGCAAAAUGGUAUGGCUUUGCAUCCUUGAUUAUAAAUCUUAUACCAAUACAUUUCCACGACGCCUGCAUAUCCUUUUAGGAUAAUCAUGAAGCAACCUUGAGCUUGCCAAAUGUUGGAUAAUGAACUAUGCAGGCUCACAAGGACGAUUACCCCAAAGUGAGCUCAAUGCUCGGAGUCGUUGGAAAAACUCCCCCAGUGUAAGAAGGCCUUGAGCAGAUUGUCGAGUCGUUAGAAUUUUGUACAUCUGUUGCAAUGUUUCCUGUCGUAGAUGGUCAGCCUAUUUGGGCAUUAGAAAAGAGAGAAAAAUAAAAGAUGAUUGUUUCAUGAAAUGCUCAAGUCUGACUAAUUAUUUUUGGAUGUACCAAAUACGACGUAGUGAGGUUCUGAGCUAAGCCUAGCGCGCUAACACUUUUCAGAUAUUGAAAUAAUUCUUUGCUAAAAACAUCUAUGUAAAAUUAUAAUCAAGUUCUAACAUACAUGGUUUGGACUUGGGACAUGGAAGGUUAAAGUGACCUAGGAGAAAGUUAAUAAAAGAACACAUCAUAUCCAAGAAAUAUGUUACCUGAUUCACAAAGCUAACGAGCGCUUCUAAUCUCUCCAUUGCAGCAGUCAUCUGUAGGGGAUAACUUCCUUCACCUAGCUGACCAGCCACUACGCUCUCAAAUAGAUUUUGUUGUAGUUUUUCCAUACCUUGUCUAAGAGCAUCUUCUGCCUGUAGACACGAUUUUCUAAGGCUACCCGUUUCUGAAAUUUGUUGUUCGGUUAAUGUCUCCAGCUGAGGUAUCAAAACCUGCAUAUGACAUAACUUUGUGAAUGUCACCAAACUUUCAUGUAAAUCCACUUAGUACUCUCAUUCUUGAAUAUCGAAAGGCUUUCUGAAUUUCUUGACUUCAAAUAUUGUAGGAUCAAGGGAUGGUCGAGAACUGUGGACCUAAUAUAUACAUAGAAAUCAAGUGACUUUCUACGGUAUAAAAAAUGUCAAAAUGUGGGACUUGACCAUGAUUAUCAAGAAGCAUUCAAAGAAUACCUUAAAAUUUAUGCCUCUAACAUAGAUUUUCACUGCAAUACAAGAAAUAAACAAGAAUGCUGAGUAUAUCUAAUGCUCUAAUCUUCAUUUUUUCAAAGGGGUGGUCCACGAAGCUACGUACAAUAGUGAAUUAAGGUCUUUUUAAACCAUGUUUGUUAUUCAAACUAGACCUAAAGUCGUGUGUGAUUGGAAGAUUAACUCUUUUGUUAAUGUCAACAUUUUACCAUGACUCGCCACUCACGUUAAUAAGAACGUACCUUGAGAAGUUCUGAAGGGCGAAAUCCUCCUAUCCAUAAGAAAAGUCUUUCGGCGGAUGUCUUCCACAUGCCUGACAUUAUGUAAGAGACGUCGGCUUUUGCAGCCUUAGCUUUCAUGCGAAAAAAUUUAAAGUAAUGUCUCAUUGCAUUUUCCACGAGUAUUCGAAGCUCGAUAUCAGUAAUAUCAGCAUGCACAGCAGUCCUCAGAUCACAAAUCUGCCUGUUCUGCUCUUCCACCCAUUGCUCAUACUCUGAUUCAAAUGCGAAGAUGCCUACAAAACAAACAGUGAGGAUAUAUUCAGAAGAUAAGAACGACAGAGAUUAAGGUAGAUUGCAAGUAAGAAGAAGAAAGUUGGUAAGAAAUUUAGGUAAACAGGUCAUAACUUUAGUCAAUGAGGCUUCUGAAGUGAAUUUGCAGAUGUAUACAAAUAGACAAAAAGAGUUGUAUGUGAAAUAGACAAAUUCAUAAAUAUUCUUCUUUUUACAACUUCUCCAGCAUUUUUGUUAUGUUUUUGUUUCCAUAACUGGGGUAUUUGGAUCUCACUCCUCGCAUUAAAGCUUAACAAUUCUGCCCUUCAACCCUCAACAACUUGCUCAAAAUAUGUUAGUGAAAAAUAGUAAUAGUUUUAAAGCAUUUAAAAAGUCAUUCCAUACAGACUAAGUUUUCAAUUUGGAAACUUCAACUUAAUACUUUGGAGGACACAUCCAAAAAUACUCGAACUCUGAAAACCAAGGCAUUCUACAUCCCUAGCAUUUCAAGCACCAAAUCUUUUUCAUCAUACCAUAUAUCUACAAGAAGUUCUAUGUCAAACAAGACGUGAUGCCGUACAAAACAUGUCAUCCUUGAGGAAAAUUAUCAAAAGUGGUAAGGAAGACCAGUCAAUCUUGAUCUGAAAAAUGAAUAGUAUAAAGCAAAAAAGGAUCAAAAUGCCUUUUGUUAAAGCAGUUGAUGAAACAUGGAACCACAUUUAAUGGGAGAGACCGCCUUUAGCACCACACAUCAAUAAGUUGGAUAAUCUUUACGUCUAGGACUCAAAAACGUUCGGAGACAUCCUAAACUUUACAUUUUACGAUGACCCACAUGUUGGGUUAAGAUUUUGGAUGUUCAUAGUUGACAAUUCAACAAACACUGGACCUGCAAAAAUUUUAGUCACUAAUCAUUUCCCCUAAAUUGAACCUCUCAAACAAAUUUCACAUCUCGUAGCUUUCAAAUUCCCAUCUUUCAGUUAUCAAACAACCAAAACCAAGCAAUAAAAGGAUCUACACUAUUGACAAGACAUUGAAACAUCAAAGUUAAAGAAAAGGGUAAAAACAAAGAACGAUUGGCCAGCAGAAAACCAACCUGAAUUUGUGGUUCCUGAUAAACCCAAUUGGUUAUUAUCAAAUCGGGAUCCAGCCAAGAGACCCUGAAGAAAAAGACAGGGCGAGAGAUUAAAUUAGAGGAAAAGAAAUGAAACCCAUUCAUAAUGUUCCGUAAAAAGUUGAAUGCAGGUUUAAAACAAAAAGAAUCAAUUCGAAGGAAUUAUCGUUCGUACUUGUUGUCUUGCCUUUUCAAGUUCUUGCUCCAAUUGAAUGAGCUUUAUGCGGCUUGUUUCCAAUUGCUUAAUAUAAGCCUACAAUUUUGCAAAUGGGGUUUGAAUUAGUAGUCUAUUAACACUGUUUUUUUUUUUUCUCUAUUAUUUAUUGCAAUUGAAACUUUGAAAUUGAAUGCUACAAUUUUGAAUUUUGGUUGGUACCUUUUUCCGUAGGCGACUUUUGCGAGCUGCUUCCCGAUUUUGUGCCAGCCUUCUUUGAAUCUGCAAUUGAUGGAGUUUUCAGUAUAUUUGUUCUCCUUCCUCAUGGAGGGAAGAAAAAAAAAAACUUCAAAAUUUCACUUAUCAGUUUUGUUCGGUAUUUUCCACAAAUUUGAAAUCUCUCAAUAUUUUUUUCUUAAAAAACCAUUUUAUUAUUUAUGCAAUUCUUUUUUGGUAAUGAUUUAUUUUAUAUAUAUAUAUACUUAAAAAAUGUGCUUCUUUCUUUUCUAAAAAAUAAAAAAUUGUAAAAACUAAUUUUUAUGUCCAGGAUAUUUUUGGUUUUUAAUUUUUUAGAAUGAAGUCUAUAAACACAAAUUUCAUACUUAAAUCUAAUUAUUUUGUUAUCUCAGGUUUUCUAAAAUUAAACCUAAAUUGAAAAAUAUGUUUUUCUUUUAACUAGUUAAAAAUUCAGAGAAACUUUUAAAAAUAAAAAAAAAUUAAAUAAUUACUAAACAAGUAGUCACUGAAACUUUGUAUGACGAAUUUUGAAGAUAUAAAUAAAAAGUCGUUUCAAUACUUAAUUUUAAAAAGUCAAACAAUGGUUAUCCCUUUCAUUUUCUUUUUUUUUUCUCUAUCUAUAAAUUAUAAUAAGUUGAAUUAUUUCUUUUUCAGAACAAUUCGAGUAAGAAAUUUAAACUAUAUAUAUACCUCAUGGUUGUUAACUUAUAUCUUCAACUAAAAUAUCAUUUUCAAAACCUAUGCUCAUAUAUUUUAGAUUAAAAGGGUAUGUUAAAAGUUUAAUCAAAGUUUAUAAACUUUAUAGAGUAUUUAUUAAGUUACCUAUUUUAUUUAUUUAUGUUUAAAAUUUAACAGUGAAAUUCAAAUAUUCAAAUAUUGAAAACGUAGAAAUUUAUUUUAAAGUUAAAUUAUUGGAAGUACAAUGUUUUGAUCGUACCUUAUCAAUUCGUUUGGUAUCAUCUUGGUCAUAUACGUGAGGAUCUCCAAGUGAGCCAAGUGAAGCAUCAUCUGACUAAAGAAAGUUAAAAUGACAAAGAUUUCAAUUUCAUUCCAUAAAACAAAAACAUUAUCAAAUAAAUUAACAAAAAAUAAAAUAAAAUAAAAUAAAAUUAUGGAACAUGUACUUUUUAAGAAAACGAAAACAUUAUCAAAAGAGUCACCUGAUUUUCUAAUUUGGGAUCAGCUUCGAUGAUAAAAGAGGAGGGUGGAUCUAAAUUGGCAUUGGCUCUAAAAGUUUCACCCCACAUUCCAAUAUGGUGGAUAGGUUCAUAGAGUCCCAUCCUUCCUGGAUUGUAAAAUUUAGUGGAUGAUGAGUUCAUCCUUUCUCUUCUUCACACCUAACCCUUUUUAAUUAACAUUAUAUCAAACAUAAAUUAACAAUUUCUAUUACAAUAAUACUCAAUCAUGUUAUGCAUCAAUUCAUAUUAUAUUCCUAAAAAAUUAAAACAGUUUUGUUUUUAUAUUACAAAGUCAAAACAUAGAAAUGCUAUAAUUAAUUAACAUAUAUAAAAAAAAUGAUGGAGUUGAAAUCUAAAUUAGCGAAUUCAAUUGUAAUUUUACUUAAUUUCUAAAAUUGAUAAAAAAAAAGAAGAAGAAGAGGAAGAAGAAGGAGACUGUGUAUUUUAAAAGAAAUUGCCCAUUGUUAAUUGUUUUUCAAUUAAUGAUUUCAAAAAUCAAAUUCUUGUCUUUGAAAAUUAAACUCUCAAUCAUUGCAUUGUAAUAGUCCACAGAGAUGAUAUAUUUGUUUUUUCUUUUCUUCUUUUUAAUUUUUUUUGGCUUGUAAUAUUAUUUUUUGAAAAAUUAUGAAAUAUUUUUCGAAUUUCUAAAAAAUAAAUAGAAAAAAUAGAAGAUAUAUAGCUCAAUAAUUGAUAUGUACUUUGUUUUGAAAGUUAUAGACUUAAAUAAAAAUAAAACAACUAAAAUAAUUACACAGAGUGAUAAUUUUAUUGAAAGAAAAUUAAAACCUCAAUAAUCAAUCCAUCCAUAACUACAUAAUCAAAUAAAAUUCUAUAUAAUUUGUAAUUUCAUCAAAUCAAAACACAAUAACAUUUCAAAUAUCUGUUUCUUUUUUUCUUUAAAAAGAACAUUUCAAAUUAAAUAUCCAUUUCAAGGUUAAGAUGGACUCAGGAGAUAGAAAAAGAAGAAGAUUGGGACAGACAAAUUAAUCAUAUAAUAUGAUGAAAUUAAUUGCAAUAAAAACAAAAGAGAAAUAAUUAUGAUUAUAGUUCUGAAAAAUGAAGUAAUAUACAAUAAUAAAAUAAUGCAAUAAAACUAAGCUGGCAGUAAUAAUCUUUUCAAAAAUUAAAAGAAAGAAAACAAAACCCCACAUAUUAUUCUUGGACAAGUGGGAAAAAGUUAACCAUCAAACGAUUCAAAGAACAAACGAAAGAAUUUCCCAGAAACUUCAAACUCAAAACCAUUAACCAAAUCUUACAAAAAAACUACUAAUACUUAAUAGAUAAAACUAUCAGUUUUAUAUUUGGAAAGCUCUUUCCAAUCAACAUAAAUUGGAUCGAAAAGUAAUAAAAACCGAAUGGAAAAGUGAAGAAGAUGAAGUAGUUGAUUGAAAUUCAGUCGUAACAAUCACGAAAGUUGAAAUAAACUGGAACACGUAGAUCAAUAGAAGAGAGAGGAUAGAAGAACACACCUGGAAGUGAAUAAGAAGAAGAAGAAGAAGAAGAAGAAGAAGAAGAAGAAGAAGAAGAAGAAGAAGCAGAUUGGAUUGGAAAAAGGAGUGUAGUUUGGAUAUAAUAAUUAGUUGGAUCAAACAUAAACAUCCCCUAAGAGAGCAAAAAAAGGGGGCUUCAAAGUCAGUUGGUUUCUUCUUUUUGAUCAAAUUAAACUUGUAUUUUUUUUGCUCCCACCAUCUUAAUUAAACUGCCCCCCCUCUUCCUUUUUUUCUUUUCUUUUCAGCCCUUUUUGUCUUCCUUACUCUCUCUGUUUAUUUUAUUUAUUUUGUACCCUUAUUUGUUUCUCUUUCUCUCCUAUUGGUUUUUUCUUUGUCAUCUCUCUCUCUCUCUCUCUCUCUCUCUUAAAUGAAUAAUAUUUGUUUAUUUUAAAAUGGAAUGUGGGCUUAGUUUUGAAAUGGGUCAAGGCUAAAUAUGAUUGCAAUUUCAUGGCUGUGGUUUUUUGAAGCAUAGGGAUCUCUUUGCAAAUUAUUAUUAGUUUUGGUUUUAAUUUUGUGAUGUCAUUUUUCUUUUCAUGUGGUUUUUUCAAUAUAUGGUUGUGAUUAAAGUUGCCAAUCUUUCUCUCUUAUUAUUAUUUUUAUUUUAUAUAGUACUUGAUGAUGAUGAUGAUAUAAUCAAUGUCUCUGAUUAGGGAAAAAAAAUUUAAUUAUUUUUAUGAAUAUAAAAACUUAUCCUUAUCUGAUUGAUGUUAAUAGAUUUGUUUUGUUAUUUCAAAGUUUCAAAUUAAAUAACCAAUAGAAUGGAAAUUCUACAUGGAUCCCUUCUUCCUUUUUAGAAUUUUUGUGUCGUUUUGUUGUGGUAGUUUAAAUGGGGCUUCUUUCUUUCAUGACCUAUGUAACCUUUUCUCCAUUUGGAUUCAUUAUUUUGUUUUCUUUUUCUCUCUUUUAAGUUAAAUUAAAAAAAAAAUCGUCAAAAUUGUUGGAAUGACUUUCAAAUAUUUAAUUUUAAAAAUGGUGAAAAUAGAGUUUUUUUUUUUUCUUUUGCAAUUUUCCCUUAAAAAUUUAAGUGUAGUUUUAAUAAUCAUGCUUAAAAUAUAAACACUUUAAUUCACUAGAGAAAAAAAAAUAUAUUUCUUUAAAAAGUCAUUUUUAUCUAAUAAAUCUAAUAGAAACGGUUAAAAAUAAAAUCUAAAGUAUUUCCAAAGCUUUUUAUUAUUUUAUUAUUUUUUAUUGUUAGACAUUUGAUUAUUCUUUAAAUAACUUUUUUAAAAUUAAAAUAUUAAGGAAACGCACCUUUAAUUUAAUAAUUAAAAAUGAUUUAAUUUUUAAAAAUAAUUUUUCAUGAAACUAUCUAAAUAUUUUCUAAAUAUAUAUAUAUAUAUAUAUAUUAUAUAUAUAUAUAUAAAAAUAUAAACUUGUUUACCAUUUGUAGUAUAACUCAUCAUCCCUAGAGAAACAACAUGCUUAGUUUCAAGAGGAACAGAGUCCCCAAUUAUAUUCGUUUUACGUUUUUUUCAAUUAUUUAAUUAUUUAGUGAUUAUUGUUUUUUGUUUUUUUUGUAAAGUUAUGAAAGAAUUUGGGGAAUGUCUAUUUGGUGAUUGGGGCCAACCAAUUUCCCAAAUAGCAUCUCCCACUUCCAUGGUUGCCAUGUAGUGUUUUCAUGAAGAGACAUCCAAGUGCUACCUAUAUAUAUAUAUAUAUAUAUAUAUUAUUUUUAUAAAACACUGUUAAAAUUCAUUCUUUAUUUCAACCCACUUAAUUUUCUACUUCUUUUUAGAUAUUACAGAUCUAAUUAAUUCAUAUUCCCAUAUCCUACAUAUUAUAUAUAAAAUGUUCCACACAAUCAAUUUUGGUCAAUGUAUAUAGGCUUUAAUCUAACUUUUCUAGAGUUGUAAUUUAAAAAUAAAAAAUUAUGUUACACGAUAUAUACUAAUAAUCAUAUGGCUUAAAAUUUUCAAAACUAUUUAAAAAAGUAAAGUUUUAAAUUGAUUGUAGUGUUUUUAUUAGCCUUGUUUGAUUGCAAUUGUUAUCUAGAACAACUUAAGUGAUUCUUCACACGGAAAAACGAGUAGGAAACGAAGUGGUGGAUAAUGUAUUAAAGAAAAGAUGGGAUAAGCAUAAAAAGGAAAAAAUAAAUGAAUAAUUAGGCAUGAUGGAGGAAUUGUAUGUGUGUAUAAAGUAAAGGAAAGAAAGUGGGAGGCAAUUGGGAUUUAUUUAAUGUAGGUUGGGUUGGGUGAUUGGAUUCCAUAUUGGUUUAUAUAUAUAUAUAUAUAUAUAUAUAAUAUAAUUUAUUCUAUGCUUAUUCAAAUUUGUAUGGAAUGUCACCAAUUUCAUCUUCUUUGUUAUUACUUCUCUAAGUGGGUUUCUAAAGUGCUUUCCCACUUACAAUGGCUUCUCUCUCUCUCUCUCUCUCUCUUUCUUAGAUUCAUUAACAAGAAUGAGAAUUUAGAUUCCAUGUCACUUCUCAACUUGCCCUAUGAUGCUAUUUUCUUUUUCUUCAUUUUCAAACCAUUUAUUAAAUUAAUUGUUGUAGAUAUGUCUAUUUUAUGAUCAUUUGAUUUUAAGCGUUCUAUAUUAGUACAAUAAUGACAACAAUUUUUUUCCAUGAAUAGCCUAGUAUCUUAUAUUAUUACAUAAAACUCCGUCUCAAAAGUUCAUAAUACCUAAUUUGAUUUAUAGUAUUUUCUAUUGGAAAAUAGAAAGAGAAACAAAUAUGGAAAAAUUGGGAAGCAAUGCGUCUUAAAAUAGUUUUUUCUUUUCAAAAUUUUCAUAACUUUUAAGCAAAAUUGCAUUCCCAUUGGGUUUUUUUGUCCAAUAAUUUUUUAAUGUUGACUUAAAAUUCAAAAUCGUCUUAUUUGGUGAGUUGGAAUUUUUUGAUUUCAGAUAUAUAUCAGAUUUAUUUCAAAUAAUACAUACAAGGUUUAUUUCAAAUAUAUUUAGAACAAUUACAGAUUUAAGGUUAUUAUAUAAUGUAUAUCAAUACCAUAUUCUAUAGUUUUUGUCUUCAUUCUACUUAAGAUAUAUAUUUCACUUUAUCACAUGUAUUUAAUAUAUUUAGUCAUUUUGCAAAUAUAUACUACAUUUUAUAUAAUAAUAAUAUUAGAGCAAAUUGUAAAAAUCAACGUUAAAACAUGAUAAUUGAAUUUCAAAAUUUAAGAGAUAAAUAUUAUUUAAGUCAAGGAAUAAAAUAAUACUCAUAAAACCAUAAACCAAAUAUUCAUUACAAGAUAUAGUAUUAAAUAUUGUUAAUUCAAUUUUAAUAUAUAAUAAAGUUUUAUUGCAAUUAAAUGUUAAGGAUUUUAAAACUUUAAUAAGGGAUAUAAUAAGUAUUAAGGUUAAAUUUCUCUAAAAUUAUGUCAAAAUGUAGAUAUGAAACAUAUUACAAUAUUAGGAAACUUAUCAAAUAUCAAGUUUAUUUUUUCUCAAAUUCCCUGGGGUACUUUGUAUACUUCUUAAAUUCUUAGCUAAGUUUUAAAAACUAUUUAUUCUAUAUAUUUCAAAUAUUUUGAUUGAAAAUUUUACACAUUAAUAAAUAGUAGAUAACAAAUGUCUAGUUAGUAAAUUUUUCUUUUUAGCUUUUGAAAAUUAAGUUUACCUUCUCACAUUUUCUUAUUUUUCAAGCAUAAGAAUCCAAUAAAGUUUCAAAAUUAUUUUUUGAUUAUAAAAAUUUAAAGUGAAAGAUGUAUUUGUAAUUUAAUUGAAAAAAGAAAAAAAUAAUAAUGACUAAAGAUAAAGUUAAGUUUAGUCUUUAUAUUUAUUAGGAAAAAAAGUCAGUCAUGUUUACUUUAAUUCUAACAAGAAUACUAAACGUAUACGAUUUAACUAUUGAGAUGAAAGUAUUGAAUUGUAAUAACACAAAAUAUAUUAAUUAAAAGGUAAGAAGAUUCUAAUUGUUUUCUUUUAAAUUUUUUUUUUGACAUGUUCAGAUUAAUUGAAUAUAUGAACUAUUUAAUUCAGUUCAUGAAUGAUACUUUGAUAUUUAAUUGAUAGUCUUUAUAUUUAAGUUUGUUAAUUUUAGUUAUUGUUAUUGCAUUAAUCUUAAAUUUAUUUAUUUAUUUAAAUCUUAUUUCUUUAUCAAAUCGGAUAAACAGUAAUAAUAUUUUUUUUUAGAAAAACGAAUAUAUUAAUAUUUGUAUUGAGUCUAUUGAUAAGAUUAUAUUAAUCUCUUUAUUAUAUAUAUACAAUGUGAUAUAUACUUGUUCCUAUCGAAUAAUUUUCCAAAAAAGAAAUAAUAUAACUAAACUUAAACUACACUAAUUUAAAAUGUCAAAAAGGGAAAAAAAGAGUGUGUAAAACACAUUUAAAAUGGGAACUUAUUAAAGUAAGAUUGAUACAAUUAUGCCUUGAUGUGAAGAAGGCAUUGGCUAAUGAAUAUAUUCUCAUUUCCAUGGUGAUGUAGUUAAAGUAUUAUUUUGUUCUUUAAAAAAAACAAUACCAAUUUUAACUAAUUCUUCAACGUUGUAGCAUCCAAAAAUGUUCAAAAUAAGUAGUUCAAUUGAUAUUAUAUUUAUACUAUCGACUUUAAAGUCAAUGAUUCAAUUUCUCACUCUAUAUAUUAUAAAAAGAAAAUAAUAAUAAUAAUAAAACAAUCAAAUUAUAGAUUCUACAAAGAUUGAUCUAUAAAGAGAUUAUUAAAAAAAUGAAAAACAACCCUCUUUUUACAUUUAUGAGUUGGUUCAAUAUUUCUUUUUAAAAUUUUAAAUUAUUGCUAGAAGGAUGACUCAAAAUUAUAGAUCUUUUAUAUAGUAAUAUAGUAAUGUUUUGAAUUAUUAAAUUCACUUUUAGAUUUUUUUUCUUUAGAAAAGAGAUAUAAGAAAAUAUAUAUCCUAUGCUAAAUUAGAAAACUUUUAAAUCAUGAAACUGCAAAAUAAUUAACCACGUUAAAUUGUAAGCAAUAAAAUAUUAAUAUUCCCAAUAAUGUAGGAGAGAAAAAUGUCUGAAAGUCUAAGUUAUCCCAAUCUAAAUAAUAAAAUAAAACAAAAUGAUUACAAUUGGCCACAAUUUUCAAAAAAAGAAAACAAAGGAGUUGAUUAUUUAAAAAACUAAUUCAAAAUUAAAAUCAAACCAACAUAUUUAAAACAAUCUACAUUUAGUUAUAUAAUUUAAAAUAAAAGCCAAAAUUCUUACCUUCCAUUAUCUCUUUUUCCAUAUUAUAGAUUCGAAUAUAUCUUCAUCCGUCGUUAAAAGAGGAUUGUAAUGUUUACAAUAUAUAUAUAUAUAUAUAUAUAAUGAGAAUGAGAAUAAAAAGUUAUUUUUUUCUAUUAAAAAAAAGAAAAGGUUGAAAGGCUUAGGACAAGUAGGAAGCCAUAUAUAUAUAAAUAAAAAAGUAAUGAAGCUAAUUAUGUGAUUAAAAGAAGGGUAGAAUUGGGUUGGAACCAAUAAGGAAAUGAAACGUGGCAAAUGGGACCAUAAUUUAAAUAGGGAAAAAUAGUUGCCUAGGAGUUGUAAACUGAUAAUAUUGACGUGGUGUGGUUAAUUAAAUAAUGUUUAGGGCUUGGGGGCAAGAUUUGUUGUGUUAAGGGCUCGUUUUGAGACUUCGAAAAGCCAUUUGGACGUGACUAUUGGAAAAUGAAACCAAACAACUUUUAAAUAUUAUUUAUUAUUCCACACUUUACUUUUUUUAUUUCUCAGAUGGAUCUCAACUUUUCAUACCUUUUUCUUUAUAUAUAUAUAAAAAAUACUUACCAUCUAAUUUUAUUUUCUUUCAAAUCAUAUACGUGUAUAUGUUAGACAUCCUUUUUUUCGUUCUAUUCCUCUUAUUUUUGUUAUUUGAUUCUGUUUACUAAAAUAUUCAGAUCGACUGAACUAAAAUUCUUAAAAUCUCUAUUUAUAUUUAAAGAUAUCGUAUUCUAAACUUUGAGCUGUAUUGCUAUUUGGUCUACAUUCUUAGUUGCAUUUACAAAAUGCUUAUAUGGUAUGAUUGCUAUAAUGAAAAAUAGAUAGCUGUGUAUGCUUAAACCAUGUUUGUUUUACAAGUAAUUUAAGUAAUGGUUGAAUUUGAAAGGGAAGAAAAAAAAAUACACAUUCAAUUAAAUUAAAAAAGAACAAAUCUUAACAGAGAAAAUAUCUUAUUUAUGAAAUAUUAUAAGAGAUCACAAAUCUAAAUAAUAAUAAUGAUGAUGAUUUGAGUACUUUUAUGAAUUAUUAUAAUUUUUAUCCAUUUAUUUCUUAAGUAUUAAUUGAUGUCAGAGAGUAAUAUUAUAGAAAUUGAUAGCUGUAUGAGUAUGAAUAUAAGUAAGUAUUUUUUGUAGACUUGAGUGAAACGUUGAAAAAGCAAAUCAAAAUUUAUUAUAACCCACCAAUAAAACAUGACAUUUCAAAUAAAUCUAAUUGAUGGAUGAAAUUAAUGCUCUACUAUUGUAACACCACUUUCUAUAACUUGUUUUCUUUUUAUCAACAAUAUAAUAUAGUUUCUUGUUAAUCUAAAAUGAUGAAUGUGACAAUUAAUUUAAUUAUAGGGUGACAUCAUUGUUCUUCUUUUUAAAAAAGUUUGCAGAGUUAGGAUAUCAAAAUGGUCCUAUUUCUUAUUUCAAGAUUUUGAAUCAAUAAAUUAUUAAUAAUACACAAAUUGAAUUGAAUUAGGUGACUAAUAUUUUAAAAAUCAAAAUUUAUGGGCUUCUAAGAAUAUUAAAUUUUAAUUAAUCAAAUGAUUAAUGUUGAUAAUUUAUGAGGAGCGGUCACUUUUACCAUUUACACUUCUAUAAACUAUUGUUGAAUUUUUGAUGAAGUGAUAUCUUCAUUUAAAAUAUAACUACAAUGAACUUUGUUGAUAUACUCUUAUUUUGAGGUACAAUUCACCAACUGUGGAAAUAAUAAUCAUGAAAAUAGUUGUACAUGUACAUUGCAUCCAUUUUUAAAUAUUAUGAAACUUAUUUUUUUUUAAAAAAAAUUAUGCAGUACAUAGUUAUGUUGAACCAACGAACUGAUCGAGUUUGUGAAAACAUUGAAAACAUUUCUAUAUUGGACUUUUACAAAAAAAUGAUGACAACCAUUUAAAAAGGUAUGAAUUUUUUUAUUUUUUUGAAAAAAUUAAAGAUGAUUAUUAUGCAAAAUCCAAUCCUAUAUAGGUUAAAGAAAUUUAUAUUUAUAACACUUUACAUUAGAAAUAUUUCUUUGAAGAUGGUUUUUAAACUAAUCAAUUUUUAGAUUUCUUUUUGAUAUCAUUUAUAUACAAACUUUAUUGAACACAAUUUCAUUUAAUUAAUUCUUUUUUUGUAAGUGUUCAUACAAAAGUUAAUCAUGUUUUCGCAAAGCUACUCUAAAUAUGUUUUUAUUUUUUAUUUUUUGAAUUAUAAAUUAUUGCAAACAUGCUUGCAAUCUAUUAUUUAUAUAUAUAUAUCUCGGACGUUAGACUUUGCUUGAUUGAUUCAAUUUUUAUUUUUUAUUUGCCUAGAUAAAAAUUGAUUGAAUUAAAUUCUUAAUUAGAAAAAUGAGAAGUUGUAGGUAUAUUUCAACUGCAUAUAAGAGGAAUGAUAUUUGGUUGUAUUUUGGAUAAAAUUGAAAUCAUAUUAAUGUGCCCUAAAUACUUUGGGGCCGGGUUUGAGGUAUAUUGUUUAUGAUUAAAUUUGUGAUGAGUGUUUUGAAUUCUAUAAUUGACUCAAUGCACUCUCUGUUAAAUUAACCACACAUUCUUUCUUUCUUUUAUAUUUUUUUACAACGUAAAACUAUUUUGAAAUAAUUAGUAUUGUUAUUGCUUUUGGUAAAGUAAAUUAACCACAUCAUGGAGAUUAAAGAUACAAGGGACUUCCGUAAAAGAGGAGUAGUUCAAAAAGGAAUGUUUUCAACAAUUAUUUGUUCGUGAAAGAAUAAAAUUAACAUCGACCUUGACCUUUGAGUUUUCACGUUUGUUACACACUUUAGGCUGUAUAUGCUUUCAUUUUUUAUUCUCCUUUAAUUUGAGACAUCAUUUUUAGUCAACACAACCAUUUUAUUUGAUGUCAUGACCCUUUCUUCCUCUGCUUGUAUUUAGAGAACAAACAAACAUGCACGGGCCACUUGUUACAAAUAGAGAGAGAGAGAGUGAGAGAAAACCCUACUUUUGCUAAAUAAUCUAAAUUUAACAACUAAAAUUGCUAUAAAAUGGUCUUCUCCUUUCCUCACACCAUAAAGCCCAUAACAAAAAAAAAAAAAGACUUACAGAAAGCUAAAACUAAAAAAUGGCAAAAAACAUUAUGGUUGUUUUCUUUAUGUGCAUUGUUGUGAUGGGAUCACUACAAUUCUCCAAGGCACAGACGACCGCUAACAUGAGCCCAGAUCUUCAGGCGGCCGAGAAGAUCAAAAGUAUCACCGAAGGAAUGAAACUAUGGCCUCAAAUGGAAUCAUGUGUACUAACAUGCAGGAAAGAAUGUGAUGCAAAAGGCGAUGCCAAUGCUUCAUGUCAUCAGAAAUGCAACAAUGAUUGCACGGAAAAGACUAUUGGUAUUUUCUUCAAUCUCAACAGAAAUGUUUGUUUUCUUUAAGACAAUAAUUAAUUUUUUAAGUGAGAUAAAUUUUAGUUGCAAGGCAAAAUUUAACCUUUAUUCAUGAAAUUAGUGGGUUUGAUAAGAUUCGCAUUCCUUACUUUAAUAGUUUUGAUGCUAGAAAUUGAGGGAAUCGUAGAGUCGAAAUUUUAGAAUGAAAACUCAUCCAAAAAAAAUUUGAUUGUUUAUUUCUUUCAACUUAAUGUUUUUUUUUUUUUGUUAAUUUGAUUUUUUAUUCAUUUGUUUUGCAGCAUCAGUCAAGAACUAACUUCCCAUUGAUAAUUGACCAUGGAAUUAUUAAAGCAGAGAUCGGGAAAAUGAUCGGAUCAAGUAUAAAUUAUUUGAAUAAUUAGCAUUUCAACAAGGAAAAUCUAAAUUCCUUGACCCUCUUGUCGUCCAAUUUUAUUGCUUAUUUAUACAAAGGUUUUAUCCUUACAUAUCGUUGUGUGCUUCUUUCAUAAUUGUUGUCAACAACGAGAUCAAUAAAAUUCAUUUAGUUUAAGUGUUUAUUCACGUAACCUUUCUAUCAUUUUACAUUUAUUAUAUAAUCCUAACGUAUAGAAGAAAUUUUAUAAAUAUAUUACAGUACUAUUCAAGUUGCGAGUUCUUUUGUCACAUGUGUUUGUUUAAUAUUCAUUUGUAGUUUUUGAUAUAUUAUUAAAGUGAUAUGAUAUGUUCUACUGCUUUUAUUUUAAUUACAAUUUCAACAGAAGUUUAUAAUUUUCAAUUGGUAUUUCAUAGCCUUUGGAUUGGAAAAAAAAAUAAAGAGAAAAUUGGAGACGGGGAGAUGGGUUGAGAAAAUUAGGAAAUUGGUGAAGAACAUAUGAAGGGAGAAAUUGAUUAAAGAAACAAAAAAAAUGUUAUUAGGUAAACAUCCAUUGAAAUUUAUUCUUAAUUACAUGAAGAUUCAUUUUUAUUUUAAUCAUGAUUGAUACAAAUUUCCAUUCUAUUCUAAUCGUGAUUGUUUCGUUCUCCUCUAUUUUUAUUUCAAAAGUAAAAUAAAAAAUUCAUUUCUUGUAUUUGACACUUUGAUUAAAAUUAAUUAAUCUUUGUUAGCUUCAAUUUUAAUACAACCAAAGUUUUUAGCUUUAAAAAAUUCAUUACAAAUGAGGCUCCAGUGCAUAUACAUCACUUUGUAUUAGAAAUCUUCUUCGUAUAUAUAAAACAAAACAAACACUAUUGAAAAUUGUUGUGAAUAAUAUUCAUAUGAAUUAUACUUCAAAACCUCAUGCAAACUUCUGAUUUUAGUUACCAAAUUAUAAACCUUACAAUUCUCCUUUUCUUAGGCUUAUACUUAAUUCCCAAAUCUCUCCUAUAGAUGAGACUAAAGUACACUGGCACAUCAAAGAUUGAGUUUCAAUUUUAGGUACAAUCGGAUAACUAACUGAGAAUCCGACUUUGAGAUAUUCCAUUUAUUUAGAGGAAAAUUUGUUGCAAUUUCGUCCAAGAAAAUAAAUCUCAAAUAUAUUCGUCAUUCACACGAAUACCUCUAGGAUGAUCACGUUUUGUUAGAUCAUAGGGGAUAAUUAAUUUUUGUUGGUUUAUUUAUUUAUCUAUUAUAAAACAUCCGCCUCCAUCAUAAAUUUAGAAUGGUGCCAAAAGUCACGAAAGUUCACAUCUAACUACUGGGUGGCCUCAUUUUGAGAGUUAUUAAGAUUUAUUGCCCAUAAAUGCGGAAGAAAAUAUACCAGAGAGUCAGUUUUUAUUUUCAUCCCAAAACGUUGAAGAAAAGGUCAAUGCUAUAGUCUGCGAAGAAAUGACCCAAUCUAGAAUGGUGCCAAAGGUCUCGAAAGUUCACAUCAAACUACUGGGUGGCCUCAUGUUGAGUGACAUUAUAGUUUCUUGCCAACAAAAGCCGAAAAAAUAUACCUGAGAGUCGGUUCUUAUUUUGGUCCCAAAACGUUUAAAACUGAGUCAAUGCUAUAGUCUGCGAAGAAAAGACCCAAUUUAGAACGAUGCCAAAGGUCUCGAAAGUUCACAUCUAACUACUGGGUGGUUUCAUCUUGAGUGACAUUAAAGUUUCUUGCCCAUAAAAGUCAAAGAAAAUAUGCCCGUAAGUUGAUUUUAAUUUUCGUCCCAAAACGUUGAAAAAAGGGCCAAUGCUACAUCCUGAGAAGAAAGGACCCGAUUUAGAACAGUGCCAUAGGUAUCAAAAGUUCACAUCUAACUACUGGGUGGUCUCAUCUUGAGUGACAUUAAAAUUUCUUGUCCAUAAAAGUCGAAGAAAAUAUGCCGUAAGUCGAUUUUUAAUUUCGUCCCAAAACGUUGAAAAAAGGGCCAAUGCUACAGCCUGAGAAGAAAGGACCCGAUUUAGAAGAGUGUCAUAGGUAUCAAAAGUUCGCAUCUAACUACUAGGUGGUCUCAUCUUGAGUGACAUUAAAGUUUCUUGUCCAUAAAAGUCGAAGAAAAUAUGCCCGCAAGUCGAUUUUUAUUUUCGUUCCAAAACGUUGAAAAAAUGGCCAAUGCUACAGCCUGAGAAGAAAGGACCCGAUUUAGAACAGUGUCAUAGGUAUCAAAAGUUCACAUCUAACUACUGGGUGGUCUCAUCUUGAGUGACAUUAAAGUUUCUUGCCCAUAAAAGCAUAAGAAAAUAUGCCUGAGAGUCGGUUUUUAAUUUCGUCCCAAAACGUUGAAAAAAGGGCCAAUGCCAAAAUCUGAGAAUAAAGGACCAACUUAGAACGGUGCCAAAGGUCUCGAGGGUUCACAUCAAAUUACUGGGUGGCCUCAUGUUGAGUGACAUUAUAGUUUCUUGCCAACAAAAGCCAAAAAAAUAUGCUUGAGAUUCGUUUCUUAUUUCGGUCCCAAAACGUUGAAAAAUGGGCCAAUGCUAUUGCCUACGAAGAAAGGACCCAAUUUAGAUCGGUGUCGAACGUCUCGAAAAUUCACAUCUACCUACUGGAUGAUCUCGUUUUGAGUGACAUUAAAGAUUCUUGCCCAUGAAAGCCGAAGAAAAUAUGCCGAGAGUCGGUUUUUAAUUUCGUCCCAAAAUGUUGACGAAAGGGCCAACGCUAUAACUUGCAAAGAAAUGACCCAAUUUACAACGUUGUCAAAGGUCUCGAAGGUUCACAUCUAACUACUGGGUGACCUCAUGUUGAGUGACAUUAAAGUUUCUUGCCCACAAAAGCCGAAAAAAAUAUGUCUGAGAGUCGAUUCUUAUUUUGGUCCUAAAACGUUGAAAAAUGGGCGAAUGUUAUAGCCUACGAAGAAAUGACCCAAUUUAGGACGGUGCCGAAGUCUCGAAAAUUCACAUCUAACUACUAGGUGAUAUCGUUUUAAGUGACAUUAAAGUUUCUUCCCACAAAAAGCCGAAAAAAAUAUGUUCGAGAGUCGACUUUUAUUUUAAUCCUGAAAUGUUGAAAUAGGAGCCAAUGCUAUAGCCUACGAGAAAAGGAUCCAAUUUAGAAUGAUGCCGAAGUUCUGGAAAAUUCAUAUUUAACUACCGUGGUCUCGUUUUGAGUGACAUUAAAGUUUCUUGGCCACAAAAGUAAAAAAAAAAAAAAAAAAGCCCGAGAGUCGGAUUUUACUUUCGUCCGAAAACGUUGAAAAAUGGGUCAGUGCUAUAACUGACGAAAAAAAGGACUCAAUUUAGAACGGUGCCAAAGGUCUAAAAAAUUCACAUCUAACUACUGGGUGGUCUCGUUUUGAGUGACAUUAAAGUUUCUUUCCCACAAAAGACAAAAAAAAAAAAAAAUGUCUAGGAUUCGAUUUUUACUUUAGUUCUAAAACGUUAUAAAAGGGGCGAAUACUAUAGCCUACGACGAAAGGACCCAAUUUAGAACGGUACCAAAGAUCUCGAAAAUUUACAUCUUAACUAUUGGGUGAUCUUGUUUUAAGUGACAUUAAAGUUUCUUGCCCCAAAAGUCGAAAAAAAAUAUGCCCGAGAGUCGGUUUUUACUUUCGUCCCUAAAACGUUGAAAAAUGGGCAAAUGCUAUAGCCUACGAAGAAAUGAUCCAAUUUAGAAUGGUGCUACAGGUCUGACAAAUUGAAUCUAACAACUGGUUGGUCUCAUUUUGAGUGACAUUAAAGUUUUUUGCCCACAAAAGUCGAAAAAAAAAUAUGUCCGAGAGUCGGUUUUCACUUUCAGCCAAAACAUUGAAAAAUGGGGCCAAUGCUAUAGUCUACCAGGAAAGGACUCAAUUUAGAACGGUGUCAAAGGUCUCAAAAAAUCACAUCUAACUACUGGAUGGUCUCGUUUUGAGUGAGAUUAAAGUUUUUUGCCCACAAAAGCCGUAAAAAAAUAUGCCAGAGAGUCGAUUAUUACUUUCGUCCCAAAACAUUGAAAAAAGGGCAACGUUAUAGCCUGCGAAGAGAGGACCCAAUUUCGAACGGUGUCAAAAGUCUCCAAGGUUUACAUCUAACAACUGGGUGGCCUCAUGUUGAGUGACAUUAAAGUUUCUUGUGUACAAAAGUCGAAAAAAAAUAUGUCUGAGAGUCGGUUCUCAUUUUGGUUCCAAAACGUUGAAAAAAGUGUCAAUGCUAUAGCCUACGAAGAAAAGAUCCAAUUUAGAACGGUGCCGAAGGUCUCAAAAAUUCACAUCUAACUACUCGGUGGUCUCGUUUUAAGUGACAUUAAAGUUCUUUGUCCACAAAAGCCGAAAAAAAAAAAGUCUGAGAGUUGAUUUUUAAUUUCGUCCCAAAACGUCAAAAUAAGGGACAAUGCAGCCCACGAAAUAAAGAUCAAAUUUAGAAGAAUGUCGAAAGUCUCGAAAAUUCAUAUCUAACAAGUGAGUGGUCUCGUUUUGAGUGACAUUAAAGUUUGUUGCACACAAAAGCCAAAAAAAAAAACAAAACCCAAAGUCGAUUUUUAUUUUUGCUCCAAAACGUUAUAAAAGGGGCCAAUGCUAUAGCCUAUGAAGAAAGGACCCAAUUUUGAACGGUGCCAAAGUUUUCAAAAAUUCACAUAUACCUACUGGGUUGUCUCGUUUGAGUGACAUUAAAGUUUCUUGCCCACAAAAGCUGAAAAAAAUAUGCCCGAGAGUCGAUUUUUAUUUUCGUCCAAAAGCGUUGAAAAGUUGGUCAAUGCUAUAGCCUACGAAGAAAGGUUGCUUGUAUGUAGAAAAUGUUCCAUGUAUUCUUGCAUUUCUUUGUUGAACCACCUGCCCUCUACAAAACAAACCAUUUGGACGGUAAAAGUAUUACCUUUCUCUUUUAGUAACAAUUUUAAGAUCAGUUUACUUUCAAUUGGUAAUUCAUACUGUAAAGAGAAAAAUGAAAGUUUGUUAAGAUGAUAGAAGAAUAUUCGUCUUUGAAUGCAAAAUAAUAAAGAGAAAAUUCGAGAUGGGGAGAUGGGUUGGAAAAAUUAGGAAAUUGGUGAAAGAUAUAGGAAGGGAGAAAAUGGUAAAAAGAAAAAAAAAGAACGUUCUUAGGUAAAAAUUGAUUGAAUUAAAUUCUUAAUUAGAAAAAUGAGAAGUUGUACGUAUAUUUCAACUGCAUAUAAGAGGAAUGAUAUUUGGUUGUAUUUUGGGUAAAAUUGAAAUCAUAUUAAUGUGCCCUAAAUACUUUGGGGCCGGGUUUGAGGUAUAUUGUUUAUGAUUAAGUUUGUGAUGAGUGUUUUGAAUUCUAUAAUUGACUCAAUGCACUCUCUAUUAAAUUAACCACACUUCUUUCUUUCUUUUAUUUUUUUACAACGUAAAACUAUUUUGAAAUAAUUAGUAUUGUUAUUGCUUUUGGUAAAGUAAAUUAACCACAUCAUGGAGAUUAAAGACACAAGGGACUUCCGUAAAAGAGGAGUAGUUCAAAAAGGAAUGUUUUCAACAAUUAUUUGUUCGUGAAAGAAUAAAAUUAACAUCGACCUUGACCUUUGAGUUUUCACGUUUGUUACACACUUUAGGCUGUAUAUGCUUUCAUUUUUUAUUCUCCUUUAAUUUGAGACAUCAUUUUUAGUCAACACAACCAUUUUAUUUGAUGUCAUGACCCUUUCUUCCUCUGCUUGUAUUUAGAGAACAAACAAACAUGCACGGGCCACUUGUUACAAAUAGAGAGAGAGAGAGUGAGAGAAAACCCUACUUUUUGCUAAAUAAUCUAAAUUUAACAACUAAAAUUGCUAUAAAAUGGUCUUCUCCUUUCCUCACACCAUAAAGCCCAUAACAAAAAAAAAAAAAAAAGACUUACAGAAAGCUAAAACUAAAAAAUGGCAAAAAAACAUUAUGGUUGUUUUCUUUAUGUGCAUUGUUGUGAUGGGAUCACUACAAUUCUCCAAGGCACAGACGACCGCUAACAUGAGCCCAGAUCUUCAGGCGGCCGAAAAGAUCAAAAGUAUCGCCGAAGGAAUGAAACUAUGGCCUCAAAUGGAAUCAUGUGUACUAACAUGCAGGAAAGAAUGUGAUGCAAAAGGCAAUGCCAAUGCUUCAUGUCAUCAGAAAUGCAACAAUGAUUGCACGGAAAAGACUAUUGGUAUUUUCUUCAAUCUCAACAGAAAUGUUUGUUUUCUUUAAGGCAAUAAUUAAUUUUUUAAGUGAGAUAAAUUUUAGUUGCAAGGCAAAAUUUAACCUUUAUUCUUGAAAUUAGUGUGUUUGAUAAGAUUCGCAUUCCUUACUUUAAUAGUUUUGAUGCUAGAAAUUGAAGGGAUCGUAGAGUCGAAAUUUUAGAAUGAAAACUCAUCCAAAAAAAAUUGAUUGUUUAUUUCUUUCAACUUAAUGUUUUUUUUUUUUGUUAAUUUGAUUUUUUAUUCAUUUGUUUUGCAGCAUCAGUCAAGAACUAACUUCCCAUUGAUAAUUGACCAUGGAAUUAUUAAAGCAGAGAUCGGGAAAAUGAUCGGAUCAAGUAUAAAUUAUUUGAAUAAUUAGCAUUUCAACAAGGAAAAUCUAAAUUCCUUGACCCUCUUGUCGUCCAAUUUUAUUGCUUAUUUAUACAAAGGUUUUAUCCUUACAUAUCGUUGUGUGCUUCUUUCAUAAUUGUUGUCAACAACGAGAUCAAUAAAAUUCAUUUAGUUUAAGUGUUUAUUCACGUAACCUUUCUAUCAUUUUACAUUUAUUAUAUAAUCCUAACGUAUAGAAGAAAUUUUAUAAAUAUAUUACAGUACUAUUCAAGUUGCGAGUUCUUUUGUCACAUGUGUUUGUUUAAUAUUCAUUUGUAGUUUUUGAUAUAUUAUUAAAGUGAUAUGAUAUGUUCUACUGCUUUUAUUUUAAUUACAAUUUCAACAGAAGUUUAUAAUUUUCAAUUGGUAUUCAUAGCCUUUGGAUUGGAAAAAAAAAAUAAAGAGAAAAUUGGAGACGGGGAGAUGGGUUGAGAAAAUUAGGAAAUUGGUGAAGAACAUAUGAAGGGAGAAAUUGAUUAAAGAAACAAAAAAAGAAUGUUAUUAGGUAAACAUCCAUUGAAAUUUAUUCUUAAUUACAUGAAGAUUCAUUUUUAUUUUAAUCAUGAUUGAUACAAAUUUCCAUUCUAUUCUAAUCGUGAUUGUUUCGUUCUCCUCUAUUUUUAUUUCAAAAGUAAAAUAAAAAAUUCAUUUCUUGUAUUUGACACUUUGAUUAAAAUUAAUUAAUCUUUGUUAGCUUCAAUUUUAAUACAACCAAAGUUUUUAGCUUUAAAAAAUUCAUUACAAAUGAGGCUCCAGUGCAUAUACAUCACUUUGUAUUAGAAAUCUUCUUCGUAUAUAUAAAACAAAACAAACACUAUUGAAAAUUGUUGUGAAUAAUAUUCAUAUGAAUUAUACUUCAAAACCUCAUGCAAACUUCUGAUUUUAGUUACCAAAUUAUAAACCUUACAAUUCUCCUUUUCUUAGGCUUAUACUUAAUUCCCAAAUCUCUCCAUUAGAAGAGACUAAAGUGCACUGGCACAUGCACAUCAAAGAAGAGGUCAUCUAUAUAUAUAGAAAAAAUAAUAUAGAAUACGUAUAAUCCAUCCCACAAAUUUUUUUUCUUCAUACAGAAAAUAAUAAAUUUUGAUAGAUUACUUGUAUUUAAUAUAUUGAAAUGUUUGAAAUUAAAGUUUGAUUAUGGUUUAAUUAUGAUGAUUAAAAGGGUAUAGAAUAGAUAUAAAAAUAAGGGUCUUUUUUGGUUUUGUAGGGGAAAUAGAAUGGUGAAGGGUGAAGGGUGAAGGGUGAAGGGGGGGUUUUGUUUUGUGUAAAUUUAAAUGUGUAUUUGUGUUUAAAAGAAAAUUGGUUGCUUUUGUGGGCAAAGUAUUCGGAUUUGAGAGGGAAAUAUUGAAUUCCAUUUAAGGAAAGUGAUUGGGUUCCGUUUUGGUGCAUUAGUCAAUUUUCAAAAUUCCAAAAAUUAAAGUUGAUUGAAGGAGAGAGAUAUUGUGAGAAUUAAAACCCAUUCCCCAUUGGGACACAAUUUGACAUCACACUUCAUUUCCACCAUUAUUAGUUCUUUUUUUCUUUUAAGAAGUUCUUUUUUCAAUAUUUCAUUUCAAUAUUUUAUUGGGCGAGAGAAUAAUCAUUAAGGUUAAUGACAACUGUCUCUGUUAAUACGACAUAUUUUGGGAUAAAACUAAAAGCAAAGUUAUGUAGGUGUAUAUUCAAAGUAGACAAUAUCAUAUCAUUAUGGACAUGUGAAUGAGUUAUCUAGAAAACGUGUCCUUUCCUUUAUCAUAAGAACUUAAUUAUCCAUGUUGAACUCUUUUUCGUUGCUUAUAUAUAUUUAUCCUUAAAAACACAUGCUCUCAUAUAUUCUUAAUAGAUAAGAUUUCACUAAAGAACUAAAAAUGAAACUAAUUAUAAAAACAAUAAACAUUCCACUUUGUUAAAGAGAUGUCAAGAACAAUGAGACUAAUAAUGAUAAUUAAAGAAAAAUGUUCAUAUUAAACAAAGGGUAUAGGGAAGUGAUCAUAACUUAAUCUCAAAGCUUCCUCUUCCCCAUUCAUGCAUAACACUUUUCAUUCCACACUAUUAAUUGAGUAAUCCUAUUGAUUAGGAAAUAAACAAUCACAAUAUGAAAGUUAAGCUCAAUGGAGUCCAAACCAAGUUAUAAACCUAAUCAUGUCAUGAGGGCAAUUAUUAUGCUGCAAGUUUCAAUGACGGGUUACAAACAAAAUAAUUAAAAGACUACGUAUCAAUUAUAUUGUGGAAUGCUCACUUUGAAGCUAAGUUAUCUAUCAAAGUUUAAGAGUCCAAUUCAUAUUCAAGUUUGAUACGGCAAUUCAGAGUAUUGUUCAUAUUAACGGAAGUCAAUUAUUCAAAUUCUAAUAAUCUAACUUCAUUCACUUUUUUAAAUGUUUUACUUAAUUUAAUUUGUAUAUUUUUCAUUCACGAAGGUUCACAUAUGAAAUAGAAAAUUUUGUUGGAAUUUUUUGUCCUAAAACUCGUAGUUUGUAAAUCAUAUUCUAUUCAAUAAAGUUGUUAUUGAGAAAUUAAAAUAUUAUAAUCUUAAAUCCAAUAAAUCAAAGUUCCAAGGCUAUUUUUUGAAUAAACUUGAACUUUAUGUGUAAACAUAAACGUGGAUCAAGUUCGAGUAUAUAGCCUAAAUAGUCUAUAGUAUAUGAAAUAAAGGUUGGGCGCCUUAUUUUGAGAGACUAUGGAUGCGGCCCACUUUGUAGUACAAACGAUGUGAUCCUAAUCGUUCAUGUAGAGACAUGAAAGUGGGGGCAUCCUAUGUAAAAUGUUUACAUAAGACUGAACCAUGAAUUAGUCAUUUUUACGUUAUAACACCGUUUACUGUUUAAAACUGACUAUCUCAAUUAUUGAUGACCUAGGUAACUUAGUCUUAAUCCUGAGUUAACUAUGAACUCCUGUUCAUACGAGAUUAUCUUUAGAUCUGCAUAGGUGAGGGCAGCUCAUCAGCGUUGGCCCAAUAAGCCUCCCAUUUCAGGGGUAAGAUCGGGUGGAUAGCUGGGAACAUAGGGUACAAGAUGGAAUUCACUCCUACCCGCUUUAGGGUUAGUAGAUAGGUUGCUCUCUUAAGCACUGAAUCCAAGUCUUGAACAAGGGGCCCCACCCUCUCAUUGGCCCGAGAGGGAUUAAGUUUAUAGGUUGAACCUUAAACCAAUUGUUCAAUAGUGGAUUAGUGGGACUUAAGGAGCAAGAUGUAAUCCUGGGGGUAAAACGGUAUUUUGACCCAGCCAAGGUUACGAGCAACCUGUGAAGGAUUAACUUACUGAUUAUGGUUUUAUCAAAUGGACACAAAUAUAUCUAUAGUGAGGGGAGUGCAACUACGGGACUUUAGUGGAAUGACCCGUUAGUUAACGAAUGUUGAUUAACUCGGUUUAAAAGAGUUUAGCUAGUUAAUCUUGAAUCGUUGGAGCCCAUGAUCUAUAGGUCCAUUAGGUUCCUCUGCUAGCUCAUAUGGAUUAAACUUAGAACAGUGUGAUGAAAUAAGUCGAAUUGUUCGAAUAGGGAGAAGAAAGGAAAACCGACAUAUACAGUGAUAUAAUCGUCGGUCUUCUAAUUAGAAAUAGAGCUUUAUGUUUUACAUACUAUAAGUAUGAAUGCGGAUUCAUACUAAGAAGCUCGGAAUUGGUCAAAAAUAGUAAAAAGUCAAAAUGUUGACUUUUGACUUUGAAAAGUCAAACUUUGACCGGCCUUAUAUUCAAAUGUGAUUUGAAUUUUGGAAAAAUGAAUGCGGAUUCAUGCUCGGGAGGUUGGAAUUAGUCAAGACGGACAAAAUGGUAAAAAGUCAAAAUAUUGACUUUUGACUUAGAAAAGUCAAAGUUUGACUUUUGACUAGAAAAAUCUAAUGACCAUUUUACCCUUGGACUAAGUUAGUGGGAAAAUCCAACAUUUUGUUGGAUAAUCCCACUAACUCUUAGUGGGAUAUGUGGCUAUAUGAGAUAUAGACACCUAGCCCACUAAGUUCCACUAAUUGUUAGUGGAAUAUUAGGUGUUGAGAUUUGGCAAUUGAAUUGCAUGCAUUUUUGCAUGUAAUUAGGCUAUAAAUAGAGAUGUUUUCAAAUGUUGAAGGACUUUUGCCUCUUUUAUCAUUUUCAUAAUCUCAACAAAAGAAAAAAAAAAAAGCUUCCAAUCUCAUUUUAUCUCCACUACUUUCUACACCAAAAUUGGGUCCCACAACCCGGUUCUUUGUCUAGAGGAUAGCAGUUGAGUACUAGUGGUGGUCUCGGGUAGAAUUGGUAAGAAGACAUCAAACCUUUUGAAAGCUUCAAAGGUAAUACUUCUUAAAACCCUAAUUUGAUUAGUUUAUGGUUACAUGUUAAUUGUGGCAAUUAGGGUAGAAAUUCGAUUCUUUUUCCGCUGUGCAUGACUUAGUUCUAUCAAAUUUCAUAUUGAACUUUAAUCUCUUUCGAACUUUAUAGUCUUUUUCUUCCUUCACUUUCAAUUUUAGUAUGAUCUAUUAGAUCGUUAAAAUUUCAAAGUUUAACUUAAUAAAAUUGUUAAAUGAUAUAUAACAUUCAAUUUACGAAUAUGUUAACUUAAACUUUUAAGUCAAUUUAUGAUUAACAAGUUCUCAUUUCUCAUUGAUGAUUGAUCAUAUUUCUAAAUAAAAUGUACAAUUGUGUCGUGAUCUUAUUAUUUUAGAUAUUCUUCUCAUUGGUGUGGAGAUUCGCUUAGAAUAAGAGAUAUAUAGGGUGUGUUUGGUUGAGAUUCUAAAGUGAUUAAUUUUGCCAAAAAAACUAUUUUGAAAAAAAUGGUAGUGUUUGGCAAAUUAAAAUAAUGUAUUUUUUAAAAAUUCAUUUAUAAAAUAAUGUAUUUUAAAGAAAUCUUUAAAAACCAAAAUCAUAUAUAAACAAUUAUAAAAAAAAUCUAACCAAACAUUAAAUGUUUAAAUUUUAAACUCAUUUUCGAAAAAGUAUUUAAAAUGAAAUGUAUUAUUGAAAAACAUUAUGUUUUUAAUUCAAUCAAAACGGACCCUUAAUCCAUAAUCAACACAACACUUCAUUGAAUCUUCUUUCCAACAAAAUAAAUAACAAAAAUUUGUAAGUUUUUGUCUUAAAUAAUUAACUUUUUAUUAUUAUUAUAAUCCUUUCCAAUUAUUUCUUUACUGAAUCUCUGAAAAUGCAACAAAACAAGAAAAAAACAUAUAUUUUUGGAAUUAACAAAUUGAACUACAAAUGAAAAAAAAUAAAUAAUACAAUUUCUCUAUGAAUUGAAUUUACUGUAAUAAUUUCAAAAACAUAUUUUACAUGAAGAAAAAAAAUAAUAUAAUUUAUUCUGUGUAUUUGAUUUAAUGUAAAAAAUUUCACUUUUGUAGUUGCUAACAAAAAAUAUUUAUACAAAAUGAACAAAAAGAAUUAAUGUAAAAUUUGGGUGUAUUUGAAUUAGGGUAUAACUAAAGAAAAUGAACUUGUGAUAGGAACAACAACAAAAUUCUACACAAAUGCAAAAAAUGUUCACAUUUUACAUUUUAUAUUGAAUUCAUAAAAAAAGAAAAAACAAGAAUUUCAUUUUUUAUUUUCACAAUUAUUUUGGUACACUUUUUUUACACAAAUGAAAAAAAAAAUACAAUCUUUUUAUCGUAAUCCUUCUUCCAAAUAAAUAUUAUAAAUAAUUCUCCAUAAUCUUCUCACAAACAAUAAUUAUAAUAAUAAUUUCCUUUUCAUAAACCCUCUCUUUAUUCCUUUCCUCCCAUCUUCCUUUCCUUUUCUCCCCCAAAAUAUUCUUCUAAAAGAGGAUUCUCAAAGAAUAUGUUUUCCGCCACGUCGGUUCCAUUCUCAGCCACCCUUCUUCUUCGCCACGUGUGCUUGAUUCGUUGGGCCUCCCUAAGGGCCCAAAUGUGUAGUCCGCCUCGACAGUAAGCCCAGAAUGAUGAAUCAAAAUCACAGUUUAUAUAAAAAUUGAAUUGAGAAAAUUAAUUAAUUGAAAAUCAUUAACAAUACUUACAAAAUAAAUCAUGGAAUUUAGGAGAGAUGAAUCUAUUCUGUUUUUCUAUACGGAAAUGAAUCAAUUUACUCUUGCCUAAUACCAAAUAUUGUGUGCAUUUUUAUUGGUUCCCCAUUCCAAAUUAUUCCAAAUUCAUUCCCUUUUUAAAAUCACUCCUUUACAUUUUUUAAAUAAGGAGAAAAUAUCUUUUCUUUUGAUUCACUUUAAAACCUCAAAUUUUCACUCACUUUUGUCUUUAGCUGCUGUUUAUUAAUUUUGUUUCACUACUUAAAUAAUAAAUGAUAAAUCUUACUUCGUAAUUAUUUUUAAAUAAUUAAUAGACACUAAUAGUAAUGAUUAAAAGUGAAAAUAAUAAUAAAUAAAAUAAACAAGGUUAAAAAAUAAAAUAACCAAGGUUUAAAAUGUAAUGAAAAAUUAAACAAAUAAAAUAACCAAAGUUAAAACGUAAAUCAUGGAGUCAAAUCGAUCAAAUUGAAACGAUACUGUAAAUUUGAAAAUUAAUCUCAAAACUUAAAAAAAAAAAGACUAAAUGUGUAAUAUUUUUUAAAUCAAAGGACCAAGCCUAACCCCAAACAUUUGCCAAAAUCAAGGAAGCACUUUCCUUUUUUUCUUAGAAAAAUGGUGUCAUUAGUUGAUACAAAUUUCAUUAAAAUUGUCUGGAAAAAUAAACAAAAAGAAUUUGAAUAUUCAGGAACCAUAGAAAUGUUUCAAAGUUUUGCAAGGAUGCAGUGAAAACAUCAGGCAUCAACUAAAGCUUAACUUGAAUCAAUGCAAGAAGUACACGUACUAACAUAAAUAUAUAACUAUAUAUAUACACACAUGCCCAUACCCUUACCUUGUGUUAUAUUAGAAUGAUGUCAAUAUAAUGAUAUUCCAAGUUGUCUGCUCUCUGUCCAUCAUCAGCCUUCUGACCUUUAGAGUUACCAACUCAAGAACUUGGAGAAUCAAACCUCCAAGCCAAUUCAAAGAAUCUAAUGCUGUGGGUCAGGUUUAUACUUUAUUAAAGUCAACUCUCGUAAGAAUCGAUUCAAAAAAGGUUCUAGAACUAGAUGGUCAAGACCAUGGCAAUGGAGGCAACAAACAGGGAAGAAGAUUUGGGGUCGAUGCAAAAAUGACCAAAAUGAAGAAGAGAAGGGGCUGAUGAGGAUGAAGGCGAUGAACGGCUACCAAAGAAAAGGAAGAGAAACCUGCGUAACAAAAGUUCUUCCACUGCAAAUUCUGAACUUGGAGCACAGAAGAAUAUUAUAUAUUCAUAGCCUAGAAAAUUAGCAUAAUAAUAGUACAAAAUAAUAGGCAUCUUAUCAUCACUCUUCUGAAUAUUUUAAGCACUGGACUCAGCUGAGAAGUUUGGUUAGUCCUAAAUAUUCAACCAAUGUCUUAAAAGGACUUCAAUUAACUCUAUCACUUCCAAGAGGACUUCACAAAAAUAGUAAUUAUAAAUAAGAGACUUCAAUUAACUCUAUCACUUCCAAGAGGACAGAAAGGGGGCCUCUAAAUAUUCAACCAAUGUCUUAAAAGGAUUAAAUUACCCGACAAAAAAAGACAUCACAAAAAUAGUAAUUAUAAAUAUAUAUAUAUAUAUAUACAAAUAAAUAUAUAUAUAUAUAUAUAUAUAUACACACACACGAAACUUUAAAAAGAUUAAAAAUGAUAAUAUUGACAAAAGUGAAGUAUAAAACACAAGGCUGGUGCCAAUCAGCAGGUCCUUACUACAUAAAACUAAAACGAGGGGUGGAAAGAAGAAAAGUAAAGGGAAAAAAGGAAAAAAAAGAAAAAGAAAGAAAAGGAAAAACGGUAAGAGGAAACGAAAAGGGUUUGUUGGAAAAGGUAUCAAAGCCAAAUUAGCCCAAAUGAAGCUCUUAACAUAAACUCUCCCAAAAGUACAGGAUCAUUCAUCCACAAGUUCAGCAGCACCUCAAACGCAAAUAUGGAUUCCCAAGCAUCUAAAAGAAAUAAGACAACGCAAACUAAUAAUCUGGCCUGUCAAAUGAAUACUCCCAUCAAAACAAUGAAGUUGAAGAUUCAAAUAAGAAAAAUGAAACAAGAAAUCAAAGAUAGAAAAAAAGAAAAAUAAAAUAAAAUAAUAAAAGUAAAAGACCAAAAACCAAAAACACAUCCGCAUUAUUAUUGUUGACUGAAAUACAACAAAAUCAACAAGUUCCCCAAACCCAUCUAAUCAGAAAAAGCAUAGCAAAAGAACGAUCAUCAAAAGAAAGUACAAAAACAAAUUCAGUGAAAUGUGCCAAAAAAAUCCAAAUUAAUAAUUGAGAAGGAUGGGAAAGUGACUAAGUCGGCAAUUAAAAGACUGAACCAAACUGGCUCAAAAUUAAAAGACAAGCACCAUCCGAUGGGAUAGAUUUCAGUAUUUGUGACCAUCAGGAAACAUAAUAAUUCAUAAAUAAAUAAAAUAAAAUUUUGAUGAAUUGUUUUCUGGUCGGUACAAGUCAAAAGAAAAACACAAUUUCAACCUGAUAACACUUUUCAAAUCAUUGGAAGACGAGGCAAAUUCUAUUGGAAAAUAAAUGAAAACAUGAUAAAAAAUCAAAUUAGGUGAGAAGAAGAUCUAAGAACACGAGUGAAACAAGGGAUAAGUUUCUUUCGAGUUUGCAUGGUGAAGCAAUUAGGGUAAAGAUGCUUUAAGCUUGAGGAUAGCUAUUAAGUCUUAGGAUGUGUUAGGCCUAUUUUGAAAAACAUUUCGUUUUUGAGAAUUAAAUUUGUAAACACUACUUCCUUCUACUUUGAGUUUUUUUAAAAUCAAGCCAUACUUUUUAAAUUUUACGAAAAAAGAUGUAGGCCCCAUUCAGUUACCAUUUCAGUUUAUGGUUUUUGUUUUUCUGUUUAUUAAAUUCCGUUUUUAAACUUUGGUUUAUUAAAAACAAAAACCAUAAAUAUUAGGUGACUGAUUUAAAAACAAAAUCCUUCUUUUUACAUUUUCAGUUUUCCUUCCUAACUUAAAAAACAAAUUUCUUGUUUUAAAAACAAACAAAGUGAAUUAGUUACCAAACACACCUAUUUUUUAAGAACUAAAAAUCAAAAACCAAAAACAGGAAAUGAAACAAGCCCGUAGUUUAAAAAAAAAUGAUUUUGUUUUUGAAAUCUGCCAUAGAAUAAAAAAAUAUAUAAAAUAUAAGUGAUGAAUCUCAUCUUGGAGAAUCUGAUUUCAAAGAAAUACUUCUGGGUAUAUUAUUCAAAAUUGAGAUGGAGGAGAGGAGCUUUAAAUUGGCCAACUUCCCAGUGCUCAAACGGCAACUUUUUUACAAAUCUAAAAUUCUAAUAUUAUUCAAAUUACAAGAUACUGACCCAGCUGUUAGCAAAGUAAAAAAUAAGUUGUAGUAGAGUUAGUGUUUGUGUUUGUAAUUACAUCAAUAAGAGAUGAAAACCAUAGAAAAGUAGUGAGAAAACAAACACAAUUUUCAAAAACUAAAUAGUCAUCAGAGGGGGGCUUUAUUGAUUUAGAUGGCUACAAGUGUUCUUUUCCUAAAACUUGCAAUAUUUGGUGACCAAUAAAAUUGAAAAUAAGUUGAUUUUAAUUUUUAACAAACACUUUAAAGUUUAUUAUAAAAAAUGUCAUUUCAAAAGGAUCAAUAAAGAAUCAGUUUGAGGUCGCUCGGCAUUUGGAUGUUUGCUUCUAGAUGUGCGUAUGUACAAUAAGGGUAAAAAAAGAAGGAAAGGAUAAAGAAGGUCAAACCAACCGAAAAAGAGCAAUGAAAAGACUCAAAAAAACACUUCGAAAAAGAGCUCCAACUGUUACUUAAAAGGAAAGGGAGGAAAAAGACUGAAAAAUUUAUUGGAAGAAAAUAAAGAAAUACAAGGGAGAGGCAUUAAUAGAGUCCCCUUUGAACAUCCUUCCAAUACAUCUUUCUAUCUUGAAUUUUCUUUUGUUCUUGUCCCAAUAAUCAUCUCCUCCUAAGGAUCACAGAUAUAUCCCUAACAGACCCAGGUCAAAAACCCAUUAGAUCCCUGUAUCAGAACACCUGACAGACCCCGCUCAAAGACCCAUUAGAUCAAAAGUGAGAUAGUGGAUGGAAACAAAUAAAACACAGUCACCAAUUUACAAGAUCAAAGGACACAGUGCAUACUCUACAAGUGUCCAGAUUCACCAUAGCUAUAGAAGUCUCAAGUUCAACCAUGCACAUUGCUGCCAUACCUACCCUCCACUUCCUUGAGGUCCACUUUGGUAGUUAUCCCAGACCAUGCCUUGAGCCAACUCAAGCAAUCACACCUUCUUAGGCGUUCUAAAUCCCUUACUACCCAACAAUGGCAAAACCAAAAGACAUAUCUCUCUAGCCCCACUCUCUCAGCUUGACGUAGGUUGUUACAGAAUUACAUUGUUAUUGUCUUGUAUUUUAUUUCAAUUAGCUAUUAAGUUUUGCCUGGGUAAUCUUUUUUUUUUUUUUUUACUUUGGUGGAAAGGAAACUAAUAUAAUUAGUUUCUAUUUCCCUAAGACAGUGGACUCCCUUGUGUACACAAUAGACAAUACACAUUGUUGGGCAAUCAACAAAAUAAAGGCAAGCCGGUGCUAUUUCUCAAAAGUCCAGUAACUGUUGAUAGUUUUUCAAUAAUAUGAGAGGUGAUUGAUGUACGUAAAAGAGAACAAAAGGUAUUCAUACUACAUCAAACAUCCUCCUCGUAUAUCUUAUAGGAGGAUGCAUCUCUUAAACCACCGGACUGCCUUUGGUAAUGGGAACUCCAAUGAGCAUUCAAGGUCCUAUUAAGAGCGGGAGUUAUUAUUUAACAUCCCAAAUCCUGGCUCCCAUGUUCGUUCAAAAUAACUUUGAGCUACUAAGAAUUGUUUUCCCUCAAGAUAGAAAGGAUGUAUUGGCACAGAUCUCAAGAACAAGGUAACCCAUUACAAGACUUUAUUGGCAGAGCCGCAGAUGCAACUUCAUAACCAAAAUUUGUUAGGUAUAAGUAUAACAAAUCAGGUUUAUUUGGUCAAUUUGAUUCUGUUCUUGUAAGCUUAGCAAUCCAUUUGGAUGGGUUUUUAGUCAAUCAAGCAGAAAUUUUGGUCUUCCAAUAAAUCAGUUUCAACGUCAUUUUUCUAAAUCGAUACACUUGCUGGCUGUUAAGCCUAAACUUUUACUAUAAUAGGAGUCGCAUCUACCAGCACCCUGUAAACAUUAUCUCUCCUAAAACCUCUUGCAUACCACAGCAACAAGCCAUCCUCCUCUAGUUUACUAAACAAAAUUCAUAAACCUCCUUCUUUACCCAACUCUUUUCAAAGAAGUCCCUACCAAUUCCUUUCCAAGUACUUUGAAAACUCUACCCGAUGUCAUAAACAUAAACAAAGAUAAUAUGUGUGAAGUAUUAAAUAAAGCUGCCUUGGCCAGAGGUCAUGACUACCUUUUAAGAAGAGCAUUUUUAUUCAUUGCUAAAGUAGUUUGAUUACCACAUGAGUUAUUUAUUUAUUUCGAAAGGAUUUGAUUGCCACUUCAUGAAUUACAAAUUCUCAGAAUUACCUCCUAAUGGCCAUUGGCCAUCCUAGGUAUUUCAUAUAUCAAUCAUCUAAGUCACAAUUAUACACGCAGGCUUUUGUUGAUGACAGUCUUAAGUUCUUAACAGUACCCAUCAAUAAUCUAUAUACUACCUAUCACUGUAAUUAAUGAUAUGCACUGAAUGAAAAGUUGAAACAUUUAAAUGGUAGAAGUGCAGUAAAUAAAAAGAAUAUGAAACAUUUCAUACCACAAGUGUGACGUGUAUCCUCCGAGAGACCCACCAGCAGCCGCCUGACCCGAUUCAGAAACCGUCUUACCGAGCAUUGUGCUUGAGUAAAUGUGCGGCAACCCCUUCAACGAUGACGAACCAGGCCCAUAAGAGCCUAGCAAUGACGAACCACCAGCACUUAAUUGGCUUAAGCCAUACGACCCCCCACUGUAACCACUCAAGCCAAUCCCAGCCCCAACUGAACUACCAACCAAACCCACUUGACUCAUGGGAACUACUCCCUGGUUCAACAUACCACCUCCCAAAGCUGGACUCCCAUAUCCACCAUACACCGGAUGAUUAAGGCCCGGAUGUUGAGCAAACAAUUGCAAAUUAGGAGCUGCGGCCAUUGCCGCCAUAACCGGCGUCUGAUUCUGCCCUAAGCUUUCCGCUGCCUGUGUGGAAUUUUGAUUCUUGUUCUUCCCUCAGACGCCCUCUGGCAGUGCAAUUUGUUCCCUUCAAACACUUUGUGUGGUUCCUCAAGAGCCUUCCUCGCACCUUCAUUCGUUCUAUAAAUAAAAAUGGCAUAACCCCUCGAUUUCCCUGUCUCGGGAUCGAACCCAAUCGGACCCAUCUCUAAGUCUCCAAAUUUCGCAAAGAACGCCCUAAGCCUCUCAGCAUCCACAUUAUGGUGCACAUUAGCCACAUAAAUCUUCCGCGGCCCAACCUCCUGGCUUUGCGGGGGCGGCACUGAACCCACAGAAGCCAAUUGACACGAAGUCAUCCGGUUAUUAAUCUUCUUCCUAGGUUCCUUCAACGCCUUAAUUGCACCUUGCCGGGAUUUGAACAAAAAUAAACCCAUAUCCCUUAGCCUUACCUGUGUUUCUGUCCAUAACCACAUUGCAAUCUUCAAUUUCACCAAAAGAUUCAAAAACCGAAGUUAGGGUUUCUCGGGUGGUGUCCCAACCGAGGCCAUGGACAAAUAUCUUGCGGUGAGUAACAUCGCGGUCGGCAGCAGCUCGAAUUUGGGCUUGAAGAUUUGGGUCUUUGAGAGCGGUGGUGCAAAUGAGCUCAAUUAAUUGGUCUUGGAGAAGGGUUCGAGGAGUUUGGGAAGAUCGUCGAAAUCGGAGUCGGAGACGUCGUCGACUGGUUGAGACUGAACGUUAUGUUCAAGCUCUUUCUUGAGUUUCUUAUCGACCUUGUUUUCAGAUUUCUUGACCAGCUUUCUUUUGGCGGUUUUGUUGGUUCCCUCCAUUGGAGAGCUACUGAGCCGGCGGCUUCAAAAGAAGAAGAAGAGGAGGAAGACGAAACAAGGUUUCGGCGGACUGCCCCGAGUCUAAAGCAAAUUUUAAUAUUAAUAUUAUUAUUUUGUUCUUUUUUUGAGAAAAUCAAUUAAUAUAUAAUAAAAUAGAGAAAUUGUUGUCAUUAAUUUAAGGGGUUUUUUCUUCUUCUUCUUCUUUUUUUUUUUUUUUUGUUAAAGAAUAACUUUAUGCUAAAUUACAAAUUUGGUUAAGCUUUGUAUAUUUAUAUGGUAGUAGUUUUCUUUUCCAUAAAUAUUAAUAGGUGUUGAUAUAUAGUUGAUAUUUGGUAUCAACUUAUUCUUUCUAAUAUAAUCAUUUUUACAACCUACAAAAUAGAAAAAAUAGCCUCCAUAUUAUGUUUGGUCAUCGACACUUUGACAAUCCAUAUGGUAGAAAGGACAUACUAGAAAUCUUGUUAAGGUAGAAAAGACGAGAAGACAACUUUACCAUUGUGCUAACUAAUGUUAUUAGUAUUAUAUGUAUCUAAAGAGUAUGAAGUUGUGUGUGUAUAUAUAUAAAGAGCAUAUAUUAUACGGCUAGAUGGUUGAUCUUGUGGAUCAAUCACCAUAUUUGGUCAAAUAAGUCUAUGGCUAAAUGUGGGUCUGUCUCCAUUCCUAGUCAAACAAGUAUUCAGUUAUUCUUUCACAAUACUAAGUUUUUAAUAUUUUUUAUUUAAUCAAUUUACUUAAAAAUUUAGAGGGAGAGAUUUUCCUCUUUUCCAUUGUCAUGGAAGGGGUAGAGAGGGAAGAGAAAAAAUAAAAGGGAUGAAAAAAAACGAAGGAAAGCAUUAUUCAUCUUUCUUUCUCCUACUUGGAUGGUUGUUUUGUUAGAAUUUUGAUAUAUAUGUUGAGCUUUUGAUUCUUACUUAACUCUAAUAUCUAAUUUGUAGAUAUCAAUCAAGUAUAGCUCUUUGUAAGUAUGUCUUGCUUUAGGAUCGGGUCGAAUAGUAAUAGUUUAAACACACUUUCAUAUUAAUUUUGAUACUAAAACAAGGAAAAUUUACCCAACGCGGGAGAAAUAAUACUUUGAUAGUUAUAUGUUCAAGUUUAUCUCUUAUUUUAUGGUACAUGAUUUUGCACUGACUAAACUAAAAUAUUCUUUAAGUAGGAAGGAAAGUUACCAACUAAAGAUUCGUAUGACUGUCACCACAGUAUUAAAUAACCUCGUGAAUUCUCUUGAAUCUCUUGAACACAUUUUCUACUUGUAUAACUUAGCGUGGAAGUUUAAUGAAAUUCAUCUUUACAUUAUUAUUGGAAGGGAUGGUCUUAGAAGUUCAAAAUUUAAUAAAGUUUUUUCAAUAUAAUUCAUGUAAAGGUAAAGGUUAGAAUUUGAGAUCUCAACAAAGAUGGUGCAUAAUGUUAUGCUAUUUUUUUUUUGACAAUUAAACUAAGAUUAGUAAAACAUAAGUUAUAAUAGUUAUUACUGUCGAACACAACUCUAGCUAACCUAAUUGUUUAGGAUGAAAAUUUCUGCCCAACAUUCUGUAUUAUAUAUCAACUAAUUAACUAUAGCCAUAUAUUUUUAAUAGUUUUCAUUCUAUAUAUAAACAAUAUCAUGUCACCUACUACAUAGUUUUUAGUGCUACUGCUUAAUAAGGUGUGUCAUUAGUUUUGUUUUUGCAAAAUCUUUCUUUUAACCAUUGUCAUCAUUUGAUUUAUGUAAUAUUCUAACUUUAUUCUAAACAUGGAUAAGAGUUGGAUAUGAUUUAAGCGAAAUAGAUAAAUUUUAUAAAAAUAAUUUGUAAGCAACUAAAUUUAUGUUGAUAUCAAACUCUCAUAAGAGAUUUCCAUAUAUUAAGAAUUGAUUUUCGAUGUUUGAUUUCAAAAAUUAAUUAAUUUAAAAUUAUUUAAUAAGUGGUUUUCUAUUUGAGAAAUAAUUAUAAAAAAAUUUCUCAAAUGAGUGUGUAAAAAAAUUAAAUAACCAUUUUAGAAUGAUUUCCAAUCAAAUUACUAAAUAAAAAUUACAUAUCAUCUCAUUUCUCUAACAUCCAUUUGAAAUUAUUUUAUAUUUUUCUAAAAUCAAUAAACAAACCCUAAAUACCUCUAAAUUUUACGGUUCAAUUUUUAAUUGACUAUGUUGAAGAAAAUGUUUGAAAUUUGAAAUUAUUUCAAAACAUACCAUUAAAUUUUUUUCCUUUACUAAAAUGAAUUAUAAUAUUUAUAAAUUAAUUUCAAACUAUCUAGAGAAUUAAAUUGUUGUUAAAAGAUAUCAUAUCAUGACAUAAAAAAAAGUCUACAUCCCAAAAUCUUUAGUUCUUUCAUUUGUUCAAUCUCUUUUUCAAUGAAAAUGUCGACUCAAAAUAUCAAAAUUUUAAAAGUAUUUGAUCGAUUUAGUGAUAAUUAAUUCAACUAUGUUGGCUUUUGCUAUAUGUAUAGUAAUAUGUAUAUAUAUAAACACUGUGUACGGAUGAAAAUAUAUUCCCGUGAAUUUACUUUGGAUAAGUUCCAUUUGUUUUCUUCUGCACUUUGAAUAUAUUCGGUAUCUACCAAUUACCAUCCAAAUUCUCCUUUCCUUUCUCUAUAAUUAAAAUAGAAAAAUAAAAACAAACCUUUCACUUUUUGUAAAUAAAAUUUUCCAAACCAAUCAUUCAUAAACUCAAACUUUCUUACUCUUUCUCUUAUCUUCUAUCCUUUUGCAACAAAAAAAAAAAAAAAAAAAAACUAUGAAAAUCUGCUUCUUCUUCCUUCAACUCACUCUCAUCAUUGCUACAAUUUUCGCAUCCAAACCAACUUAUGACUUCUCCAGUACCAUCUUCGACACCGGAGGGCUCAGUCGAGCUGCAUUUCCAGAAGGUUUCGUCUUUGGAACUGCAACUUCUGCAUACCAAGUAGAAGGAAUGGCUGACAAGGAUGGCCGAGGCCAAAGCAUUUGGGAUCCUUUCGUUAAACUCCCCGGUACUCAUAUCUUUCCAUUACUUUUGAGUUCUGAUUUAGUUAAAAAUGAACUAAAUAUCAUCAGAUCUUCUUAUUUUUUUCCGAUGUGAGAGAUUCUCAUGGCAUAAUAAAUAUAAUUGCUUGAGUUAUUUUUCCUUGUUUUUUUUGAAAUGGUUGUGAGUAGGAAAAAUUGUUGACAAUGCUACUGGAGAUGUAGCUGUGGAUCAAUAUCAUCGAUACAAGGUAUACGUGAAUCAUGUCAUCAUAUUUAAUUGAUAUUAAGAAGUUUGAAUAUCCAUAUAUAUCUGGUUAAUGAUUUUUCUUUUUAAUCUUAACAAAAUUGUUUUUAAAUUUCUAAUUUUAUGUUUUUAAUUUAAUUUCUUUGUCCGUUUGGAAUAGGAAGACAUUGAUAACAUGAAAAAGCUGAACUUCGAUGCUUAUCGAUUCUCGAUUUCUUGGCCGAGGAUAUUUCCAAGUAUUUAAAAUUUUCUCUUUAUACAAUAUUUUUAUCUUUUGAAUGGCAAAAAUCAUUACCUGCAGCUACAUAAUUAUAAUUAAUAAUAAUCUGUUUUAUUUCAUUUUUGCUUCUUUGUUUUUCAAUAGAUGGAACAGGAGAAGUAAAUUGGAAAGGGGUUGCUUACUAUAAUAGAUUGAUUGACUACAUGAUUCAACAAGGUAAAAUAUUAUAUGUUACACCCAUUCAUUUUAUUUGAUUUCAAUUUUAGUAUAAAAAAAAUUCAAAUUAUAGCCUAUUUAAUUAAUAUCUAUUUUAUUUUUCGGUAUAAAAAAUGAAGCCGAAUUUAUUUAAAAUUUUACGACGUAUAAUUUUCAAAUCAGAAAACAAAAUGAUAAAUUAGUUAUUAUUUACUUACUUAAAUAAUUAGACUAUUUCUUUGUUAGGAUAUAAUGUUGUUAUUUUGGACAUAGACUCUAGUCAUUUUAUUUUUAAUUUUAUUUGAAAGACUUGUCUAGCGAAAAUGAUAAUAUAUUUAAGUAAUCGAGUUUUUUAAAGUAUUUUAUGGUUUAAUAAGACGAUCAUUACGUCGUAAUUGUAAUUGACUCUUUAUUAUUUACGACUUCUUUUAGUAAUUAUUUCAUCGAUUUAAUUAGUUUGUUUUUUAAUUGAACUUAUUUUCUCUUUAUUUAUUAAAUUUUUAGUUAAAUUUUAAAUGUCAAACAACUAUUUGUUUAAAUUUCAAAAACUCAAUAUAAUAAAAUUUUAAUGAUUAUAAUUCUAUGUGUGUGUUUCCUUUUCAUUGCAACGUGAAGGAAUCACACCCUAUGCAAAUCUUUACCACUACGAUCUUCCCUUGGCAUUACAAGAAAGAUAUAGAGGUUUACUAGACAAGCAAAUUGUGUAAGUUUGAUCAAACUUAUGUGUAUAACUUAUAUUUUCAUACCUACAUUGGGUUAUGAUUGCAAUUAUUUUCAACAUAUAUAUGUGCAUGCAGGAUCGAUUUUACAAAUUAUGCAGAAUUUUGUUUUGAAGAAUUUGGAGAUAGAGUGAAGAAUUGGAUGACAUUUAACGAACCGAGAGUUAUAGCUGAUGUUGGGUUCAAUAGCGGAAUAAUGCCUCCUUCAAGAUGUUCAAAAGAAUAUGGAAAUUGUACAGAUGGGAAUUCAGGAACUGAACCUUACAUUGUGGCUCAUAAUAUAAUUCUUUCCCAUGCUAAUGUGGUUGAUACAUAUAGGAAGAAAUUUCAAGUAAGUAAAGAUGCUUUUUUUUUCUAAUUAUUUAUUAAGUUUUGUUUUUAUUUUUGUGAAUAAUAUUUUUAUUAAUAUAUAGACUUGUAAUUUCUAUAGGAAAAACAAGGAGGAAGAGUUGGGAUUUUGUUGGAUUUUACAUAUUAUGAACCUCUCACUAAUGAGAAAGAAGACAGAGAUGCAGCUCAAAGAGCAAGAGAUUUUCAUAUUGGCUGGUAAAAAUUAAUAUAUUAAUCCAAUUUGUGAUUUGUUUUGUGUUCAAGUUUAAUUUUUAUGUUAAAUUGGAUCAUUAAAUAUAUAAUAUCAAUUUUCACCAACCUAUACAUAUAUGUAUAUGUUGAAAUUAGGUUCUUGCAUCCAUUUACAUAUGGUGAAUAUCCAAGAAGAAUGCAAGAAAUAGUAAAAGAAAGGUUACCAAAAUUCAGUGAAGAAGAGGUAAAAAAGGUGAAAGGGUCAGUAGAUUUUGUGGGUAUCAAUCAAUAUACAACUUUCUAUAUGUUCAACCCUACUUGGCCAAAACCAACCACUCCUGGCUAUCAAUCUGAUUGGCAUGUUGGCUAUGCUUGUAAGACUCUACUACACCAUUGUUAUUAUUAUAAUUAUUUAAUCAUCUUCUUCACUUCAAUUAUUUCUAUAUUCUAAUGCUACUUUUUUCUUAUAAUUUUGUUCCCACAGAUGAAAAGAAUGGAAAACCAAUUGGUCAACGAGUACGUAAUUAAUCUUUAACAUCGAUUGAGCGAUGUUCGCUUUUAACUACUAAAUAUAACUUUUGAUUGGUCUCAGGCUCAUACCGGAUGGUUGUAUGAAGUACCAUGGGGAAUGUACAAAGCUUUGAUGUAUGUGAAGCAACACUAUCGAAAUCCAAACGUUAUAGUUUCAGAAAAUGGUAAUUCACUCUCAAUUUCUGUUUAUUUGUUUUUGAUCAGUUUUAGUCAUGAGGUUAUAUUUAUUACUAAUUCCUUUUUUCAUAAGAAAAAAACUGUACAGAAUAUUCCCUUUUAUAAUUAUUUUUCUAAAAAUGUAUAUGAUUUGUAUAGAUUUUCAAAUCAUUAUCCCUACAAGAAUAUGGUAUCUUUGAAAUAAUCGUAAUCAAAAUUUGAAAACAAAAUAUAGGAAUUUUGAAAACUCAUUCAGCAUUUUUUUCUCACAUGAUAUUUGAUAAUUGGGUUUGCACUAGAAGUCGUCGUUAUACGUACAUAUGUUGGCAAGUAGCUGGUAGCAGGUAUUUUGUAACAGUUAAACGUUUAAUUCUAUUUUAAAUGCAAUGAUAGGAAUGGACACUUCUGAUAUCCCACUUCCUGAAGGGUUAAAUGAUAGAGAAAGAAUAAAUUACUACAAGACAUAUUUGCAAAACAUGAAGAAAGCCAUUGAUGAUGGAGCUAAUGUGAGUGGAUAUUUUGCAUGGUCUUUGCUUGAUAACUUUGAAUGGCUAUCAGGUUAUACUUCAAGGUUUGGUAUCAUAUAUGUUGAUUACAAACACAAUCUCAACAGAAUUCCUAAGAUGUCAGCCUAUUGGUUCAAACAAAUGAUUAGUAAGAACUAGGAGUAUAAUUAAACCUAGCUCAAGUAAUAUUUUAAAUGCUAUUGGUAACUAUAUAUAUAUAUAUUAUUCUCUUCCUUUCUUAUAUUUAUAAGAAAAUAAAUGAUUGACGAACAAAACAUAUUAGUGGAUCAUCUUUUACCAAAUUUUGAAAUUGAAUGAUAAUUGAUAUUUUAUGAAUCGAAUUAUGCUUAUAUUCUCGAGACUCUUUAAAUCUCUUUUUUUAAUUUCACUAAGAUAAAUACUUUUAUCUUAUAUAUAUAUGCAAAUUUUUUUCAUGAUAGUCUCUACUUAAUUUUGUUUUUUUAUACAUGUGUGUAUAUGUACAUAGAGGAAAAAUUGAAGUUGAUGUUAGGACAUCUUUUACAUGUCAAUUUUGAACAACUGUGUUCAAUAUUUUGUCAGGCAUUAAAUUAUUUGUGGUCAUUUGUAUCUUUUUACUUAUGUAAUAUUUUAUUUUAAAGUAAUAUUAAUUAAAGCGAACUCAACUAAGAAGUUUAUAGUUAAAUUCUUCUACCGUACCAAAUUUAAAAAAGAAAAUAGUAUUCACCUUUUAAAUGAUUUUAGAAAUAUUAUCAUGGUCUGAUUCUUUUCCCUUUAAAAGUUGUAACUUAAUUUGGAUAUAGUUUCAAUUAGUUCCUCUUUACAAGUUUCAAAUUUACUAGUUGUGGUUUGAAUAUUUAGUUUAAAUUAGGCGUGAUAGUUGGCUUAGUUUUCUUUAUCUUGUAUAUAUCUAGUCAAGAAUCAAUAAAUAAAUUUUUCAAAAUGACUGUAAUCUGUUUGAUUUAAAAGUUUUAUAUAGGUUAAUUAGCUCAAUAAGUAUGCAAUUAUGAUGGCACAUAUCUAUAACCUCGUACAAAAUAUGGAGGAAAGUUCACGAACCCUAGGUCAAUUGACAUAUACUCAAGUCAUUAUGACUUUAAGAAAAAAAAAAAGAAUUAGUCAUUUAUGAUUCUAAAAAAAAACUCAUACUAAACUUACAUCUUAAAGCCUUUAACGAACUUAGGCACAAAUACUCGUCUAGUACUAGCCCAUUCUCUUUUGUGCGUCAUAUUUAAAUUGAAACUAAACUUAAAUAUUUAGAUCGAACUCAAAAGAUUCUAAUUUGUAAUUUAGUCGCGACAACAUUCUUGUUAAAAAAUGAUGACUAGCUAACCAAAUUAAACUGCACCUCUAUUAUCUAUUAUAUCUUAGUCACAAUGAAAUUAAUUAAGUACAAUAAUAUUAUCAAUUGGUCAAUAAAGGGGACUAAUCCAACUUGGAUCCCAACAACAACAACGUGGCUGAUAGUUAAGGAGAUAAGACCCUUCUAUUGGUAUGAUAUCAUGGGUGUGUUCUUAAUCAAUUAAUUAAACCCUUAAUUAGAAAAAAUUGAAACAGUUACAAUGUCCAACUAGGCAGCUUCCAUUUCAAUAAACCACAUCUGACGUGCCAUCAUUUGUGGUUACUAAUUAAUAGUUAUGCCACUUAGAAAAAGCCUAAGCCACUUAGAUUAUUAAUUAUGAUUAUAAUUAUUAAUUUCAUUUUCAUUGAGUCUAUGUGUGGUUCUUCCACUUUAAUGACCUGAAAAAUGCCUUUUUCUCCUAAGCACUAUUAUUCAUUCUCAUUCGUGGUUUCAUUAAUAAAAAUCAUCUCUAAUAUAAUCUAAUCAUUCACAUUAAGUAGUAAUAAUAAUAAUAUACCAAAAACAUGGGCUUUCAUUCUUCACCAACUCUCUUAAGAGUGUGGCAUGCUUAGUGUUGUUGUACUUUGGGUUUUAUAUAUUUUAAUUCAAUUUGUUGGUAAAUAGUUGGAAUUAGUCGGUUUCCUAUGAAAUCAUCACCAAAAGGAUGUUUGGCUAUUAGUUUUGAUGCAUAUACAUCUAUCUUUUUUGUCAACUUUUGGAGUUUUUUUUUCCUCUUUGACAAUGUGGGUAAAGAAAAUCGAACAUAUGAUAUCGAGAUUGAUAGUAAAUAUUUUAUGUUGGGUUGAGUUAUACUCGUUUUGGUAUAAAUAAUAAAAUAAGCACACAAAGAUGUCUAAAUUUAAAGUUGAGAAGUUGGAGCUUGUUAUUAUCAAUCUCAUGGUUUAAAGGGUUAGUAGAGAUAGUAUAACGGAACGGUUUUAUGAGAAAAAAUUCAUAUAGUGACUUAAUCAAGCUUAAAUAAACAAAACCACAUCCAAAAAUGUUAAGAACUUGACAAUCAAAGAUAAAUAAAAAAUAAAAAGCGAACAUAAACAAUAGAGAAUAAUCAACACAAAGAUUUAACAUAUAGUUCACCAACAGUGUGUUAGCUACAUUCACGUGUAAAGGAAGAGUACAAACUUUAUUAGCAAGAAAAUAUCAUACUAUAGAUUCAAUUGUUGUUAGAGAGUUUAAUAUUGUGCACUGUUCAAAGCCUUAUAGAGCCAAAAUAAAAUAACAUGAAUACAAAUACAACUUAAUAUAUUUGUUUCAUCGCCCAUGUACUCUAGUUGAUAUUGAUGUACUAGGUGACAAGACCGUUAUAUUUUGGUCAUACAUUCAGAACGUCAAAUAAUAAAUUCAAAGCAUUCCAACACAAAACAUUAAUACAAGCUCGGAUUUCUAAUUUUGGGUUUUCAGAAACCCUACUUCAUGGUUAAAAUAACAUAUUAUUAAAACUCAAACUAAAAUAAUCUACGCUCCACGCACAAAAUCAUUAUAACUCAACUAUAAUAACCAAUUAUUGCCUCAAACGCUUCUUUAUUUAGAGGGUGAAAAAGAUUUUUGUUUAAUUUCCUCACCAAUUUGGCUUAGCAUUAUUUUAUUCUUAACAUAUAUGAAUAUGUGUCUAAUAACUAUAUGGGAGUUGUAACCGUACACCAUUUUAGACAUACCGUAUCAUGACUCUUUGGAUGACACCUCAAAUCUUGAUCUAAAAGCAUAGAAUGAUUCAUAAAAAAGGAUACACAUUCAUAUAUCAUAACGCACCAAAUCUCAUCAAAACUUUACAGUUAAGCAUACUCGAACGAUAUAGUACUAAAUUUGGUGAUCACUUGGAAAGUCUUCGUUUUCACCUAUUUAGAGAAAUAAUGUUCAAGAAAGUCACCUCAAGGCAAUAAAAGAAGCUUAAUAUCUUUGAUUUCAAAUAUAUCAUCCCAUCAUUUUAAGCACUUUGAGUUUAGCAUAUGUUAGCUACAACCGAUAUAACGAGUUCUUAUACUUAGAGUUGGAGAGAGAAUUUUUUAUGUGGUUGUAAUAAUUUUUGACAAAGUAUAUUUUUUUUAUUUCUCACUUUAAUUUUUGCAUAAUCGUGUGAUAGUAGUAAGUGGUUUUAUUCCAAUAGAAAGUGAGUAAAAAAUGAGCAUUGGUUUGAUUGGGAAGGAACCCUUAGGUUCAACUUAAUUUCUAAUGUAAUUUAGUUAUAUUAUUGGUUGAUAAAAAAAUUUAUAUUAGUUAUAAAAAGUAGCUCCUUCUUUUAUGACAAUGACAGUUGAAUUUGAUUAAUUAUUAAUUAAGAGAAAACAUAUUGGGUUUGGAGCAUAUGAGAUUUAAUUAAUUUAUUAAAAGCUUUGCAGCCCUAACCAAAGCCAUGCAUGGCUUAUAAAUACUACCAAUUUCAAAGCUUCUAAAUACACCAAAACAAAAACUAACUUCCAACACAAGAAAAACCCAAAAUAAUAAUUCCAAUAUCUUCUUCCUUCUUCCUUCUUCCUUCUUCCUUCUUCCUUCUUCCUCGAUCUUCUUUAUAGGCCUCCUUCUUUCUCUAUAUUCUCAAAAUCAUGUCAUCCCUUGGAGCUUCCUAUGCCAAAAUCCACCUCCUACAGAAGCAACAAAAGGAGAAACUUGAGAGAAUGGAACCAAAUCGAUUCUCCCGAGGAGAGACCGCCACCGCCACGGGUUCCUCUAGUGGUGGUUCUUUGCUUGCAAGGAAUAAAAAAGUUCACCCGGGAAGCAUUGCUCCGACGACCACAGUCGACAGCUACAAAAAUAGAACAUGAUCAAGUUAUAUAUUUGACUUUAUGCUUCCCGGCCCUUCUUGAUCAUGACCUGUUUUCCUUCUUUUAGUGUCUAUAAAAUCGAAAAGCUUUUGUUUGUGUAAAUGUGUUUAAAAAUGUCUGUCCAAAGGCCAAAAGAAAAAGAAGAGGAAGAAGAAGAAGAAUAGUAUAAGUGUGUCUUUUGGUCUGAUCUACUCUUUUCAUGUUCUCUAGUCUGUACUUUUCCAAUGUUUUGCUGUUAAUUAAUUAAGGAUGUAAUUGUGUCUUAAUGCUUUAUAAGGUAAAGUAUAACACUUUAGUUUUUAUUAUACAUAUAUAUAUAGUAAUUUUCUCCUUUGACGUCAUGAUAGCUAUAGAAAAGUAUUUGGACAAUAUACAUCUCACAACUAUAUCUAUUCAUCUCAAAAUGAACAAAGUGAAGAAAAAAUUCAAAACAAUUAAUUAUUUUAUGUAGAGAUGUGAAGAAAUAAAAUAACUAUAUACAUUUGUAAUUUGUAACCUGUUACAUUAACAUUUGAAAAUGAAGAUGAAGUAAGUUGUAACUAAAACAUGUGAAUAGAGGAUAUGUGAGGGUUUGGACCUAUCAUUUUCAAUAUUGAUUUCAUAAGAAAGGAGAUUCAUAUCAUCCUCAUUAGAGGGAGGUAUGAUAGAGACAUGAG
rnacentral:lncRNA from 1 species